rnacentral:lncRNA from 1 species
ACGCGAUGAUGGCACCGGUCCAUGCUCCCGUGCCUGGGAACGGGACGGCGACAAACAGCAUCAGCCCGAGCCACUGGAACUCCUCGACGGGCGCAGCCUUCCGUCGCGCCCGCUCGAAGAGGAGGUCCAUUAUCCGGGUCGCCCAAGCGCUUCUCUGCGAGAGGAAAGUUGCGAGUUUCUUCAGGUAGAGGAUGAUGAAUGGCACAGGCACCAUGUUCCUGGAGAAACAGAGAGUACAUAUCAAGUUCUAUACAUAUAGCAUUAACAUUAAACAUUUUCUCAAGAGAGAUGACAAGUUGCUGACACUAGACUGACAACUGGCAAUUUACAUUUUAGUCAGGCCAUUGUAAAAUGACAGUAAAACAUCAUCACGGCCCUAUAUAUCAAUCACCAGGAUCAAAUACUACUCCCCCCGUUCACUUUUUUUUUUGAAAGAAAAAGGUAGACCAUGAUCUACCUUAUGCAUUCAAAACGGGGCAAAGCCCGAGUGACCGAAGUCAGAUUACAUGAAGGUGGCGUGAGUGCUGCUUCAAAGCAGCCGGCCAUCACCAAGCCUAUACGGAGUGUGGGGAGGGGGGCGGGGAGAAAACAUCAGCAAAAUUACAAAGUUUGAUCUUAUUUCCUUCGUUUUUGGCGCGAUUGCCCCAUAGCCUGAGAAGUUGUGCAAUCUCAUGAAACGCUCUAGCACUGGCCCACUUGGUGUUAUGGAAGACUUGAUCAUUUCUGGCUGCCCACAAGGUCACAGCGCAUGUCACAGCGCAUGCUGCAGCCACAAUAUGCCACAGCUUGCCAUACGCGGUAGGUUCAGGCCGUAACAUGAAUUCAGCUAAAUCGGUUGCUUGCCUUGCACUGCUUCGUGUGUUGGUGCGUUCCCAUACUGCGUCAGCUAGCCUGCAUCUAAGGAUUAUGUGGCAGGCACUUUCAGUGGCCGGACAUAAGUCGCAGCCGUUGUGCGUUGUGAUUGAUGUCCAAUUUUUCCUGAGAAUAUUAUCCCUUGUAUUCAAGCGCCCCCGUAGCGCAAGCCAGAGGAAGACCCGGUACUUGUUAGGAAUCAGGCUGUCCCAGAUUUUUGGAGCAAUAGGGCAGAGGACCCCUCUGAAAGUGACCAAAUCAUAGAAGAAAGCAGUAGUUGCGUUACCAGUUCUCGUAACCGGGCUUCUAAGAUCCUUGAUAGAGGGGGUCGGAUGAAUGUCAAUGAGCAGAGCAAGCAGUGUCUCCAGUUCUCUUGUGGCUGUUGCAGUCAGGUUUGGAUGUAACUUGAUAUUCCAAUGCCCAUCGCUGAACUGAGAGGCGACAGUGCAGCAAGGGGUUUGUGCGAAAGAGAAAAGUACUGGGAAAGAGUGGUGCAGCCUUCCACAUUGUAGCCAGCAGUCGUACCAGAAUGAGAUCCUGGAGCCAUCUCCUAGAGCACAUUUUGUGGAUUCAAUUACUGUUUUCAUAGCAGUUGAUAGACAUCUCCAUGUGACAGUAUUUCGACCAUGUUUGGCCAUCGGGAUGGUAUGCUGGGGCUCACAACUUUGCCAUGAUAUGCAAGCUCCUCCCGUUCACUUUUGUAAGACCGUUUAGAUAUUUAAGACAACACCCAAAACAGUUGAAUUUCAGCUGUCUAAAACGUCUUAUAAAAGUGAACAGAGGGAGUACUAACAUCAAUGCUGAAUAGCACUUGCUUCCACAUCAUCUGGAUUUUAUGCACGCGGAUGCCACAUCACCUUCUUCCUGCCCACGCCCUCCUCUCUCACUCUCUCCCUCUCUCUUCUGUCUUCUGCACAGUACAGAAAUGGAAGUGCAGAUUUUCUCCGAAUGUUGAUGUAUUGGAAUUCUUCUGCUGGGAAUGCGUCUUCUCUCAUGAGGUUUGGGCAGCGGUUCUGACGGCUUGGGGGGAAGUAGACUGGAUGCCUGACCUGAAUACAGACUUGGUUGACUGGUGGAGCUCGCGAGUGAUCGAGGGGCGGAGUCCCAGGGAUACUCGAACGGCAGUCUUGCUUGUUGACAUAGUCUUUAACAGCGCGGCUUCGUCAACGCGUAUGGUUCUUCAGAAGGUUUGCGACGAGGCAAGGGACUAGAAGUCGGCAAAGCUACUGUAAUCUGCUCUUCCGAUAGAGUUAGAUGUGGGGUGGGCUGUUAGUGAGUAGUUGAUUCGGGAACCUUGGGCCUCCGGCGGGCUGGAGGUGUUGUAACUGGUUUCCGGUGUUGUACUGAUCACUUUGGCUUUGCUUCUUCUAUGAUACUGAUGCAUCCGCUGGGAUGUAUUCUUGGAAAAAAAAUGUACUGGAAUUCUGCAGGGAGUUGUCAAAGACGUUUCAAAUAGAGGUGACGCUGACCUUUGUAGUAGUGAAAGGUGGGCAGCAGUUGAGUCAGGUGGUUGGGACUUAAGAGGGAAGAGCUUGAUAGGAAGAUCGAUACGUUCAUCUCAUCCUCUUACAAACUGAAUACCUGUACUCCAAUAUUAGUACCAUGUCCUAGUUUCUCUCAGGGGAAGAGGGACUCCUAUGGCUUGUCCAUAUUGUACUGCCAAUUCUCCUGAAAAUGGUACCAGUGUGGUGUAUUUAUCUUAUUGAUAUCGAUUCAAAAGAAGAAACAAGUCGCUGGUACCGUAUAAGUUGUACUGCAUUCAUGCAAUGCCCAUAGCACAUUGCUUCCAAACAAGAAUUAAUUGCAUGCACGGAUCUAUAAUGGAUUGAUGAUCCCCAAAAUUCCUCAAACGAGCAAAACAAAAGGAGAUGGGAUGCAAUCGUCUCACUGCUAUUCAGAGGUGAUAGGCAAAGUCGGUGAGAAGGAGGCGAUGGAGAGCUCUCAGUGGUUGGCGUGCUGUGCAGCCGACUUAGCCGAGGUGUGAGUGACACAGGAUUGGAUUCCAGGAUUGGUCACUGAUGAUAGGAUGAGGCGGAGGGGAGGGAAGACAGAGAAAGGAGGGAAGAGAAGGAGGAAGUUGAAAUACCACCCGUGUGUGCAAAACCAAGGUGAGGUGCAUGCCACUCGAGUAAAACCAUCAACCACGCCAUUAAAGCCGUUGCCAAAACCAGGCGGGGAGUAUUGUGCCUUGUGGUCCUCUGUCUCUGGCUGUGCUGGUUAUGUCACCUCUGGUUGCUGCUUCCAGUUGGUGGAUGCUCAAUGCAACCUUCUUGUUUGUUCACCGCGUUGUUUUCUUCAAUGGAAUAUGAAGCUCCUUAACUGGAACAUGAGAGAGUUGAACAACCCGGCCUGGAGGAGGUCGCUACAGAAAUUUUUCUCACUAACCAGUGCAACAUUGUACACUUUCAAGAAACUAAAUUGGCUGAUGUUGAUAAAAGUAUGGUGCUGAGGUCCUGGCCAGCAGAUUUUCUGAGGACUUCGUCUUCAAAACUGCUGUUGGUACAAGAGGUGGGAUCCUGGUUGCCAGCACAGAUGAUUGUGCUAUUUCCUUCGACUAGAAUACCUACUGGUACUACUACUGAUCUGACCAAUAUUGCUGCUGUGUAUGGGCCUCCGGAGGACAGUGAUAAGAUCCUUUUUCUCAACGAGCUUAAGAGCACAAGGAAUAGUGUGUUGCCUGAUCGGAUGAUUCUUGGGGACUUUAAUCUCAUUUGUCGUGUCAGCGACGAAAGCAACUCCAACAUUAAUCUCAGAAUGAUGGGCCGCUUUAGGAACGUGAUUGAUGAUCUUGAGCUGCAGGAAAUUGCUCUUAAUGGAAGGAGGUUCACCUGGUCUAAGGAGAGAGAGAUCACGGUUCAUUCAAAAAUCGACCGUGUUAAUAUUGGGAGCUGAGCCACUUGUAAUAUCAGUUGUCUCCGGCCUCAACUACCAUUUUGCAUCACUGUUCAAUGGUCCUCAGAAGAUGGAUCUCAAGCACUAUAAAGGGUUCAGAUUUGAGGCUUUGUUGGCUAAGGAUGGAGGGAUUCAGAGAGAAGCUGCUUCAGCCUGGGCUAAACCUGUUUGCUCGAAGGAUGCUGUAAAGAUUCUGCACAUCAAGCUGUCAAGAACUGCUCAUGCUCUGAAACUGUGAUAUACAAGAUAAAAGAAGGAAGUGAGAUUCAGAAAGGAGGUAGCCAAUGAGGAGAUUCUCCAGCUGGACCUUCAUCAGGAGGAACGUGAGCUAUUUGCGAAGGAAUGAAACCUUCGUUUUAUCUUGAAAUCGAAGCCGCUUGGCUUUGCAGCGCUUGACAUAGUGAGAUGGUGUCAGAGAUCUUGUAUUGUGUGGGUCAAAUCUGGAGAUUCAAACACAAAAGUUUUUCACGUUAAAGCGAAUGACCAGGAGGAGGAAGAAUCACAUUCCUGUUCUGAAAAAUCUGAAGGGUGAAGAGAUGUCUGACCAUGAUGCUAAAGCUCGGGUGCUGCUGCAUCACUUCAAUUCCCUGCUCAGAGAGGCUUGCCAGAGACCUUGUGGGGCUUAAUUGCGAUUCUUUUUUCCUGUAAUUGACUGCCAACCUCUUUUGGACAGAAUUGCUGGGAGGUUGAAGCCAUGGAAAGGGAAAACUCAUGUCCAGAAAGGGGCAUCUAAUGCUUGUCAAUUCUGUGCUGACAGCGCUCACAACCUAUUUCUUCACUGCUUUUCCACCGUCCAAGUGGAUUAUCAAAAAGAUAGACCAGAUCCGGAGAAAUUUUCUCUGGUGUGGAUAAGAGCACUGUUCCAAAUAUCGGUCAGUCAACUGCCGAUAUGGUCAGUUAACUGCUAUUCGGACCACUCCCGAUACGACAUACGAGAAUGUGCUAUUCAAGCCAUUAACUGGUAGGUCCAGUUAAUUUGUCUGACAAGCCUGUUUAUCAGCUGUCAGGCCGAUUUAUCGGCUGGCCAAUUAACUGCUAGGCAUUUUCAGCGCAAAACUGGCCCGUUCCCUACCUACUUUUCAGUGUGCAGGUUUAUGGCCUUCCAGAUCGGAUGCCACAUCAUCAGAACAUCAAGGCAACAAUUUUCCUUGUUGCUAUGUAGCCUAGGAUUGAAUAUUUAGACACUUAGUACAUUGCAUGUUGCUAUAUAGCCUAGGAUAUAUAGAUAUGACUGUAGUUAACCUCCCGAUAAAUGGGUUACCGAUAAAUUCAGCUAAAUGGCCGAUUCGCCAAUUAAUCCCUACUCAUCACCCGACCGAUAUGGUACCAGUUACCGACAUCCUGAACAUUGGAUAAGAGGAGCACAGGGGCAAGUGUUUAGUAAGCUGGGUGAAACUCUGCUCGUCUAAAUACUGUAGAGGAUUAGGAGUGAAAUAUUUGGAGUACUUUAGCAGGGCAUUGCGGUUAAGAUGGCUAUGGUUCAACUGGGACAAUGUGGACAGACUUUUGAAAGGACUGCCUGUUACUUGCAAUGCGACUGAUCAGCAGCUCUUUGCGACCUGCACUUCGAUUCACAUUGGGAAUGGGGAAAAGGCCUCAUUCUGGUUUGACGGUUGGCUUGAUUCACCGGCUUGAUGGAGUCCCUCUGAAAGAUAUGGCGCCCAGCUUAUUCCAGUUGGCCUCUAGGAAAAGUAUCUCUGUUUGUGAUGGGAUCAGGGGAGGAAAGUGGAUAAAGAGCCUUCACAGGAUUAACUUGGAGGAGGAAAUUGACAUGUUGUAGAAAAGGUCUAAAGUGCAGUGUGUGGGUGGGGUGGUCAGCUAUCUGAAAACCCAGACUGCGUAUCUUACAAGCUCACAGCCUGCAACUCUUACUCGGCGGUGUUUGCGUAUGAUGGGCAGUUAUUCGGCAAAUUCCUUGUAAUGACCUACUGAAGAUUUGGAGUGUUGAAGCUGAAGGAGAAGUGCAGUUUUAACUCUGGCUUCUCCUGCAGAACAGACUGUAGACUGCAGACACGAUGCAUGUGAGAGGCUGGCCGCACAAUGAUGUGUGCUCCAUGUGUGACCAGGUGCUGGAACUGGCGAACCAGCUAAUGCUAGGAUGUUCUUUUGGUAAGCAAAUUUGGUUUGCCUUCUCCUCCUCUCAUCCUAGAGCUUCUGGCAUUGCCCUGAGAUCUUCCGUCGCUGUCCGGUGGAGACAACCUUUGUUUAAUUCAUGCUGACCUCCGUGUAUAGGCCAGCUUGAUCGAGAGUAAUUUGCAUGCAUUUUUCUUUGGUUUUUAGCUGGUCUUGAGCUAUGUACAGACUUCCCCCUUCUUUAAUUCAAAGCAGAGCUCCUGAUGUUCCCCUAGAGAAACAGGCAGGGAAAGAGGUAACUAUCUUUUGGGGGACUAAGGGUGAAUUUUUUUUUAUGUGAUAAAAUGAGCAUAUCAUAUAAGUUGGGGUCAGAACGUAACCUUUUCCAUCAGGUUUAGUACAAUCCACUUCAUCAUUAGUUAGGAAAAAUGUCGAACACCUUGAGGAACUGACACUACUAAAUCUACUAGAUGAAGCAUUGACACUGAGAUAAGAAAUAUACCCCAAAACUGCCAGGACGGUGAGCCGGACGGGGUGAAGGCGCAUCCAAUACCCGGCCGGAAUCGCUCCCCGCAGCUCCAGCACCGGCAACGUGGCCAGCGUGAACACGACGGCGUCGUCGGGCCAGCCGAGGCUCCGCAGCGACGCCGCGACCCGCAGCCCGAACCCGGACGCCUUGAUGGAGUCCUCGGCCGCCGCGAGCGCCGCGCCGCGGCAGCCGAGCAGAGCAGCGGAUCCCAGGAGCGCGAACAGCACCAGACGCCUCGGGAGAGCGCCCCAGUCGCGGGGCGCCUGGCCCAGCCCCUCCGUCGCCUCACCGCCGCCUCGCGCGGGCGCCGCCCCGCGCGCGGCUCUGGCGACGGGGGCGAGAGCUCUGCGGGGAGGAGCGGAGGCUGGAGCCCUGAGGCGGCGGAGAGCGGGCGGCGGGGCCACGAGGAGAGGCCUCCGUCUCCAGGAUGCCGGCGGGAGAGGCGAGGGCGCGGCGGCGAGAAGUGCGGCCGCCAUGGCUGACCCAAUCGAGGAGAGAGAGGCUGCUCCUACGCUUGCCGUGGCGGCCGUGGUGGUCUGCGGGGUUUGGAUGGGUACGGACGGUGGUUACGAGGAGGGGAGCGGUCGUCGGAGGAGCGCCCGAGGCCGCUGCGGCGCCAUACCACAGGACGCGACGAGAGCCGGGUGGGAGUGGGACGCCAGCGGAAACAGAGGAUUUUUUUUUUUUGAGGGAAGCGGAAACAGAGGAUUGUUUUAACGGAAAGUACAUAUUAAAAAUCUCUUGUGAAUAAACCAGGUCAAAAUAAAAAAAGACAACGCUAGCCGCCCGUCGACUGUCAGAGCGUGAGAUCGGCCCACUCCACUGCCGCUGGAUUGAAGCGAUGCGUGCGUUCGGGAUUGCGUUGACCGGUUCGUCCUUCUGGAUCCUCGCGCAUGGAUGCGUGGUGACCCUCCCACUUGAGGGCAAUGCACGUUCGUUUUCAGGCGAGGUUUCUGCCCCCUUUCUCCAUUGCCAAGGCUGCGGGUCCUCACCCGCUGCUCCGGCGACGAACGGGGGUGGGCACCCCAAUGAUUCUGCUCCUGCUGGUUGGAAGGGUUGGCCAAGUUUGUUCUUGGGGCGUCGUUUCAGUGGUGAGCACAGCGUCACGGAAUAAAGUGCCUAUGCUCUUCUCCCACAUCGGCGGCGCAUUGUUGACGAGGCAUACGGCUAGGAGCAGCCACAUGAUGAGCUUACAUUGAAAUUGGGGACUGACACUCAUUGAGGAAGGGAAGCAUGAGUGGAAACUCACAACUCAAACCAGGUGGGAGAAGAGGAUUGUUUAGCCGGAAAGUACUCCCUCCGUCCCAUUAUAUAAGAGCGUGUAACUCUUAUAUAAUGGGACGGAGGGAGUAUAUAUUAAAAAAAUCUCUUGUAAAUAAACCAGGUCAAAACAAAAAAAAGGACAAUGCUAGCCGCCUGUCGACCGGUAGAGCGUGAGAUCGGUCCACCCCCUGCUGCUGGAUUGAAGCGAUGCGUGCGUUCGGGAUUGCGUUGACCGGUUCGUCCUUCUGGAUCCUCAGCUCCUCGCGCGUGGUGAACCUGUCCUACCUUAGCGCAACGCGCAUUCCUUUUACUUCUCCGGCACAAACCACUUAGCUCCUCGUGGUUUCCAGGCAACGUUUCUGCCUCCUUUCUCCAUUGCAUUGUUAUGCUCGUUGAGAAAUUAUAAAGAAAAUUUGUGCACAUCCAUCCUGCUUUGCAAAAGGUGUUUUACGAACUUCCCAACAUUAAUCAUCCUAUAGCUAAAAAGAUCGUUACCGUUAUCCUUAUGCGAGAAUUUGAUUUUAUAAUACAAGAAGCUAGGGAUAUUUUUGCUUUCUAUAAUACGAGGCUACGGGUCCUCGCCCGCCGCUUCGGUGACGGAUGGUGCUGGGGAGUGGGGACCCCGGCGGUUCUGCUCCCACUAGUUGGAAGGGUUAGCCAAGUUUGUUUUUGGGGCGUCGUUUCGAUGGUGAGGAUGGUGUCAUGUCUUUGGAAUAAAGUGGUAGACACUCAAAGCUUAAAGGUGUCGCCACUCGUGGUAAAAACUCCAAUCUCAAAGGUGAUAUUAUUGUACUUAUGGUAAUGACCUUCAAGAUUUUUUGUGUGUGAACAAGAGUGCUUCCUCUAUGAUUUUCAUUAACAGAAAUCACAGUGUCUUCCCUAAAACAAACCACCAAACAAAUGCAUGAUUUGAAUAUGGACCCAGUCAUGCUAUCCCCAACUGUCCAUCCAAACCACAAAAUAGGCUAAACAGCAAGCCUGUCGAUAACCUAGAGAGAGCUAAUAAGUUUUUUUUUUAAGAAAACAUCAGUCUCAUCCUGGGACAACACACUCCGCGUCUCCAAGAUGAUUUUUUUAUUUUAUUUAACCAGCUAACAUCAACCACAAGCUCUACCGCGGAUAUAGGUCUUUCGCAUAGCAAAAUACUGGAAGAAAGCAAACAAGGCUCCACUAGGGGGAAGAGGUUCUCCUUUUAGCCAGUAGCAUGACCUCUUAGAUGGUAUACCCAUCCAAAGCAUGCUUAUCUAUUGACUGCGGGUCAAACAAUUAACCUGCUAUGGAUGCAUAUAUAGCUACUCUGCCACCGGUUGUAGAAAAAAUUAUUGUGCUGUCAAACGUUCUAGCGCGCGAUCCAACUACUUUGCGCACCACUAGGCAAUCGGACGACAGACCAGGGCUGGACGGGUACAUGCUCCGAUAUAGAAAUUAGAGGACCAUCCAGUUUAAUGUUCCACUUCAAAAUAGCAUACCAAACUAGUAGCAAGGAGAAGCUUCAUAAAGAAUCAAGAACUACACAAAAGAUUCAACAAAAAGAAAUAGAGGAUUCUAGACUCGCAAUGACAACUCGGUGUGGCAGAAGGACAAUUGGUAUACUAUGGUUUAAAAAAAUGAGAAUAACCAACCAGGCAGAAAAUAUGUAGUGCAUCAUAUAUAUAGGUAACAUAAAUAAUCAAAGCAAGAUCCCUUUCCCUUUCCCUUUGUUUGUAUUAGAGGAAUUAGACCCAAAAAACCUCUCCAACCAAUCAUUUUCCCGUCCUAGUGGUGAUCACCCCCAAAAGCACCAAAUUCCCCCAAUAUAGACGAGAAAUUGCCUCUCCCCAAAUACCUCCCCUAUCCAAUGGGGCCCGUAUUUCACUCCACCGCAUUCCAAAUCCACACCACCCGCUAGGAUUGUCUUUCGUCGUCUUGCACGCUCGAGCAUAGAGUGCCACCAUUGACCUCUGAGCUGCCGCAACCGACAAUCAUGGACCACCGCCUCACCCAACACCACUCUUCCUGCCCUUUGUCCUCCCCCAAUGACCGACGACACUCCAAACCACGUUGGUGCACCACUGCCCCAGCCUGCGUGCCCAAGCAUGGCCGCGAAUGCCCCCUGCGCACGCCCCCAUGCUCGAGCUCGAGCCCGCCUCAGUGCCCCACCACCACUGCCCUCCCCCGUAUUUUUACCCCAUUGAACAACAAUUGUGUGUUGGAGAUGAGUUUAUUGAUGAUCUGUAAGAGCAACCGCCGCCAAUAAUUUGAAAUUGUUAUCGGGGAGCCCUAUAACAAUCUUUUGGGGAUGAGUUAUUGGGGAGCUGUUGGAGAUACCCAUGCCUAGGCGUAAUCAUGCUAGAUGUACGAGCGCUAGGGGUGGCAUAACACAUAAUUAAAGCCUACCACAUUUUUUCCUUGGGUGGAUCCCGAUUCUAUAUUCAUAUCUGGCUUUAAAAAGUUGUCUAAUCUCAAAUUUUAAGGCUGGUCGUAGCAGGAGUAACAUAGCAAGUAACAUAACAUAUCCCGAGACAAGUUUGCUUAUGUGGCAGCUAGUUAAUGAGGAGAAAGGUGUUUGGAGUAACAUAUUAUGUUACCAUCACAUAGCGUUUCCCAAGAAAAGUUGAGUCUACAAGCUAAUAAAUGCAACCAUAUAUGUUACUACUUUUAUGACACUUUGCACUAUCUCUUACUCCUAAUGUCUCAGUUGGUAGUCUCCGUUCCGGGUUUAUUUUCGUCCCAUCACUUUCGUCCGGUUUUUUUUCGUCUCCCCUCCCCCCACCCCACGCAUGCAGCCCAAAAAAAAGACGCUGCAAAAAAAACCAAAGCCUAUCGAUCCCCUCAAGGACACAACGCCGCCCUCGUGCGUUCUCAGAGGUCACAGCGCCGCCUCCCCUCUAUCGCCAACUCCGACGUACGAUCUUACCGCCGCCGACCUCCCAGAGGAGACGUCGCCCGCGGACGUCCGGGGUCACGCCGCGGACUUAAGGGAUCAACGUCGCCGACCUCCCAGAGGGGACGCUGCCGCCGCUGACCUCUGAGGGGAGACGCCGCCGCCACCUCCGCUAAACCCUAGGCAUCCACCACCGUGCUCCCGCCGUCGGGUUCCGCCUGCGUUCGCCACCAUGCGAUCGCCUUCCUCCCUCAGGUUCAUCUUCCCUCUUUUCUCUGUUUGGAUCAAGACGGAGAGAAUCAAAUCUGAGACGGAGAGAAUCAGAUCAGGAUAGAGAGACGGAGAUGAGGAUUGAGGCCAUGGGAUCCCUUGCUAAAAUUGAGAGGGAGGGAGGGAGGGAAAGGGUAUCCUUGUGCAGGGCUGUGCGGACCUCGUUCAGUUCAUGAUGCAUUGCCUCGUUCAGUUUCUGCUAUGUUCUUAAACCGUUCUUCUUUUCAUGUACUAAUGUAUGUCCUGCUAGGAGUAGUACCACCGUAGUCUUCUUUCUCUGUACUCCAAAAUCUGAAAGAGGAUGUCAAUUAUGUGAUCGAAAAGAUACCACCUAUAUAAAAAGAAAAGUAACCAGUCGUCAUCACUACAAGGUAUUCAAGUAAGGAAGCAUGCAUUUGUUGAGUUAUGCAAGGCCAUGCUUCCGUGUUUUGUGUGGAUGCUGGAAUGCACAGGCAUCUUAUCUUCUUGCUCCUUUAUACCAACUUUUGGUAUUUUAUCUUUUUAACUGACAGAACCACUCUAUAUUUGUCGGCAUGGAAAUUGGAAUAGACAUUGUAGAUCCAGUGUGAGAAUAUCAUAGCUGCGCUAAGUAAAUGUACUAUUGUUUAGAAUGAUAGUCUCAUUAUUUUUUUUAAAGUUAGGAUGGUUUGCCUUACUAAUUGUACAGUUUUAAUUUUUUUGUUGUUGUUCAAUUUGCUCUCUGCCAUAUUAUUCUAUUUUUGAGAGUUCAUGAAGUCAUUCUGAAAUGUUAUUUUUCAUGUUGCUCAGCUCCUUUUCUCUACGCUGUGUCAGGCUGCAACAGCCUAAGUUUCUAUUUUCUAUCUGGGCUCCACUCGCAGUAGUAGGAUGCUCAUUGGCAACCCAAGGUGUGUAUGCCCCUACUUCCCCAAGGUACUCAAGCCCCAUGCCUGGGGUGACUUCAGCCACUUGACAAUAGUUCCGCCUUAAUUUGUUCCAUAUAUGUGUUGCAGUAUCAAUGCAUUUUCCAUUCAACUUUCUAAAGAUUUUUGUUCACAGAUGUGUGCUGUUGUGAGGCAUGUAGCACCACUUCUCCUGACUGCUAUAAUCAGUGGAAGAUCUCAUGACAUGGUAUGUGGUUCAUGUUUUCUGUAUCUCUUGAUAUUUGACUUUGUGAAACUAACUGAAUUGUACUAAAGAUAGGCGUCAUGGUCUCAUGGAAUGGACAUCAUGGGGCUUAUUAGGAACUCUGAGUUCAGCGGGCACCAUGCCGAAAGGUGAAGCAACUUUUGGUAUUUUGUUAUAGCACGAUUUGUUCUUCUGUUUCCUAAACUUGAUCGCUCACUAGCUUUCUUUCACAUGGUAAAGAGGUCAAUCUCUUCCAAUACACAAUCGCUAAGGUAUGUAUCAAUGUCUAAAGGUUAAAAAAGACCCAGGUUACACCAUAUGGUUUAGGUUGCUCACCUUGGUGGCUGACUAGGCGUUCAAAAAUCUUAGUGAGAGUAUAAAGGACAUUGUUGAUGGUGCAAUAAUGGAACACAACAAGUUGUGUGUGUGUGUGUGUGUGUGUGUGUGUGUGUCGCAUGACCUGGGAGUCUACAUCUAAGAGUUCCUUUCAGUUUUCUAUCAGAAACAUUUCUUUAUAAAAGUUCUGUUGGACACUUAUCUUCUCUUUACUUAUCGUUUCGUGGGACUACGAAAAAGUUCAUCUGUGUGUAACUACAAGGUUCUCGAAGUCCGCCCUCUCAUUGACAGGGUGAAAGUUGUGGAAUUUUUGCUUUAACUGCCUGGAGUAAGAUGACAGGACAUACAAAGAUGCAUUCAAGGUAAGCUCCAGUGAAAUUAGGUGUUCAUAAGACAAUUCUUUCAAGUUGCGACCUACAUUGUGGUGUCUCCGUUCAUCAAGUUCUGAGCACCAGCUCCAGUGAAAUUAGAUGUUCAUCCAGCCAUACUCCUAGGUGGAUUUCUUUGGUGUGCUUAUUAUUGUGUAGUUAGUGGUUAUGCACAUGCCUCAUCAUCUGAUAUUUCUGCAGUAGUUACUGAAAGCAAUCUGAGGACAAAGCUUUGAUUGUUGUUGUAGUUGAAGAUUCAGAGUUGCAAGGCAGACACAGUUAACAUAGAUAAGAAACUAUAGAAGAUUUAUCAAACCAGAUAUAUGGGCUUGGUUAUGCACUGAAUCAUUGUGGAGGAUCUCAGGUAAUUAGGCCAUACAACAAAAUUAAAUUUUACUUGCUUUUAAAUGUUUAGGGGGCAGAUGAUGUUUCAUAUGCUAGACUGAAGUACGCACCUUUUAAGAGUAUCACUGAUACUCCAGUCACCCAUAAAAAUGGAAGUACUGAAAAUUAGUUUGCAAGGAAAAUAACUAAAUAGUGAGUCCAAGCAAACCUACUGUCUAGAUUACAUGAGAUCAUUUUAGCUCUAAGAGUUUCUUUUAUCUUUUUUUACAUUCUGGUAAACAUGUGGGUGAAUAACUGUUAGAAAUUGUUCUGUAUGUACACGUGCAUUCUACUAGAACUGGUGCUUGAAAGAAUAAAAAGUUCUAUAAUAUUUGUAAGCCAAACGGUGGAAAAGCUCACUCCUCACAGUAGAUUACCAUCGUCUACGUAUCUGCUUUGUCGAAACAGAGUCCACAGGUUUACUCAUGUCAUCUGUUUUUUGUUGUUUGAGGAAAGGUUUGUUAGGAGCCCAUCUCUUCUGCAGCAAGCCCUGCAGAAAGAGAGCUAGAUAUAAUGGUACUUGCUAGCCUUUUAAUGGACACUUCCUUUUGGCCUUUUUUAGUUUCUCUAAUUAGGUAAGAUACUUCAAUGAGUGAGAAUUUUUUGUUCCCUCCCUUUUUCAUUGUCUUUUGAGUUUUGCUUUGUGGUGAGAGGAGGAUAGAGAUACCCAAUUGCCGUGGGGAUCAGAGAUUAGGUGAGGUCACAUUGUUUGUCUCGGCUUUACAGUGUGAGGUGAAGGAAGAAAAUAAAGUAAUGUUAGAAUAUUACAAUCAUAUAUCUAGACAUACUCUACUCCUAAUGGAGCAGUUGGAAAAUAAAAGCCGGGAGAAGUAUGUCCCCUCCGUCCUCCUCCCGCGACGCGCGUCACGGGAGAAACCCUUGCGCCGCCGCCGCCGGGACCCCCUCCUCCUCCCCUUCUCCCAUCCCCUGCCGCCGCCUGCGAGCAAGNNNNNNNNNNNNNNNNNNNNNNNNNNNNNNNNNNNNNNNNNNNNNNNNNNNNNNNNNNNNNNNNNNNNNNNNNNNNNNNNNNNNNNNNNNNNNNNNNNNNNNNNNNNNNNNNNNNNNNNNNNNNNNNNNNNNNNNNNNNNNNNNNNNNNNNNNNNNNNNNNNNNNNNNNNNNNNNNNNNNNNNNNNNNNNNNNNNNNNNNNNNNNNNNNNNNNNNNNNNNNNNNNNNNNNNNNNNNNNNNNNNNNNNNNNNNNNNNNNNNNNNNNNNNNNNNNNNNNNNNNNNNNNNNNNNNNNNNNNNNNNNNNNNNNNNNNNNNNNNNNNNNNNNNNNNNNNNNNNNNNNNNNNNNNNNAGUAGGUCAAGAACUUGCAGAUGCUACGUUUUUUAUUUUGAAGUUAAGACUCAACUUGGAGCAUUGGAGCAUUUGAGAAAUCUCACCGCCAAGUCGACAUCCAGCAAUGGCAUCUAGAGCACAAAGGUCUAAAAUUGAAAAGUACACAAUCUGUCGAAAUGCUCUCACCAUCUCACGAAAUUGAUGUGCUCGGUGAGGCAGAGGACGAUGGUGUAGUGCUGCCGAAGCUCGGUACUUCCUUCGCUGCACUGUGCUUGCUCUUCUAGGUGUCAUCCAACGUUGCCCUUGCGCGCAUCCGCAUCAGUCUCCAACCUUGUUACAAUUAAUAUAUUAACGCCCAUUGCUUCAAAGGGAUAUAUAUGAAAAGACAACAGAAUAGAAAACCAUAGAAACAUGGUGGAAAUGACUAAACAAAAUUACUAUAUGCACAUCUUUGUAGAGAAGGUAAGAAAAAAAGAAAUUUCUUCCUCUGCUCCAAGUGUGACACCUCUGAAUCUUUCAGUUGUAGAAGAAGACAGAAUGGAGAUUAGACUAAUCUGCCUUCUCGUUUUGAAGAUCACAACAACAUUUACUACAUCACAAUGCACAAGAACCUAACGGUUACGUCAAACAGAGUUUGGAAAUCAACAAUCAUGAGUUGUGAGAUAACAAAAUAAUCACAUCUGACUUGGUCACUCAAAAGAACUUAUGCAGGUAAGAACCCUUACUGUGCUACUGCUAACGCCAUAAUUUAUUUGAUUCAAGUGGAGAGCUUUUUUAUUCCUACAAAGCACAAAAUAUAUAGCAUUUUUCAGAGAAAGGUAACAGCCUCAACAAAUUCUAGAUAAGAAAAGGUCACAGAAGUGCAUGAAGCUGGAUUUGAGAGUGAGACUGAGAAGAAAACACUACGGGGUAAUCAAAGUACAACAGCUGAUUCAAAUAGAAUGUUUAGGAUACAUAUGUUUACAGUUGAGUUUCAGUUCGUAGAAAUAUAAAGUUUGGUACAUCUGGACUGAAACAAAGCUCAAAAAAAUUGUACCUUCGCUGUGUGAUUUCCCUGUCAAAUACCGAGCAUACUAUCAGUAGGCUGUGUAGCAGGCCAACAGGCAGCAAGCCAGCAACUCAGCCUAGGUUGGCCAGACCGACGGCACGGCUCAGCUUGAGGUAGAAAUCCUCAAGUCGCCCUCGGCUCCGGAAAUCGCCCUGGGAUGGCUAGAUCCACGGCGCGGCUCGCCGACGGCCGGAUCCGGCUGCUCACCGCGACACCUGGUCUCACCACUACUCACUGGACCCGACCGAAACAGAUAACCGUGGCGGGGACCGAGGAGUGGAGGGGAUGGGAGGCGGCAGGGUGUGCCAAGGUGGGGAGUUGUGGCGGCUGGGAUGUCGUGGCGGAGAGGGUUGGCGGCGGCGACGAUGUGGCGGAGAGAACGAGCGAGAGGGGUGAGAGAGUGUGGUCUUGUAGAGGGUUGCCAUGGGGUGAGAGAGUGAGAGGGUGGCUGCCGUGAGGAUAAGUCAGGAUAGGUGGAAAAACUAAUUUGGUUUGUCUCUUUUGUUUUACAUGUUUACGUAAUUAACAACUUGGUUCUUUCUUAUACCACAUUACACAGUACACGUGGAGCCUGGCACUACAUCCAGCACCCAACAUGUAACAAAGCAAGAUCUAGAUAGUGAGUUCAGUUUAAAUUAGCAUAAAUUAACAAGCAAGCAUGACAUUAUUUAUACAAUAGAUCCACAGCAAUGUUAAACUCCUAGACUAUGCUCGGCGCGGCUUGGCAGGGAGAGGAGGAUGUGGGUGGUGCGAGAGGUUGUCGGGCAGAGGAGGAGGUCAGCAACGACGUGGCGGAGAGAGGAUGAUGUACGUGACACCAUCGAGGGAUUAGAGGGAAAGGAGACAUGACAACUGGCGUGGAGAGGAGGUGUCGAACGACGCCAUGGAAGGAAGAGGAGGAUGAGGACCAUCGAAGUUGUGGAGGAAGGAGGAGGGGGCGGCUGACACCAUGGAAGGGAUAGGAGAGGUCGGGAGACGGCAUGGAGCGAAGAAGAGGCGCCACUCCUGCGAAUGAAGCUGACGACCACAUUCCUGAUAUUGUGCAUGAAUAUCAUAAGCGCAUCAAGCUAAUCUUAAUUUGUAAUAGGUUAUUAGUUGAAUCAUCGCUCUCUUGUAUACAUGUCAAAUUAUUGUUUUACCAUCUUACAUUGCAAGUGAAGUGGAUUUCAAUUAUUACUCGAUUGCACUCGUGCUAUAUUUUCUAUACAUGUGAAAUUUAACAUGCAUUAUGUUUAUAUAUAACUUUAACAAAAUAUUCCAAAAGCAUGUGGCAAUGCACGGCCGUUCUACCUCAAGAUAAAAAUAAAAAUAAAUGCCAAUAAAAUUCUAACAAUAAUAAAUGUUAUCAAAGAUUGAUAUAUCUACCUAUCACAAGAGAGGUAGGAGUAGUAUGUUCUAGAAGAUGUGUUUUUCUGUAGUGUUUCUAAAUGGUAAAUUGUAUGGUUUCAACCACCUAAGAAAAACGUCCUACACUGAUCUGAUCUGUUCGCUCGCUCCCCCCCCCUCGCGGGCGACAUGUGAAUCCCCGACCCCCCUCUCCUCCAAUCCCUCCCCGUCUUUCCCCCCUGCCGCCGCCGGCGUGGUCCGCCAGGUUAUGCCCACGCAGUGCUGGCAGAGGCGGGCCGUUCUUUCCCCGCUCGCGCGUGGGGGUGGGGGGCGGGGGCUGAUGGCGGUGGUGCUCCUCGGGCGAAGGCAAGCCGUUCUUUCCCCGCUCGCGCGUUGCGGGCCGUGGGUGCCCUGAUGCGGCGGCGCGACCGUUGGCUGCAAGGCGCGUGGUGGUGCGGCUGGCUGGCGGCGUCCACUCCGCCCAGAUCUGGGCCCUUUUGGGCCCCAUCUGGGUUGGGGCGAGCCGGCGGUCCGAUGUGCGGCGGUGUGGCUCCCUGGUAGUGGUGGUGAGGCAUCGGGGGGUGCGGGUGGUGGCGGCUUUGUCGGCCGACGUGCUGCAGUGUGGCAACAGGGGCUGCCCUGACCCAUUUGGGCUCGGUCGGGCCAGUAGGGGCCUGGUAGGCCCCUGUCGUCACGUCUGGCCGGCUUCGCGGCAGCGGCGAAGGUUGUCCCCUCUCAUCGGCUGAGUUGUGGAUGCCCCCGAGCCCCUUGGCUCCUCUUCCCUCCUCCAGAUCUCGUGUCGGUGGCCUCAGGAGAUGACGAAGUUGGUUCAGUGAACGUGGUGGCAAAGGCUGGUGGGCGGCAGGUUGGUUGGUAGACUUCAGAUCGUCCGGGGUGGUGGUGGUUGUGUCUGGGUUGGUGAAAUCCCUGGCGGCUCGUCCGACAUCGACGUGGUGCCGCCUGCAGGCGCCGCCGGACCUCCCUAAAGGUCGUCGGGUAUACGCCUUCCCCACUGUUCUCUACGUACCGAGCGAAACCCUAGGACUUGUCCGGGCAGCGGUGGCGUCGUCGUCGUAUUCCUUCUUGAAGGUGUUGCUCGGUACGCGACGCUUCGGGUGCUAGGAGCGCGGUGGUACUUCACCGGAGGGUGCAGCGGUUACCGGUCAUCUUUGUUUCGUUGAUCUACCGGUGUCGGCAUUUGUUUCUCUUUCUUUUUUCUCUCGUUUUUAUUUUGGGCUUGUUUGUGUUACGGCCCAAGUGAGCUGGUUGUAUCGGAUGGUUGCUUUAUAAUAUAAAGCGGGGGAAACCCUUUAUCGUCAAGCUCCUAAAUCCAUAUUAUGUAAUAGUUUGUCAGCCAAUUGCAUAUUGCAAUGAAGUUUCUGGUUGUAACAUUUGUAUAAAAGGAAAAAAAAAUCCUUCAUGUGUUGUUUUUAAUUAAUGGAUAAUAACAAUGCACAUGCUUUCAUGAGAAAAUCGAUUUUAAGAAUUAAAAAAGACAUUCAAGUGUUAUUAUCAUUUGCAAUGCAAUGCAGAAUAAAGAGGUCAAUGUUUGUGUACCACCUUCUUUAUUUUGUGCAUCAGGUGUAUAGGGUCGAAUUACAUUUUUUUUAUCAACGUACGCUGCAAGUGAAUUAUUCCAAUUAUUUUUCUGUUUAUUAUUGCCUAUCUUUCUAUCUACUCCCUCCUUCCAUCUAUAGGGCCUAAUGCAUUUUUCGAGGCUAACUUUGACCAAAUGUUAGAGCAAUAAUAUAUGACAUGCAACUUACAACAAGCAUAUCAUCAAAUUCGUAUGUGAAAGGAGCUUCCAAUGACAUAAUUUUCACAUUAUAUAUCCCAUAUACUAUUAAUCUUGUCAAUAGUCAAAGAUGGUCUUGAAAAACGUACUAGGCCCUAUAUAGAUGGAAGGAUGGAGUAUGUAAAAUUUUACAUGCAACAAAUACAAAUUUUCAAAAGCCCGUGGCAACGCACGGGCAGUCUACUAGUAAAGGUAGUAACGUAGACUAGUGUCAUAUGCAUGGCACUGGUCUAAGUUACUCCCCACUAUGACUAGCCUAAUAGACAGUUUCUUGCAGAUAUGAUUACAUGAUCCAAAAACAUUUAUUGUUACUUUAAUACAUAUUCAUUGGCAUAUCAUUUUUUAUCAUAUCAAUGCAAUAUUUUCCCAAAUUAGUUGGUUAUGUUUGCACCGCUACAUAUGACAAACAUCAUAUAUUAAAUUUGAGCACAGCCCCAAAGUUUUCAACAACCAUCGCGAUGGGAUUGUAUUGGUUAAGAACUCUCUUAAAAAAUGUUGUACACAAUAAUUGUUAAAAAAACAAAUACUCCAUCCGUUCCUAAAUAUUUGUCCUAGAGAUUUCAACUCAAUAUUUGUCUUUUUAGAGAUUUCAACUCAUUUUGCUUCGUACCUAGUCACUUGUUGAAAUCUCUAAAAAGACAAAUAUUUAGGAACGGAGGGAGUAGAAAACAAGAAAUUAAUAACAAUGGCAUUGGAGCGGGAGGGGUAUAUUUAUAAAGAAAAUGAUUCCGCCCCAAGUACAAAGGUAAAAGUAAUGGCAUCAUAUACAAGAUCUUGGCCAUUAAUUCUCAGCUGACUUGUCGCCAAAGUGUUGUCAUUAGGACUACAACUGACAAACGUGACUACUGCUAAUAACUUGCUGCAGCGAGUCCACAUGCGGCAAUGUGUUCAAGUGGUGCAAGCCUGAAGGCAGCAAGAGGGAGGUGGACUCAAGAAAAAAUAUAGUCAGUUUACAUGUAAGGACGUCGGAUCAUGCAUGAGAGGAUGAAGAAAACAGCCGAAAAGGCUUGUGGCCAGAAUCAAGAGGAGACAACCACAUGAAAAAGCGAAUGAGCUAGUACUACAAGAGUUUUACCUAAUCAAUGACAUUCCUAUGCAGGAAUAAUGGUUUUUCACUGGAACCACAUGAAAACACCAAGGCUGUCUCCAGAAAUUUGGAGCCCUAGGGUGAAAAUAAAAAUAGACCUAAAUUUUUGAAAGAAAAAACAAUUACAAUGGAUAAUAAUAAACUUAAUUUUAUCCUACUCCUAUCCUAGCUCAAUGGACAAAUAAUUUUGUCCUACUCCUAAUCCUAACCUAGCCUCUGGGAGGUUAAAAUUAAUCAAGUACUACUGAUAAAAAAAUAAUAAUUAUCAAUACCAGUGGAGAGGACUCGAGGGAGGGGUCGAGGAUUCAUGGACGAUCAUCAAUCAAUGGAAGCACACGGGGACCUGUGCGAUUGGCCGUUGGCGAAAGCAAACAAUUUUUUUCAUAGUAUCUUGUUACAUAGUACAUAAAAGGGAUAUUAUUCAUAUAAUCUUCAUCAAUCAAUAUUAUAAAAGAGCUUCUUCUAGCUAGCUGCUAGUUACCUGUUAGCCUUCCUUUUUCUUUUCUUUUUUCUUUCUUUCGACGUUGUUGGGCUUUCGAGGUAUGUGGAGAAGACAGUUGGAAGUAGUUCGACAUAUGGAGGAAACCUGUAUCUGUCAUUCACACACCCACCACACUCCGCAUCCGCACACUUAAUACAGUAUGGAGUACAUGACCGCAGGUACGCAUGGUUCAUGUCAACCAUGUUCAUCCACGCCUUACCACGAAAUUCCUCCUCCCUCAGAAGGCAGCACAGAACAUCCGGGUCAUCCGGGCUGACGAAGGGGAACUCGGGAAGACGCUACGGUAUGCCCAGAGCUUCAUAGCCACGCUGCGCCCAUAGACAAUCUAGGUUGAUCACGCGGUGCAGCUCCCACUGGAACUCGGAGCUCAAAGUCCAAAUGGUGAUUCUCUGGCGGGUCUGCUGCUGCCUUUUUCUCUCAGGAAGCUGAAUCCAUCUGGAGCGAUCGUAGAUUCUGUCAUGGAAGUCAUUGUCAAUGUGGACAAGCGCAUCUUGCCUUGGCUGCCGGACACACUUCGGUAUCUCUCCGGGUAGUAGCUUUCGACUCGUACCUCGUUAUGGUAGUCAUUCUCUCCAGGGAAUGGCACGAAGCGGAGCGCGGCGAGUCUAUGGUGGAGAAGUCACAUAGCAGGACGCCGCUGAAGUAGUCGACCCAGCAGAGGAAACGGCUGUCGAAAGCAAGCACGUGGUGGGUUGACCUGAGGUCGAAGAAGUGGCCGCCAUUGCUCUGGUCCAGCAGCUGCGGCUUGCGGAUGAUUUUCCACUUCCCAGUCCCGGAGUUGAAGACGCAGAGUUCGGCAGGCAUGGAAUGAUUGCCCGUGACAUUGAGCUCGGCGACGAUGUAGCGGUCCGCCGCCUUGAGCCGCAGGAUGCCUGUUGGGAGGCUACCCAUCAGGAACGCCCUACCUCUAUCCUUGGUGAACGGAGGGAGCCGCUGCACCGAGGGGGGAGAAGAACCGGCGGCCGUGUAGACGAACAGAUCUGGCGGGACGAGGUAGCUGUCAGUCUGGCUCGGGGUGGAGAUGUCGAAGAGGACGAGGUCCUUGUCGGCUGCCCGGACGUAGGCAUAGGCGGGAGAGACGGCUGAGCCUUGCUCGUCCGGCCAGUGGACGUUGAGGUAGGAGACUCCUUUUGGAGGGCCGCGAGGGUGACACUACUAGAAAAAGGCUUACUAGUGGCGCACCAGUUUUGCCUACUAAUGGCGCACUACUGGUGCGCCACUAGCAUCACGCCACUAGUAAUUUUUACUAAUGGCGCACCGCUGGUGCGCCAUUAGUAUCUGGUACUCUAAUGGCGCACUGGGCAGUGCGCCAUUAGUAUAGGCCACGGUGCGCCAUUAGUAUGCCUCCCAGGGGGCCAUAUAUACCCAUGUGCUUUGCCAUACUAAUGGCGCACUGCAGUGUGAUGCACCAUUAGUAUCCUUCGACAUACUAAUGGCGCACUGCUGGGUGAUGCGCCAUUAGUACCCUCUGGCAUACUAAUGGCGCACUUCUCUGGGAUGCGCCAUUAGUAUCCUUUGGCAUACUAAUGGCGCACGUUGGCGUGAUGCGCCAUUAGUAUGUAUAUUAGGGAUUUUUUUUUCUUUUCUGAUUUUUGCACAGAUUACAAAAUAUAUUAUUGGACAGAAAAUAAGCAGCAGGACACAGCAACAGCAGAUUCAUCGAAUACAAUAGAAGAUUAGUCUCCGAAUACAAUUCAUCAUAUUAGUCUCCGAAUUCAAAAGACCGAACGAAGAUAGAACAUUACAAGUCUCGAGACCGCGAGUAGCGAGUUUUUCUUCACAUUACAAGUCGAUAUCGAUCAUCUAAACUACCAUCACAUAGAAGAGAGAUGCGGUCAUCACGACGAGCAUCAUCGCGAUGAAACUGGUCUUCAUCCGGUUCCUCCAACGCUCCCUCCUCUCUCCCGCUAGAUAGCGCGCGUAUCUAGAUUCCGCCUCCGCCCUAGUGGUGUACCCUUUGUAACUGUUACCGCUGAAACGGUGAACCUGUCUCCGACACUCCUCCCAGUCGUCGUAGACUCCGGGAAACCUUACCCUUGUACACGACAUACGACGACAUCUCUAUGCACUAGCCAAACAACAGACAAUACAUAAGCAAUAUAUAAGUAUGCAACAAAAGGAUCGGAAGAGAAAAACAAGACAUCCAUAGCACGAUUCAUGGUCCUACUAACAAAUAGCAUCGAUUACAUCUAAGUUGAACGACUGUUCAAACCAAGGAGACAUACAAGUUCACUACAGUUUAAUUACAACAUGAGCUAAUGAAUGUUUCAGAACUACACAUAGCAUCACAACUUUCGACUCGACUCAUGGGACCGGAGCGUGGAUGAAGCCGCCGUCUGUCGUGAUGGUCAUGAAGUCGCGGGCGUUGUCAGCCUGAAUUUGUAGCGUUGUGUCUAUCUCGCUGUUGGACGGUUGAAAUUUGAGGUAGAACUGCCCCGAGGUACGAAGGACAUCUUGAUGGAUGAUUUCUGCAAACUCCGACUGGAUGCGAAAGAAUUCUUGUCGGAUGUCCGCGUCCUGGAUUGCCCCCAAGCUUGCGGCCCAAUCUUUGAGAUUAUUUGGUAGGAGAAGGUGAUUAUGGUCCCGCACGAUCGCCCGCAUGUGAUGGAGGGCGUAGUAGGCAUCCUUCUGACCGCCAGGCGGCUGCUUGACGCAGGGGAACGUCGUAUUGUGGGUGAACACGUGCCUGCCGUACCUACGAACUGGCCUCUUAAAGGUGCCUCCAGAUGCGGCGUAGCCGGGGAGAGCAUCAUCAAGAACUUUCUUGAUAUUUGUGUAGUCUAUCUUGGAGUCACGGUCCGGGUCGAGAUACGUGGCCAUGGAAUAUUUCGGGCUUAAGAGGAUGAGUGUGCAAUGUGUGUCACUGCACAGAAUACGGAAUGUUAGAAAAAAAAGAACGAUCGAAAUCUAAGAAAUCAUAUGUUACGGGGCGGUUAGGAGAUGACUUACUCGGGAAAGUAAGGCACGAGGAAGUUAUCCUUAUCUGGGUUUGCCAGAAUGACGCCUUCGAGGUGUGAACUCGCGACUUGCCGGUCCCCAGCGCUGCCCAAGAUCUUGGCACGCAUGUAGAAGGGGUCGACUAUCACAAUGUCCGGGGUCUUGUCUCUAAUGAUCCGCAUCUCCAUACUCAGCAAAAACAGCCGAACGAAGGUGUAGUCCAGCGGAUGAAGGUUAAGCAUAGCAAAGAUGUCAUCAAAUCGCAGGACGAUCGUACCCCCGACGGCGCUAUCCACAAAGCCCUUGCCCUCUGGCACCUUGGCCACGAAAACCGGGUAUGCCACAUCAUUCUCUCUGAGACGCCGCUUCUCCAAAGAAAGAACACUGUCAUGCAGACUCCGCAUAGCACCGGUUGCAUCAUUGAGCAUAUUUGUCGGUAGCAUCGGUCUACCCGCCACAUGCACCCUCCUCGAGAUAUCCUUAGGUGAAGGUGGUCCGUCCUGAGCACGGAUCGUACUCGGUGCCGGUUGGCUCGCACUGGCGCCCUUGUUAGUCUUUCGUUUCCGUCCCUUCUUCUUGAUCUGCUGUAAUGGGAUCGAGUUCUGCUCACAGACCGCCUUCUUGAGCGUGUUGGGGCUGAUAAUAUUUGGCACCUCAGCUAUCUGAGGCUCGGUGAAGGCGGCAGCUGGAGGCGUCUCCUGAGAACUGAACGCCAGACGACGCCUGUUGCAAUUGGGUUUCUCCGCCGUACCAGCUAGAUCGCGGUCGUCUUUUUGAGGGUUGGGUUCUUGAGAAGGAGGCCCGCAGAACUCGUCACCGUACCCAUGCUCGGCAAAGUACUUAUCGACGUUGGUAAAUGUACCGUCGUCGUUGUCGUCGUCGUCCGGAUCCUGUGCCAUAUGCAUGUUCGGAUCCUGUGCCAUAGGGAUGUCCGGCAGGUCCGGUAGCGUUGCGGCGUUCUUGCCAUGGCUUGGCGCUGGCACGACUGGCGGUCUUGUCUGUGGGGUGGUGUCCCCCGCCCCCAAACGAAUCUGGCUCUUCGGCCAAAGCAGGGGCCAGCUUACACAGGCGCCGAGGGUCAUCACAUCAUCUUCGUCGGCCCCAACGGGUCGAAUCGGAGGUAACAACUCGUCGCAGCCUGGCAGUACCCGAACCAGUUCAACCCUAUAGAAGGUGGGUGGCAUCGGAUUACCGUGGAACACGCGGUUGCCCGGUUGAACGAUUCUGCCCUUGGCGACAUCGACCAACUCGCCGCCCAUGAUUUGCAGGAGAGUGCAAGGAACAUCGGUGGCGCCCUGCGAAACCAUGUAGGGCGUCAGGGAUGCCCAGUCAAAGGCAAGGAGAUGAAGUCAUCGACCGAGAGGCUUAGUUACCGUGAUGCCGUCGAGCUCGGCUAAUGUCGAGGCACCGCCAACGGCGGGCGUGCGCGUGCAACUGACGGAGGGGCCGCUUGCUGGCGAGGUGCCGGCCGGCGUACACCCAGGUGCAUUAAGCUCCAAUGCCCGUGCCGGUGCCGGAGACACGAAUACCGCCUCCGCCGGAGACACCAAUGGCGCCGCCUGCGCGUUGUGCGAGUUGCUGGCCGUGAAGCUGGGAACCGGGGGAGGCCCCUGUUGGCCGCCCGCAAUCCACGUCGUCAGCCCCUGAAUCAAGGUAGGCACAAUGGCGGUGAGCGUCGUUCCCAGUUGUUGUUGCACUUGCUCUUGGACAAUCUCCGGAAUCCGCGCCACUUGUGCCUUGAGUUCUUGAACCUCGCGCGACUGGCUUUCCGAGCUGGUCUUUUUCUCCUUUCGCCCACCAGCGGUAUAGUAUGACGACCAUUUUGUGGACAAGCCUUUGCCGGCCACACGACCAGCUGACGACGGCUUACUGAGCUUAUCCUUGUUUUUCAUUACGUUCAACGCCCUAUUUAAAGGGGUGUCAAAAGGGGAGCUCUGAGAUGACCCCGCGCUACUGCUUUCAGCCUCCUGCGGAAGGAAUGUGAACCAUUUAGAAAUUUGGCUUCAUUAACUAGAAUGCAACCAUAUAUGUAGCUAAUUACGCGGGGGUGUAUUCCUUACCAGAACUUUCUCAAGCGCCUUGGUCUUCGGAUCCGUGGUAAGCUCCUUUGUUACCGGGUCCUCCUUGUACCGGGCCCUGAUAAAGUUCCUGGUCUGCUUGUCAGGGAAUUUCUCGAAGCGGGGCGGUAGGCCUUGCUCGGCACGCUCCGCGUCCUCCUUGUCCCAUAUAGGCUCCGCCACUCUAUAACCGCCGGGACCGAGUUGGUGGACCCCUAAGUUCAACUGCCGCAUUUCUUUCCCCCACUGACUUGAUUCGGAGGUUGCGCUGCUCUCGCACUUGAUCUUGAACUCCUUGUAGUCAUCUUCGCUCAUCAAAGGAUAUUUCGCCUUGAUCUUCUCAUAACUAUCACCUUUUUCAAUCAUUGCCUUCACCGUGCUUCUCCAUGUAGACAGGGCCGUGCUCAUCCUCGUGAGGGCGGCACUGUUCACUUUAUUCCCUGAGAGGCGUGUGUUUGCAAACUCAUUGGGGAACUUGUAUCGUUCGUGCAGCUUCGUGAAGAGGAGGCAGCGCAAAUUCCCUCGGUCCUUAUGCCUUAGGUUCUCGGUGUUGAUCGAGGCGGUGCUCCGAAGAAUGCACCCGAGCUGAACCGAGUACCCCUUGACUACAUGUUUGGGCGCCGUUGGAUGCCCGUCGGAGUUCACUUCAGUAAAUUCCUCCUUGACGGUGCCGAGCACGUUCGGGCGCCGGUCCUUCCGUUGCCUCUUUGGUUGGCUGCCAUCUGUGCGUGCGCCGCCAUCAUCAGUGGUGGCAUCCUCGGCGGCACCAUCAGUGGUGUCAUCCCCGACGCCACUAGGGGUUGUGUAGUCAGGAUCGGUUUCUUCCGCGGCGUCCUCAUAGCGGUGAGGUUCUUCCUCCAUCUCCUGGGACAGCUCCCAGAAUUGCUUGCCGCCCGAACCGCUGGCCUCAUCGUUGUGGGCCAUGUUUCGCUCUAAAUAGGAAAAAAGUUUGGUCAAAAAGUUGGUUAUUGCCAAGGAACAAGAUCUCUAAGUUGACCAAAUAACCUAAUUCUCGAGGAAUGUGUCCAGAAAGUUGGUUGCUGCAAAGAUACAAGGCUGUGAGUUUGGUCAAAUUGCCUAUGCUAUUUGGGAUGGAACCUGUUAGUGUGUUGUAGCAAACAAACAACUCCUCUAAGUUCUCAAGAUAACCUAGUUGUCGAGGGAUGUGUCCAGAAAAUUGGUUGAUGUCAAGACACAUGAUGAUUAAUUUUUGUUUCGGUUGAGAAUCGGGCACCUUCUAGGUCAAAAAAAUUGGGCAUGGCCUUUGCUAAUUUUCUUGACCUAGGAGUGCCCCAUUCUCAACCGAAACGGAAAUUAAUCAACAUUUCAGGAGAAAGGGCUCAUUUCAGAAGUUGACAAAAUUCAGUGAGAUUGACCACAGAAAGAUUGCAUCCUUUGUUAUUGACCACAGAAAGAUUGCAUCACAGUUUACAAAGUUCAGAAGAUCUACAGUAGCAGCAACAUCGCUAUGACAUAUCAUGGCUUUAUACAACAUUUGCAAAACAAGAUUGCAUCCUUUGUUAUUGGUUUCCUUGCAAUGAGAUUGACCACAGAAAGGUCAAUUUUCAAUUUCUGAAGUCACCGCAAAUAAAGAAAUCAAGGUCAUUUGAAAAUACAACACAGUAUCCUUACAUUGCAUCACACGAACAGAAUAAGUCAGACAAAUGAGUGCUUCAACAUAAUUGAUGGAAACUACACAGGCAGUACAAACAACCUACAACAUGUUGUCUAGAUGCUUAUAGUCACAGUAGUCUUACUUUGCUAUAAUGCUCAAGAAAAGAAGCAUCAUUGACAGACUUCCAUCCCACUAUCUUCCCUCAAAUCAAGAUUAGACUACUUGAAGUAAUCAAAUAAUUUCGAAAUAGAUUAACCAGUGCUAUAGGCAUACAAGUACUAGAACACACACCAGGCAGUUUUUAUAAUAUUAUCAGAAAACCCACAUAGUGGUUUCAGUUAGGUAGCAGAGUGUUUGGAGUACUGUCAAUUAAGCCAGGUAGCAUCAAGUUGUGCAUCUGAUCAUAUAAAAUAGGAUAGGGUUAAUUAUUCAGAUCAUCUAUGUUUGGAGUACUGAAACUCAAUUAAACUAGUUAAAUGGAGUUCAUCUACUCACUAGCAGUACUACUAACUGGCAGUAAACAAGUUAAGCUACUCACUACAGUACUGGCUACUCACUUAAGCUAGCUAGAAGCUACAAGUUAAACACAUUUGUAGCACUGAGAAAUAAUGCAACUAGCGGCAAGGAGUAUAAUGGCAAUCAUGUAGCAAUCAUGUCCUUCCCUUCAUAUAUUCAUGAUAUAAAUGGAUUGUUCUACCUAGUAUGUUGUUGGAAAUUCAGUUGCUUUUUCAUUAGGACUGGCAACAACACUAGCACUGUUUUACAAUGUGAGGCAUGAACUGUUCCCUCUUCUAAUUAUCUUGUAUCUGACAGUAGCAAAAAUCUAGACUAAAUUCUAGCAUCUGAUCUACACAAGAACACCUCAAGAAUAUUCAGAUUCACAAUUCCGAACAACACAAUUUAAAAAGACGGCACAGGAUGGCACCGACGGCCUGGAAGUGAUCCAUGGAAGAACUCACCUUGAUGGACGCGGUCGCAGAAGAGGUCGUAGACGGCGGCGGAGCAGAGACGAGGUCGCAGACGCGGUCGUGGUGCUCCGGUGGACGCCGGCGUCGAGGAGGCUGCGGGCGGCGAUCCGGAGGAAGGGGCCCGUGAUGUCGUCGGCGUCCUUGGCCGCCUUCUUGACCUUUCGAGCAGAAGAAGGCACGGGUGGUGAGAGGAGGAGGANNNNNNNNNNNNNNNNNNNNACCUUCCGAGCAGAAGAAGGCACGGGUGGUGAGAGGAGGAGGAGGAGAAGCUAGGGGGAUGGGGGAAGGGAGGGAGGGGACGUACGUGCUGGGGCGGGGGUGGAGUCCGGCGGGGGUCGGGGCGGCGGCGUCGAGGCAGCGCAAGACCACAGCGGCGGACGACGUGCAGGCGCGGCGGACGGAGGGGGCGGAGCAAGGGGGCGGCGGCGUACGGUUGGGGUCGAGGAGUGGGGGAUCUGGCGAGCGAGGGAGGGAGGGAGGCGACAGUGCGAGGGGAACAAGUAUAAAAAUUCUAAUGGCGCACCUCCCCCUGGUGCGCCAUAAGUACGUCGAUUCUAAUGGCGCACCUCCCCCUGGUGCGCCAUUAGAAUUUUGUUUUACUUACUAGCCCGACUGGUCAGGUUAUAUCCCACCUAACCCUAUCUCCAUCAGAACACGCCCACUAGCCCGACUGGUCAGCACGUAGCACACACACUAGGAGGUCCUGGGUUCGAUUCCCAGGCUCCCCAAUUUUUUUAUGCAUUUAAAAUGCUGUUUGAUAUUUAUUUGUGUUCAAAUAUGUUCAAACUUGUUUAAAUCAUAAUAGUAAUAUUUUUUUAUAAAAACAGUAUAAAAACACUAGGAGCAGGCCGGGGAGGGUGCGGGGGAGAGAGGGUGCGGGGGGUCGUCGGCGACGGCCGGUGGAGCGGGAGAGGGUNNNNNNNNNNNNNNNNNNNNNNNNNNNNNNNNNNNNNNNNNNNNNNNNNNNNNNNNNNNNNNNNNNNNNNNNNNNNNNNNNNNNNNNNNNNNNNNNNNNNNNNNNNNNNNNNNNNNNNNNNNNNNNNNNNNNNNNNNNNNNNNNNNNNNNNNNNNNNNNNNNNNNNNNNNNNNNNNNNNNNNNNNNNNNNNNNNNNNNNNNNNNNNNNNNNNNNNNNNNNNNNNNNNNNNNNNNNNNNNNNNNNNNNNNNNNNNNNNNNNNNNNNNNNNNNNNNNNNNNNNNNNNNNNNNNNNNNNNNNNNNNNNNNNNNNNNNNNNNNNNNNNNNNNNNNNNNNNNNNNNNNNNNNNNNNNNNNNNNNNNNNNNNNNNNNNNNNNNNNNNNNNNNNNNNNNNNNNNNNNNNNNNNNNNNNNNNNNNNNNNCCAUGAAAUACAAUCGAGAAAUGAAGACUACAAUUUAAAUAUAAUCGAUCUUAGCUAGCUAUCUGUUCACAAUCUUCUUGCCCUUAUUUUUCGUAAAUGGAGUUCUUCUCUUGAACGGACGUCCUUUAGGUAGGGUGGUCCUGCUUCUUCUUGUGGUGUAUGCUGAUACUUCAUCGUCGUCGUCAUGUUCCAUCUUCGGGUCGCCGUACUUGUCGAAGUCUUGCUCAUUGGCGACUCCAUCCAUUCCGAUGAUCUUCCUUUUGCCUCUCCUCACGACAACACGACUGGGCUUUGAUGGGUCGGUAAUGAAGAAGCAUUGGUCCACUUGGGAAGCCAGUACCCAUGGCUCAUUUUUCGCGGUGACGUUCGCGCCUGCAGUCUUGGAUUUGGCUUCGGGUAUAACCAUGGUGGUGAAAUACCGGUCUUCUUUUAUGACGCUCUUGGCCCAUCUGACACGGAACAUCGGGACCUUCUCUUCAGCGUAGCUCAGCUCCCAGAUCUCCUCGAUCCUUCCGUAGUAUCUAUCCUUGUCGUUACCGGUGUAGGAUUCCAUCGUUACCCCGGAGUUCUGAUAACCAUCGCUCUUCAUGUCCUUGUCCUCGGUGUAGAAUGUGUAGCCGUUGAUAUCGUAUGCCUCAUACGUCAUCAGGUUGUGAUCGGCGCCCUGUGACAAGGCGAAUAUGAGUUGUUCUUCCGCGGAAGAAUCCUCAUGUAAAGGGUACGACAGAAGCUUCUGCUUGAACCAACGCGUGAAACAUGAGUUGUGCUCUUUGAUUAUAUCUCCGUCUGUCCUCUGUUGGCCUCGGUCAUUGUACGUCUUCUCAAUAAACGUUUUGUGCUCUACCAUCCAAGGAUCGACCACGUUUAUGUGUUGUAGCGCGACUAGGUUUGCUCUUUCAAAGUCGGCGAGUCGACCAUCGAAGUCGACAUGCAUUUCGCGGCGACCCUCACGGUGACCCCAUCCAGCGAGCCUGCCGAGGUGCCUGUUGACGGGCAGACCAAUGGGGUUCUCGAUGCCUAGAUAAUUCGUGCAGUAGGAGAUGCACUCUUCGGUCAGAAAGCCCCUGGCUAUGCUUCCCUCUGGGCGUGACAUGUUGCGAACGUAUCCUUUGAUGACACCAUUCAUCCUUUCGAACGGCAUCAUGGUUUGCAGGAACGUCGGCCCGAGUUGGAUGAUAUCCUCCACGAUAUGGACCAGCAGAUGCACCAUAACAUCGAAGAAUGCGGGAGGGAAGUACAUCUCAAGCUCGCAUAGUAUCACCACGAUCUCUUCCUGUAGCCUUCUGAGUUGCCUCACGCCAACCGACUUCCGAGAGAUGACGUCGAAAAAGUUGCAUAGGCCAAAUAGCGUUUCACGGACGUGCGCGUCCAUGAUCCCACGGAUUGCAACUGGAAGUAUCUGCGUCAUCAGCAUGUGACAGUCGUGAGACUUCAUCCCACUGAACUUCUGCUUCACUGAGUCUAGGUAUCUGCUUAUCUUCCCCGCGUAACCGUAAGGAAGUUUUACUCCUACGAGGCAGGUGAAAAACUGAUCGAUCUCCUCCUAACUUAGAGUGAAGCACGCGGGAGGGAAGUCAUUUCCGGUCUUCUUGGCCUUUUUGCCUUUGCGACGACUUUCCGUGUCCUGCUUCGCCUCAUCAUCAUCAUCAUCAUUAGCGUGAAGCUCCUCCCUGAUGCCCAUUGAUUUCAAGUCUGCCCUUGCUUUCGGCCCAUCUUUGGUCCUCUCUGGCAUGUUGAGCAGGGUACCAAGCAGACUCUCGCACACGUUCUUCGUGAUAUGCAUGACAUCAAGGCUGUGAGGCACACGGUGGAUCUUCCAGUACGGCAAGUCCCAGAAAAUAGACCUCGUUUUCCAUACCUUCAGCAGUGGCUCUGGCGCCUUUCGCUUCUUUCCCGGCUCUGGCGCCUUUUGCUUCUUUCCCGGCAGUGGGCAAUCUUUCCAAUUUUUCAACAGCUCGUCUAUUUCCUCACCGCUCCUCGUACGCGGGCGUCUUCGGGGUUCGGUUUCACCAUCGAACAGAUCCUUGCGUUUCCUCCACGGGUCAUCGUCGCGAAGCCACCUUCGAUGUCCCAUGAACACGGUUUUCGAAGACCUGGGAUCUCUAUCUAGCUGGCGAUACGUUGUGUCAUCCAUGCACCUGACACAUCCAGAAAAUCCGUGGACCACCUGCCCCGCGAGAUAUCCGAAACCGAGAUAGUCGUGCACCGUCGUGAGCAGUGCGGCUCUCAUAGGGAAAUAUUCUUUCUCUGCGGCGUCCCACGUAUUGGCUGGCGUUUUCCACAGCGUGUCUAGCUCCUCUUCCAGCAGCCCCAGAUACAGAUUGAUGUCGUUCCCUGGUUGUUUCGGCCCUUCAAUUAGCAUACUCAUGUGAAUGUACUUCCUCUUCAUGCACAACCAGGGGGGAAGGUUGUACAUCCACACAAACACAAGCCAGGUGCUAUGUGUGCUUCUCUGGCUGCCAAACGGAUUGACUCCAUCGGUGCUCGUGCCCAGCACGAUGUUCCUUGGAUCGUUCCCAAAUUCUGGGUGUUCGAAGUUCAACGCUUGCCACUGGCUCCCAUCCUUAGGGUGACUCAGCAUCUUGUCUUUUUUAUUUAUCUCCGGAUCAUUUGCGUCAUCUUCUCGCUUCUUCUCCUCCCUAUCCGCGUGCCAACGCAGGAGCUUUGCUACCUUAGGGUCCGCAAAAUACCGCUGCAGACGAGGAGUGAUCGGAAAGUACCACACCACUUUUCGAGGAGCUUUCUUCCUCUUCUUGUAUCGAGUGACACCGCACACCGGACAUAUGGUAGACUCCGUGUGCUCGUCCCGAUAAAUGAUGCAAUUGUUCAUGCACACAUGGUAUUUCACGUGCGGUAAAUCCAGAGGAUACACGAUUUUCUUCGCCUCCUCGAAACUGGUCGGGCACUUGUUCCCCUUGGGAAGACGUUCGUGCCAGAAUGACAUGUUCUCGUCGAAGCAUGCGUCGGUCAUUUUGUGCUUUACCUUCAUCUCCAGAGCCAUGAGCGUUACUUUCAGGCGGGUAUCCUCGGGCCUGCAUCCUUCAUACAAUGGAGUAACCGCGUCUAUCUCCAGUUGAUCCAACUUGGCUUUCUCUCGGGCGGCAGCUCUUGCGUUAUCCGUCUGCUUGAGAAGCAGCUCUUGAAUAUGAGGGUCCUGCACCCAGCCCAUCGAUGGUCCAUCGUCGUCUGCUCCGCCGGCAUCUUCAUCUUCAUGAUCAUGCCCUUCGUCUGCUCCCGCAUCUUCCUCACCAUCAUGUCCGGCAUCUUCUACAUGAUGACUGUGUACAGCAUCACCGUCGUGAUCAUGUCCUAGAGAUUCUUCGUCUUCUCGCCCGCCCGAGCCGCGGUGGUUGUCUUGCUGCCCAUCCUCAUUUCUUGCCCGACCCCCAUGGACGACUUCAUAGUCAUCUUCAUCACCUUGCCACCGAUAGCCAUCCAUGAAACCACGCAAGAGCAGGUGGUCCCGCACCUGCCCGGAAUCCGGGUCCGCAAUAAGGCUCUUCAGCUUGCAUCUUCGACACGGACAUCUUAUCUCCGUCUCGUUCUUUUCAAGCAUCUCGGCCUUCGCGGAGCUCAAAAACCUAUUCACGAUGCCUUCGGUCAUCGUGCGGACCAUGGUCACCUGCGGGGUAGAGCAAAACGAUAUUUUAGAACCAAGAAAAAAUUUGGCAUGACUUUCCCUAAAAAUAGGACCAAAAAGAAUGCAUAGUGCCAAAAUUCUCGCCGAAACGGAAAUGAAUCAACAUUCCGGCAAAAUAUUGGCAACUAUCGCAUUUCAAAUACCGGUACCUGCAAACACAAACAUAUAUGCAACACCACAAACAUAUGCAACACUACAAACAUACAUAGAUCUAGCUAGGACAUAAAAAGUGCAUGUGCACGUUGUUGGAGGGAGAACAACAUAAAGAUAGCUUCCCCUUACUUACCUAUCAAAAAAGGGGCUUUAACCACGUAAUUUGGAUGAAUUUAUGGUGCAAAUGAGGUGAGGAGGAGGAGGCAGCCGAGACAAGCUUGGAGGAGGGAGGAGAGAAUGAAGUGGGGAAAGUGAGUGGGUAGGUGUGGCUGUCCAAAAUAUCUAGCUCGUCCCAGGUUACUAAUGGCGCACCACCACACAAUGCGCCAUUAGUAACCCUGGUUACUAAUGGCGCACCUGCUGGUGGUGCGCCAUUAGUAGUUUUGCAAAAAAACACUAAUGGCGCACGGGGGAGCAGUGCGCCAUUACUAGCUUAAACUAACUAGUAAUGGCGCACUGCCCUAGGUGCGCCAUUAGUAGUUUUGCAAAAAAGUAAAAAAUAAAAAAAAUAUUUUAGUGGCGCACUAUGUUGCUGGUGCGCCAUUACUAUUUACAACUAGUAAUGGCGCACUAUGUCCUGGUGCGCCAUUAGUAUGUCUGGCAAAAUAAAAUAAAAAUUUAUUACUAAUGGCGCACCGUUUGUCUGGUGCGCCAUUAGUGUCUUUCACACUAAUGGCGCACCAGCACAUGGUGCGCCAUUGCUAUAUAGCAAUGGCGCACCACAUGUCUGGUGCGCCAUUAGUGGCCAUUCCAUCUAUAGCCCUUUUCCUAGUAGUGUGAAGGACACGUAGCAGGAGGGGCCGCCGUUCAUGUCUAGUGGAGCGGCGGUCUUGUUCUUGUUAACAGCCACACAAGCAGCGUCUAGGCCGUUGUGGCAGCGCGUGCGGCCGUUGCGACCCAGCAUCACCCAUUCGGGGAAGACGACGGCAGUCUCUUCCUCCGGCUCCGGCGCGCCUCCGGUGACCAUGGAGAUGGGGAUCGAACUUGCCUCCAAAACCCUAACUCUAUGUUCUUGGUGAGGGGAACCGACGGACGGGAAAGAAGGGCGACAGGCCAAGUUAUACUACAAUAUACUACUAGCAGGGCCAUCGAUCUCAACGGGCCAGGAAACUAGUGGCACAAGCGAACAACGCAGAGGAGUUUCCCGUUCUACUUUUUGGGAAAAGAGAAAAAAAAUACUAUAUAGGGGUCUUUUUUGUUGCCAAAAAUACCAAAAAAAUACCACCUCAUUUUUUUGAGGAGAAUCUCCUCUUGUACGUACUACGUAUAUAUUACUCAAACCCCGGAAAGGUUACAAUCAAAUUUAACAGAGAGAUUAUUUGUCAAAAAAAUGUUUACAGAGAGAUUAAACAUCGUUUGGACCGGAAGCAAUCCACACAGCUGUCUGUCCAGAGAUUCUGCCAGUGUGACAAGUGCCAUGUGAUCACUAAGACACUAACAGAGUUUUGACAACGAGUGUAUGACUAAGAGCAUCUUUAACAGCUGCGCAACCGCGCGGCGCGCUAAAAUAAGUUUACAACGCCAAAAUAGCAACUUUUUGCGCCCCGCAGAGCGCUAGCUCCAGCGGCCGCUGCAAAAAAUUGCACGCGCACCGCUUCAGCAGAAGCGCUAAAAUACAACGCGUGAUACACAUACGUACGUAAAAAUAAUCUCUACUCCUAAUGUUUCAGUUGGUGAAUAGUCUCCGCGGUUUUUUUUUCGCUGGUUAAUUUUCGUCUCCCCCCUCCCCACACCCCACGCACGCACUAAAAAACCAGACCGCACGAAACAGCGCUCCUCCCCGAUCCCCUCGACUAAACGCCGCUGCCCUCGUGCGAUCCCGAUCCCCUUGACUAAACGCAGCGUGCGAUCCCCUCCCCUCGAGUAAACGCCGCCGAUGACCUCCCGGAUCUUGUGCGAUCUAUCUCGCUGCCGCCUACGUCCGGGGUGGCACCGUCCGGGGUCGAGGCCAACAUCGGCGUCAUCAAGUGCGGACGUCGAGGCCCCCGACUCGUGGGCCGCCGCCGCCAUCACUUCACUCCGGGUCAGGGCGUGGCUGUGACCGCCGUGCGGGCAACGAGGAGCGCCGCAAGGGCGUACCGUGGAAGGCCUGGAUCAAGGAGGAGUACAUGUAUACCCCGCGUCAAAAUCUCAACUGCAAUCCACGAAUUAAAGCAGGACUCCCUGAUCCGCUGGUUACUCAUCUCAGGUUUGUCUCUUCGCAUUAUUUCUUUCCAGAUCGAGCAAGAUAAAGUGUGACGUGUGGGAGAUUGGCCGGGGAGGAUACCGCCGUAGGUGACGCCAUGAACCGAGGCUGAUGUUGGAGAGCCGCGGCUCUGCUUGGGAGCCGACCGGUGAGAGGCAGCUCUCCGAGGUGGUGUUGCCCGUGGCGGGGAUGGACAAUCCAGUGGCCGGCCCGCACCCCUGGACGCUCCUGGGGCGGGCUGCGGUCAUGAGAAUUCUGGGCCAUGAUAGUGAGUGUGAUGGGUGCUGGAGCAGCAUGAUGCCAACGACCACGAGCUUUGGGUGCUUAGUGUGUUGGCGAGGCAUAGAAGGGAUGAGAGCGAGAUAGACAUGUGUGUGCAUGGAUUGAGAGAGAGGGAGGGAGAGAGAAGAAGAAUUGUGCUGCUGCAGGAACAGGUGUACGUUCUAUAACAUCUAUACUUUAGUUGGAAAUGGCAGCUUCACUGAACUGCAUCAGUUGUAAGCUUCCCUAAAUUCAUAUAUAUCUAUAAAGUAGGGCACUUCUACCUCCCUGUAGUAAUAAAGAAGUAUACUGAAAAAUUCGUAGAUGAUUAAUACUAUUUCGUUUGCAGGUUCAGCCAAUUCCUUUGAGGUAUUAACAAGUAGCCGAGCUUUUGGUGUCAUCUCUACUCAGGGAAAUACAUGUCAAAUCCUCAUACAAAAUGUUGAUCUAUUGUUCUUCUAGAAUUAUAGAUUUCCGAAUAAUUAGAUGGCCAGUUAUGCAACACAAUAUUCCCAUAGUAUUGAAAUCUUAUGUUCUCCAAAGUGUCCUUCAGCAAAUGGCACUUGAACUUAAUAUGGGAUACUCCAAAUCUAUAAGAGCAGGCUAUAUCUGAUAUUUUCUUCAUACAAAGUCGGCAGACUUGAUUUGUGUUUUCCCCUACUUGUCAAUAUGAUGGCCCGUUGUAAAUAAAUGAGGCUUGGACAUCACUUGUACUUGGGAACUACUUUUCAGUGACAGCUGUAUUGACGAAGGUACUCUUUGUUUUCUUAAAGAUUGAUUUCUUCGGUGGUGUGUGUUUUACUUUACAGUUUUGAUAAGAUUCCAUGGCCAAUACACUUUUUUCACAGUUUACAGCAGAUUACAGCAGCCUCAAAGGUAAAAUGAUCUGAAUAUUUUUUUCACAAUACACUGGUAGUACAUAGUAAUAGCCCUCUUAAUAAUUUCUAUAUAGAAGUAAGAUCUGAACAUUUUGUUGAGUUGUUUUUGCACCAGAUCGUUGGCCAUUAACGGUUAUCUAUGGCACUAAAACUUGUUGAUCUCAACACAUUCACGUCACAACACUUGUUGGCUGAAACAUGUGCAUUAGCACCAAAGAAGUUGAGGUCAAAUUAAUGAGGUGAUAGCUAAACCCUUAUACUGAAUAUAUUUGUGUUUUCUUUUGCUUCAAGUAUAUAGACAUAUAUUCCUUGAUCAAAACUCAUCUACACUACUGCCACUAAUUUGCUUCAGGUCAUCGACUUUAAGAUUGAUACAUAUGUUUCUCUUAUUAUGCAGGAGUUGUGUGAUCUGAGGAGAAACUAUUCUCUUGCAAAUCGGAUAGUUGUUGUAGGAAUUAAAAGGCACAUGAUUGUACUGGGAUUUUGUUUCUACACGUUCCUCGGCCCUAAUGUCUACAUGAGGUGUGAGUUCAACGGGUCGAGGAAAUCACAUUACUAUAAAAAUGGUAGGUAGAAUCACGGUGAUUCAUGCAAAAGCUACUAAAUUUAUCAUAUAACGGAUCAUAUAAUUUAUCAGCUGCCUCAACGGCUCACACUUUAGCAAGUCUUCAUAUUUUAAAAAAUACAAAUGAAUUUGAUAAUUGGAUCAAAUGCAGUUAUAUGUCUUUUACUUUGGUUGAAUCUAAAAUUUUGUUAGAAACAUAACGAACCACUUGAUAUAUAAAGCAUUGAUCUAUGCAAAACUGAGAGAUGUCGUGUUUUUACAGUUCUUAUGAUGUCUGAUUGAAUUUUCUUAUCCCACAUUUUAUUUCAGAUGCCGCAGCAAAGAAAAUGCUGUCAGCCUUGGACGAUCCAUUCACUCGAUUCUUGAAACCAUUACCUUUUUUGAAGCAAGAAUAGCUAGCACCCAAGGUGCCCUCGCAGGUGUAGGUUUAUCCAUUGGCUACCCGUUGGAGCAUCACUUGCAGGGCUCUCUGUAAUGUCACUUUUUGUAGAAAUGACUCUCUAGAGACGCGACAUAAGAGCGCAAAAACAUUUGACAUCAGAUCGCUUAUGGUAAGACCUAGCUAUCAUCAAUAAUUUUAGUCCAUUAAAUGUGGUCUUAGUGAAAGGGUGUUCCUUUAUCAUGGUUGAAGGUUGCAUGACUUAUGCUAGGUGUUUUCAUACUUUUCGGUCUCUACUUGACUCUUGCGUACCUACUUUUUUAGUGGCCAGCGAUCUUGCACUGAUUCUUGCUAGGGGUUCUCAAGGAAAUUCAAUAGCCUAAAAAUGAUAUGUUUCAUUCACCUCUUAAUAGUAAUACGAGUAUUUUGUUUAUUUCCUACUCCCUUUUAGUGGUUACUGAUUAGUCACUCUUAAAGGUGAAUGCACAUGCAUAAUAGGUUUGUCAUGGCUGCGUUUUGCGGCCCCUGACUACUGGAAAGUAAUCUCCUUUGGAUGAUUUGUAUUUUUUUUAUGGAAUUUGUACUUAGAUAACACAUCCAAGGAAGGAAGGAGAUUGAGGUCGGCGCCUCCUGAAGGCAUGCAUGCUUGUCACUGAGAGAGGGAAGGGCAUCUCUUUUUUUGGGUUGCAAUUUCCACCUUGUUGUUGGGUGAGGUGAGUCAUGAUUUCUCUCCUCCCGCUUCAUUUUUCAGUCCUCUCUAACUUCAGAAAUUUCCUAAUUUGUUUGAUCUAUAUGUAUGUAAAACAUUAUGAUUAGGAUCCCUCUAUUUGAUUAAUUUCUAAGUUACUGAAUUAUAAUUUCUGUUUUGUGCUCAUGAAUUGCAUACUUGGAGGUUUAUUCGAUUUAGAGAUAGCCACACACACACACACACACACACACACACACACACACACACACACACACACACACACACAUUUGGAGUAGGUGGCUACAACAAAUUUUAUACUAUGAUAAGUGUGUGGUUCAGUCAACCAAAUUAUUGCCUUAUAUUUUAGUUAAAUUUAUUGCUGUGAUCUAUAAGAGAAGCUGCCAUUUUGGCAAUAGAUGCGCGAUAAAGUAGUGGUUGGUGUUGGUUUAAUCCAUUAUCAAAUGUUUUGCCAAUAAAGGAAAAUUACCUUCCUCGUACAUUUAUUGUAUUUCUGUUUCAUGGUCCAGCUGAUUUGUUGUUUGUCAUACCUCUUGUGGAUAAUCAGACAUGGGGUGCAUGGCAAAAUUAGGACAGACUGAAGGCAGCAGAUUCCGUGUCGGCCGUGCACUUUGAGGAGGACAUUGUCUUUGUAUAAGUGCCCUACAAUCGUCCCUUUAUAGCCACAGAUAAGGCCUUCAGGUAGGCUGGACAAAGUGUCAUACACUUAUGUAUCUGUAUUUGUGAUGAUCUUUUUAGCAUUCUUAAUUGAUGACAUUUCUGAACGGAGAUGAUCCUCACCAUUUCAUAGUUAUUUUUCGCACUGUUGUAAGAUCAAGUUUCACAUUCGAACUUAACUUGUUAUCAAAUAAUUUUGGAACAUAAUUUUACUUUUACCUGCCCUCCACAGAAUCAAAGGUUCAGGAGGACUUUUGUUGCACUAAUGCUUCUUCGUUGACCAUCUCGCCGUUCUCCCUUGCAUAUGGAUAUGGCCGCAUAAAUCGCACCGAUGGAUCCAGUCCUUCGCCAGGUCCAACGUGCCUGCACCGGCCUCAAGCACGGGAGACACUAUAACCUUGUGAUCUAACUGGUUACCACAAUCAAAUCCAUUUUUGCCCAUUUAAAUUGGUUCGCUCAGUUUUGUUGAUAACUGAGUUUCAUUGGUUAUAUAUACUGAAGUGUCUUUGUCAUUUUGUUUUACAAUAUAUUCUAAUUGUCAGGAUUUUUGCUACAUUUUUGGUGUAGAUUUUAGGGACAUUACCGUAGUGCUAAUGCCUUCCGUGCAGGUUAUCCAGUCAGCGCAUAUUCUGUCUUUUAGCAUGUGUAUGCUUUGCUCUUGUGCCCAUGUAAUCGUGACCUGUAAUCAGUCCAUGAUCCUUGUGUGACGUGAUCACAGAAGUUGGGCAUAACUGCAUUGUUACUGAGAAGAUGCGAAUAUUAACUUAGGGAUCGGAGCUGAAGCUCUGGCCGAUAGCAAAGAUAUGAAGUCUGAGCUCUGUCUAUGUUUGCAAGUAUAUUGUUGUGACUUCACUCUUGCCCCCGUAUUGGGCAGAUGCUUCAGAAUGGAGUCACUUCUAUGUGUAUGGCCGCUGUAACCACACAACAUGAAUUUUCCCCUUUUUUUUAUCUGAAAUUCUGGCAAGAAACUUGUUGGAUUAACUACGAUUUUAUCCUAUUUACUACUAGCAUUUAUUCUUAUCUCAACAAAUUGUUGCCGCUAUCUAGGACAGUCGGAAGAAGAGGGCUUUGACUGGGAAGCAACAUGUUGAAGCAAUACCUCUUGUUGAACCACCCAAAACCAAAGUAUCCUCUUAGAUUGCGAGAGGCCCGUUGUGUUUAGUAAAAGACUUGGUGUAAAAUAUCCAAAAUAUUAGGAACCCUAUGUAUUGGGUAGACCUGAAAUACUAAUAUAAGUGUAUCCAACUCUUCCUACGAUUCCCUUUCGCCCAUGGACGUAAACCAUGUCUCUGGCUUUGUAAGUCCAAGGCUCCAAGCUAGGCGUUAUUUUUCAAAAAGUUUUCAUUGAUUUCUAAUCGAAAUAUCUCCAUUAGCGUAACCCUAUCUGGGUACCCCAUCAACGGCCGGAGGCAUUCCUGGAGUCAACGGAAACAUGUUGACCAAUUGACGUAAAUGUGCAAUGUAAAUUUACCUCAGCGCUUUGUGUUUGAAUGUGAUGGGCGUUGUCUGUUAUGUCUCCUCCACACUAUAAAUUUAUCUAGGAUUAGUUUAAUAUUAAAAGGCCCGUAAUAACGCACGGGCAUUCUACUAGUUAAGAUAGUUCCCUAAAUAGUUCAUAGCAUAGGUAGAUAAAAAAGGUACAUAGCAUAGAUAGAUAAAAAAAAAGACAAUCAUAUUUCAACUACUCGUCCUCCUCCUCCGACUCGGUGAUGUCCUCCUCCUCCUCCGACUCCGACUCGGUGAUGUCCUCCUCCUCCUAUGUCUUAAUGAAGGCGUCAAUCUACCGUUCAUCGUUGGAGUCCCAGGUCGACGCUUCUUUGAGCUCGUUGUUGAAGAGCGCGGCCGCCUUCCACGUACGCCUGUCCUCGCGAUAGGCGGCUCGCUCCGCCCUCUCCGUCCUUCUUCGCAUGUAGAAUUCGCGCUCGUUGACGACGUCCUCCGGGAAGCGUUGGCGCCACAACGCCAUGGCCUCCUCGUCCAUCUCAGCGAUGCCAAGGUGGCGCUCCCGCCUCCGGUUGUCGCGACCGCCACCUCGGGGAAGUUCAUCUCCCCCUGAGGCCGCCGGAGGCGCCACGCCGCCUUGUCGUACGCGCGGGCGGCCUUGUGGGCGGUGUCGAAUGUGCCGAGGCCGAGGCGCAUCUCACCGGACCGGAUCUCGGCGGAGAAGGAGCUGGAGGGGCGCGCGCGGUAGCCCGAACUUCCCCAGCGGCGAGGCGGCUUGGUGGCGCGGCGGCGGCGAGAUGAGAAAAGAGGCGACAAAGAGCGGCAGAGGGCACGUGGCGAGGCACAGAGCGGUAUGCGGGAGGACGCGUGGAGGGCGCUGGAUUUAUUAAGCACGUCGGAUGCCGCACGCCAAAACUAGCGCGCGCCGGCCGCUUUUUCGCGCGCGCAAUCUUUUCCCGCGUGCCAGAAUCUCCCGCCCCCGCUCCGCGCGCGCUAAAACCCACGUUUCCCACGCGCGCGUUUUUUACGGCCGCUGUUGGAGAUGCUCUAAUACAAGUUCUCAUAUGCUUGACACGCUCCUUGAUUUCAAGAACUGGUGAGGCAUAGCGUGAGUGGUUUAAACCUUCACUUUCUAUCAUGUUGACACUCUUCGAAAUCAGAUUCCACUUCGAUAGGCAAGAUCUGCCUUGUGCAGCGAUAGACAAUCAAUCCAUGAUAGCCGUUAGCUCAGUUGCAAAUGCAUCCGAGCAGAUAAGCAAGUUACGACAUGAAACUUGAAAAUAAAACAAUGGGCCAGGUAACUAGUCAAACAAGCGAAGCAGGAGGUUUCUAUUUUCCGCAAAAAAGAGAAAACUGAACAUUUGUUUCAACCGGCUUUGCUAUUUAGCAGGAAACUGGAAUUUUUGUUGGAUGAGUUGAUUCUUGCAUGCGUGUAGCUCCCAGGUCGAGACAAGCCGCGGGGUCCUAGAGAGGUCUCGGUUGCAGCAAGCCGGAGCUGACGGCGAGGGAUGCCCGGUGGUGCAGAGGUGGCGCGUGGCAACACUUGCUGGCCACGGACACUGGUUCGUCCGGUGUCCAGGGGAGGGGGUGGUGCUGACACGUAGGAAGGAAGAAAAAGAGGAUCGCACCGGAGGAGGAAUAAAAUUUAGUGGAAACAUCGACAUAAACAGGUAUCUUUUUAGUUGCAUUAUUAUCCAUAGGCGGUCCCUUGUUCAACAAACCAUCCGCUUUAUUGAUAAUGUUUGCAGAGCUCUCUAUUUCUUCUACGUUUGGAUCCUCUUUAUUUUAAAAGUGAGCAAGCAGUGUCCUUACUGAUUGUCGUGAUGAAGCCGUUAAGAUUUCGCGUCAUUUUUGCCAUUUCUUCCACCGAACGAGGAAAUUAAUUGAUCCAUCCUCCUGUUCCACUGCGAGCGGUUGGGUGAACCCUAGCCAUCGCCAGCUUCGACCUCUUCCGUGCCAUCCAUCCUCAUCACCUCCGCCGCAACGCCAGCUGAAGCCCGGUUGCAUCGGCGGCGGGGCCCUCUUCCCCCGUCGCUGGGUGGCUCGCAUCGUGGGGUGUAGUUGUUUGGCCGAGGUGUGUCGCUCGCACGGGGCGUGGCAGCGGAUGCGCGCUCGGUCGUGCCGGUGGCACGGGUGGAUGGGGACGCGACUGUAGUUACGUGGUGGCUCACGCGCGACAUGGUGGUGCAACUCGUGGAGUGGUGGUUCUGGUGGUAGGGAUCGUCCCUUAGCNNNNNNNNNNNNNNNNNNNNNNNNNNNNNNNNNNNNNNNNNNNNNNNNNNNNNNNNNNNNNNNNNNNNNNNNNNNNNNNNNNNNNNNNNNNNNNNNNNNNNNNNNNNNNNNNNNNNNNNNNNNNNNNNNNNNNNNNNNNNNNNNNNNNNNNNNNNNNNNNNNNNNNNNNNNNNNNNNNNNNNNNNNNNNNNNNNNNNNNNNNNNNNNNNNNNNNNNNNNNNNNNNNNNNNNNNNNNNNNNNNNNNNNNNNNNNNNNNNNNNNNNNNNNNNNNNNNNNNNNNNNNNNNNNNNNNNNNNNNNNNNNNNNNNNNNNNNNNNNNNNNNNNNNNNNNNGGGCAUGCUUGGGCGGUGGAAAUCCUCCAGAUGUGGGCUGGCGAGUUUGUGUGACGCGAGAGGGGCUCCUCUGCACGAGAUGGGCUCUUCUAGUCCGUGGUGGUGGACGACAUCCAGCGGCGCGCAGGUAGGGGGGGAGGGGGGGACGCGGUCCGCGAUAGUGCAAGACUUCGCGUUGUGCUUCUUGUUGUUCGUUUGUUGUGUCAGUCUGAGUCGGACUCUCAUGGCACUUCCGUGAUGUCGGACGGAUCAAAAUCAAAGGUCACAAGUGUGGCGGCGUGCAAGCUCGCCUACGCAAAAGGUCAGAUCGCUAAAAGUCAAACAUUUAUAUGAACACACUAACAGAAAAUUCAUGGUAUUAAUACAUUAGAUGCGUCAAUUAACCUAACCAGGCAGCAUAUGUAUUGCAUCAUGUAUAGGUACAUAGUAAAGAUAAAUAAGCAAAAACACGAGUGAUGUUGAAGCUUCCUCUAAUUAUCUGUUGCCUUUCUUUUUCUUUUCUUUUUUGCCUUUUGCGAUGCAGUUGGCCUUUCAAGGUAUUUGGAGAAGACAGUUGAAAGUUGGGGGACACCAUUACCGUAAGCUUCCACACCCACAGAUUCACAUGACCGCAGACGUGCAUGCUUGCCAAUCAUGAUCAUCCACCCAUUACCACGAAGAAAUUCCUCCUCCGUUAACAGGCAGCACAAAACACCUGGGUCAUCCACGCUGAUGAUUGGGAACUGAGGAAGACGCUGAUCUAUGUGCAGAUCUCGGUAACCAGCUUGCGCCCAGAAAGAGUCCAGGUCGAUCACAUGAUGUAGCUUCCACUUGAACUCCGAGUUCAAAGUCCAAGUGGUGAUUUUCUGGGGAGUCUGCUGCUGCUGCUGCCGCCCUUGCCUUUUUCUACCACGAAGCUCAAGGCACUGGCAGCGACCAGGGACUCUGUCAUGGAAGUCAUUGUCAAUGUGGACAAAGCAGAUCUUGCCUUGGGUGAUGGACACACUUCGGAACCUCUCCGGGGAGUACCUUUCAAGGGUUUAGGGUUUAGGGUAACACGUACCUCAUCAGAGAAGUUAUUUUCUCCAGGGAAAGGCACGAAGCGGAGCGCUGAGGAGUCUGGAGUGGACGUGGAGAAGUCACAUAGCAGGACACCGCUGAAGUAGUCAAUCUAGCACAGGAAACAGCCAUCAAAGGCAAGCACAUUAUUGGUUGACCAGAGUUCGGGGAACUGUCCGCCAUUGCCUGGGUCCAAUUUUGCGGAUGAUUUUCCACUUUCCAGUCUCGGAGUUGAAGAUGCAGAGUUCGGCACGCAUGCCAUUGCCCUUUCUUUUGGGGUAGACAUUGAGGUCGGCAACAAUGUAGCGGUCCUCCGCGAGCCGCAGGAUCCCUGUGGUGAGGUUGUCCAUCAGGAAUGGCCUCUCCCUCUCCUUGGUGUACAUAGGGAGAGGCUGCACAGAGGGGGAAGGACUGCCGGCCGUGUAGACGAACAGAUCUGCCGGGGGUCCCAGUAGCAAGGCCGGCUCGGGUUGGUGAUGUCGAAGAGGACGAGGUCCUUGUCGGUUGCCCGGACGUGGGCAUAGGCGGGCGGGGUGUCUGGGGUAAAUGGACGUUCCUCCGGCAAGUGGAGGUUGAGAUAGGAGUUCCCUUUUUGAGGAGCCGCAAGGGUGAAGGAGACAUAGCAGGAGAGGCCGCCGUCCAUGUCGAGUGGAGCGGCGGUCUUGUCCUUGUUGACAGCCACACGGGCAGCAUCUAGGCCAUUGUGGCAGUGGGUGCGGCCUCUGUGAUCCAGUACCAUCCAAUCGGGGAGAACGAUGGUCUCCUCCUCCGGCUCCGGCGCGCCUCCGGUGGCCAUGGCGAUCGGGAUCGGGAACACCGCCUCGCUAAGGCUGACCCUAGUUUUUGGACGGGAAGGAAGGGCGAGAGAGUCAAGUUAUUAUACUACAAGGGCCAUCUCUCAUUGGGCCAGGUGCCUCGAAAAAAGAAACCUAUUGGGCCCAGGAAACUACUCGCACAAUCGAACGGAACUGGGAGGUCUGUCGUGGGCGCGACGACCUCUGGACUAUAAGCUGGUCAUAGCGGGGAGUAACAUAUACUAGUAUCAUUCAUAUGAUACUACAUUCCUAGUGCAUAGUAUUAUAAAGUAGUAUCAUAGGUGGUCUCAUUUAUUGCCAUGCAUGACACAUAGUAGCAUCACAUUUAUUAUGUUACGGUAUCUACCUAUGUUACUAUAACCAUCUCUCUCUUCUUUAAUUCCCUGCCACAUAAGCAUGUUUGCGAGUCUCAAGUGCAUGAUACUACUUAUGUUAUCCCCACUAUGGCCAGCCUAAGAUUUUUUUUAAACUAGUCUGGACUAUCUCGCCUUCAGUUAUGUGCUGGGGAUGUGUGCCAUAAUAUUGUCACGCGCUGAUAGGGUGCAACAAAAUUUCGAGGCUUUUUUUUAAAAAAAACUUUUAAUCUAUUCAUCUUCAAUUAUGGUAGUACAAUGAACAUUAGAAAUAAUAAAAAUUACAUUCAGAUAAAAUCAGUAGACCACCGGCGACGAUUACAAGGACUGAAGCUAGCCGAAGGCGCGCCGUCAUCGCCCCUUUCCCGCUAGAGCCGGGCAAACCUUGUUGUAGUAGACAGUCGAAAAGUCAUCGUACUAAGGCCCCAUAGAACUAGCACACCAGAACAACAACCACCGUCGUUGAAGAGUAGCAUAGAUUGGAAGGAUCCAACAUGAAGAAGCACGAAUGUAGACGAAGUACGACAAGAUCCGAGCAAAUCCACCAAUGACAGAUCCACCGGAGACACACCUCCACACGCUCACCAACGAUGCUAGACGCACCACCGGAACGGGGACUAGGCGGGGAGAACCAGAUUGAUUCAUAUUUUAGUUUGACUAGAGACUGACUCGAAAAAAAUUAGUUAAGUAUGAGCCAUUUAUGUAGCUAGAUUAAAAAACAAGCUGAUCUUCAGUUAACAUUGGCCCGCUCGAUAACUUGAUAUCAUAUUAUUAUACUAAAUAAUCUUAAUAUAUAUUAUGAGAAUAGGGUAAUUUAUUACCAUAUAUGUUCUAUAUGAUUUUUAUCCACAUUACUUACUAGCAAACUGAAAGUUUAAUUAAGCGCAGAUAAAAUUUGUAAAAAAGGGCAGAGAAAAUUUAACCCGAUAUGAUACGAGGCUAGCCAUGUGUCAAAUAUCCUGUUAUUUUUUACCAAAAUUUAAGAGCAAACGCACCUUCAUUUUCUUGUUUUGUCAGUUCAUCCAUGAUUUUUCGCUAUUAGGUAUUCAUCUUCAGUUGAAAGAGAACAAAUAAAAAUUUAUAGUGGGUUUUUAUGUUGUGUUGUGACCUAUCUUAUUCAAAAAUUGCCUUAAAUUAUUCAAUUUUAUUUGCCUUACAUUACUAAAAAGAAUCUUCUUAUUUAGCUCGAGAUCAUUACAAAUUGAGCAUAAACCAAGCUUUCUCAAAUUUUAGUGUAAGUUGAGAUAUGCCUAGUCUAACUCGCUCGACCUCGGCGUUUUCUUGUCACUUUAGUCCACCUAGUCUAACUCACUCAAGCUCGCUCAAAUGACAGAAAGGACCAUGCUCAAAUGCUUUUGGCAGAAAUACCGUGGGACAAGCCCAGCCGCCACUAGCCGUGGCACUUACCGCCACAGCCCACGGCGGCAGCCCGAGCAUAACGGCUUUUUUCGGCCCCGCGGCAGCCGCAACGGAACGGUGUGUGGCUGCUGAAACCUGCCGCCACACCCCGUCGUGGCACCCUCUGGCAUCCACUAACAUGUGCAUUUGUGCGUGUUAGAAUAAUCUUGAUGUUUAGAUUUAAAGCAUAGUUAGCUAGGAGUCUACGUAGUGUGUCCUAGUAAGUUUAGCUAAUCGUGUUCAAUCUAGCCGGUGAUUGAUUAGUAGAGUAUAGGCAAGAGUACUAGUCCGUGUCCUGGUAGGUUUUUUAGGUGUGCGUCCGUGUUGUAUUUGGAAGUCUAGGUUGAGUCGGUUUGCUAGCCGUAGGUCUAGGUCCAAUAUAUAUUGAGAUAUAUAGGCGUGAGAUUUGUAACACCGUGUGGAGAAAACCAGAAAAUCAAUAAAGAAGAGAGGCACGACACGUGCCUUUGGAAAAAGUUAUCAUGUGCGCGUGUUCAUUGUGAUUUGAUGUCAUAGAUCAUGUGGGUGAUUUCCAACAAUUGAUAUCAGAGCAAGGUUCAGGAGUCGAGCGCUUGCCCCGGGGUUGCGACCCGACUAGCGCCUCGGGGCGGGCCAUGAAGUCACUGGAUGAUGCGGCGAAGAGGAGGAACAAUCGAUCGUCGUUCGACGGAGCGACAUGGAGGGAGACGGCAGGCUGUCGUUGGCAAGGUGGUGGAAGGAGGUCGUUGAUGGGAGGGAUGGUGCCGAGGUGCGCGCUGGAAUUCAUCAAGAUCAUCGUCCGGGGGAGUCAGAUGAGUCAAGGACUCGUGCGAGUUUGCACGGUCAGUGGUCGUUGCGUCUGUGAGUCAUCAUCGUGUCCAAGUGCUCGUCUUGGUGAUGAUUCGUUGGAGUGAAAGCAAUGUGCACGGUGUUCCGUGAGUUAUGUCCAUGUCCUCGUGGAGCGUCCUGGUUGCGGCCAGUGUGGAUUCGGUGUGAUGCCGAAGGCGGACGGUGGUAGGCGAAGCCAUCGUGAAGCGAGGAGGUGUGCGAGCAGUGAAGAAUGGAUCUACUGCAAGCAAGUACAAGGAGUAUGGUGCGGACCGAGUGCAAGGCAGCGACCAAGCAAUGGCGGUGGCACAACAUGGCAGAGCAAGGAGGACCUGCAUGUUUCCAGGCGGGUCAUACUUACUGUACGGAUAUGACAGUUGAAGAUCAAGCUCCGCGUGUAGUGGGACAGUGACCAGUUAAAUUGAACGACGUGGAGACUGAUUGUUGAGAUGUAGAUACAUAUGUGUAUUUCUUGUACAAUAAGCCCUCCUCCUUCCAUGUAUAGUUGAGGACGUGGCUACCCUUUGUACUUAUAUAUACGUGCAUAUUGCACCCGAUCAAUAUAUCGUGAGUUGCAUAACCUUCUACAUGGUAUCAGCCUUCCUCCGAUCCUCUACCCUAGCCGCGUCGCCGUCGCUUCCCAGCCGCAGCCGCUAGUUCCCUCGCACGCCCGCGCCGCCGACUACUCGCCGCCGCCGUGCCACCUUCCCCACUGCUUCCGCUCCCGCCCCCGCGAUCACCUCGCGCCUCUCCCACCCCUACCCACUACAAACCCUAACCCGCCCCGGCCGCCCCUAACCCUAGCUCCUGCCAUGUCGGGAUCCAACCUCUCCGACCGGUCCGCCGCCUCUACUCCUCCGGUCGUGAAGCCGCCGAAUCCCUUCGACUCUUCCGCCGGCUCCACCGCCGCCACUCUUCCCGAUCCUGCCUACAUCCGUGAUGUUCCCAUCGAACGUCGUGUUCCGGUCAUCCUCUCCCACAACGAGGCGAAUUUUUAUGCUUGGAAGACAUACUUCAAUCUCCUCUUUCGUGAGUAUAACCUGCAGGAACACAUCGACGGCACAACCAACCUCUUCGUCCUGAACCGUGACGCCGACUGGCUAGCGAUGGACGCCACCAUCAUCAGGUGGCUCUUCCUCGCCGUGUCCAAGGACAUCUUCCACACCGUCGUUCGCGACAAGGAUGAUGCAUGCACGGUGUGGAACAAGAUCGUCGGCCUCUUCACCGACAACAAGCUCCAACGGAUCGUCUUCCUGCAGCAGGAGUUCUUCGGGUGCCAUCAAAACGACUCCUCCGUCGACGCCUUCUGCAUGCGUCUCAAGACCCUCUCCGACGAGCUCAAUGACAUCGGCUUCAAGGUGGGCGACGAGUUGCUCCUCUCCACCCUCACCGCCGGCCUCAAUGAGGAUCUCGGCAACGCCGCCUCCAACCUCACCCUCAUGGCGAACCCUACCUACGAGUGGGCGGUGGCUUAUCUUCGUCUCGAGGAACGCCGGUUGAAGCAUCUUCGCUUCCGUGCCGUUCAUACCGCCUUCGCCGCUGGCUACUCGCGCGGUGGCCCCGCGCCCUCAGGCGCGCCUCCCGGCUUCCCAGCGCCGUACCAGGCGCCCCGGCCACCGGCGCCUUCCGCGCCGCAAGGCGCCUACGGCGCCUCCUACCAGCAGCGGCCACCGGCUCCUCCUACGGCUCUUCCUCAACAACCGCCGCAGCAGCAGCCCCAGCAGCAGCAGCGCCAGAGGCGCCGCGGCCACGGCAAAGGCCAGACGCAGCAGCAACAGCCGCGCCCCGGGCCUGUCCAGCAGCAGCCGACGCCGCCUUGGGGGGGUGUCCACAACCCCUGGACAGGGUUUGUGCAUGCCUACAACAUGCCCGUGCCCCGCCCACCCGCUCCGAGCCUCCUUGGGCCCGGUCCCUCCAGCCAUCAGGCAUUCUUCGCCGGUCCGCAACCCGGUCCGGUCGCUCCACCGGCCUACUACUCUCCUGCUCCGGUUGGCUAUGGCGGGCCAACCACCAACACAGGCGUGACCGGCUCCUCCGGCUAUCCCGCGCCGGUCUCUUAUGAUCCGGCCCUACUUGCUGCUCUUCAUCAGCAGCCUCCGGUCGGGGCUUAUUCCGGCGGUGGCGAUUGGUUUAUGGACACCGGUGCAUCUUCGCACAUGGCCGCUUACCCGGGUAACCUCUCUUCUGCGUCUCCUAUUCACACUUCUUCUCGUAUCAUUGUCGGUAAUGGUGCUGGUCUCCCUAUCACUCAUAUUGGUUCUACCAGUUUUCCUUCGAACUCUAGACCACUUUAUCUCAAUAAUGUUCUUGUGUCUCCUGAACUCAUUUAGAAUUUAGUCUUUGUUCGUAAACUUUCUCGAGAUAACUCUGUAACUGUGGAAUUUGACGAAGUUGGUUUUUCUGUUAAGGACGCCCUCACCCGGAUGGUUCUUCACCGCUGUGACAGUCCCGACGAUACAUACUCCGUCCAGCCUCCAUCAUCUUCACAUGCUGGACCAGUUGCACUCUCCGCCGGCGUUGAUCUUUGGCACGCCCGUCUCGGUCAUCCUAGCUCCACCGCUCUUCGUCAAAUUAUUAGGGAUUUUUCUUUUACAUGUAAUAAAACGGAUGCGCACUCUUGUCACGCAUGCCGUCUGGGCAAACAUGUUCGCCUUCCCUUUAGUGCUUCAUCCAUGGUUGCGUCGUUACCUUUUGAGUUAAUACAUAGUGAUGUCUGGACCUCUCCUGUUGCUAGUAAUACUGGAUUCUCAUAUUAUCUUGUUAUUUUGGAUGACUACUCUCACUUUGUGUGGACCUUUCCAUUACGUAAGAAGUCCGAAGUUGCUGCCACUCUUACGGCCUUCUACUCUUACGUGUCUACGCAAUUUGGUCGUCCCAUUCUAGCUUUGCAAACUGACAACGGGAAAGAAUUCGACAACACCACCAUCCGCAAUCUUCUCUCCACACAUGGCACUGCUUUUCGUCUUACCUGUCCAUAUACUUCACAGCAGAAUGGUCGGGCGGAACGCAUUCUUCGCACUCUUAAUGAUUGCGUCCGUACCCUCCUCUUCCACGCAUACAUGCCACCUCGCUUCUGGCCCGACGCUCUCGCUACUGCCACCCUACUCAUUAACCUUCGUCCCUGUCGCACCCGGUGGAACUUUACACCUCACCACCUUCUCUUGGGGUCUCCUCCUUCAUACGACGGUCUUCCGUAUUUUCGGUUGUCUUUGUUAUCCUAGUAUUGCCGCCACCUCUCCUCAUAAACUUGCCCCUCGUUCCCUUCCGUGUGUCUUCCUCGGUUACCCGGCUAACACCAAGGGCUAUAGAUGCUAUGAUCCGGUUUCCCACUGUGUCAUCACAUCCCGACAUGUUUAUUUCGAUGAGUUGUGUUUUCCUUUUAAACAGGAACAGCAGGCGGCUUCUUCAUCAGCGCCCGGCCCCUCUUUGGCCGACCCUGUCCGCCCUGGCUUUGCCCCACGGCGUAGGGCGCCCCCUGGACACACGGCACCCCGGCUCCUGCCCGCUGCUUCGCCAGGCUCACCGACCUCCGAGCCGGCCUCCACGUCGGCCUCCACGCCGGCCUCCCCGGCUGCUUCAUCGCCGGGCCCCGCGCCGGCCUCUGCGCCGGCCUCUCCAGCUGCUUCAUCGCCGGGCGCCGCGCCGGCUUCUGAACCGGCCUCUCCGGCCUCUUCUUCGCGGGCUUCAGCGCCAGCCUCGCUGGUCUUGCCGGCUGUUGUGCCAGCUCGCCCGCCGGGAUCGCCCGCUUCUUUCCCGACUUCUUCACAGUCGGGCGUGUCGCCGGCUUCUUCACCGCCGGGUUUGGUGCCGGAACCGGUGUCUGCUGUUGUGCCACCACCCGCUGGCCCUGUCACUCGGUCGCGCCUGGGUGUCCAUCGGCCGAGCACUCGCUACCCUCCGGAUGAGUACACCUGCGUGGCUUCGACGUUUUCCUCGUCACCGUCACCCCUGCCAACCUCCGCCCAUUCCGCGCUUCGUGAUCCCAUGUGGUUCGCCACGAUGAAGGAGGAAUUUGACGCAUUGCAACGCAAUCACACUUGGCAGCUCGUUCCCCGUCCCCCUCGGGCCAACAUCAUCACCGGGAAGUGGGUGUUCAAGCACAAGUUUCAUCCGGAUGGUACUCUUGACCGACACAAGGCCCGUUGGGUCGUUCAGGGUUUUCGUCAAUGAGCAGGCGUUGACUUCACAGACACUUUCGCGCCGGUUGUCAAACCCGGGACGAUUCGGACUGUCCUUCAGCUAGCGGUCUCUCGCUCCUGGUCUGUGCACCAGAUGGAUGUUUCGAAUGCUUUUCUUCAUGGGCAUCAUGAGGAACAGGUGUUCUGUCAGCAGCCGACUGGGUUCGUGGAUGAGUCUUCUCCGGAUCAUGUGUGCUUGCUUUCUCGAUCUCUGUACGGGCUCAAGCAAGCUCCUCGCGCGUGGUACCAACGCAUCGCAGCAUUUCUUACUCAGCUUGGCUUCCGCUCCACUCGCUCCGAUGCUUCACUAUUUGUCUACCACCAGGGUGAUGCUACUGCUUUUCUGCUGCUUUAUGUCGACGACAUCAUCUUGACAGCAUGCUCGACUGCCCUUCUUCGACAGCUCACGGAUCGUCUUCGUGCUGAGUUUGCCAUUAAGGACUUAGGUCCUCUGCACUAUUUCCUCGGGAUCGAGGUUAUUCGUCGAGCAGAUGGCUUCUUUCUUCAUCAGCGGAAGUAUGCUCAUGAGCUUCUGGACCGUGCCAGGAUGCUUAAUUGCAAACCGGCUGCCACACCUGUCGAUACGAAGGCCAAGCUCUCUGCCACAGAUGGUUCUCCUGCUUCAGAUGCUCCAGUCUACAGGUCGAUUGUUGGUGCUCUUCAGUACCUCACUCUUACUCGUCCGGAGCUCCAGUACGCUGUUCAGCAGGUGUGCCUUCAUAUGCAUGCUCCCCGUGAUGCUCACUGGACCGCAGUCAAGCGCAUUCUGCGCUAUAUCCGUGGCACCUUGGAUCUUGGGCUGUCACUUCAGGCUUCAUCAUCUAUGGAUCUGACGGCUUAUUCUGACGCCGAUUGGGCCGGCUGCCCUGACACGCGCCGCUCAACCUCUGGUUAUUGCAUCUAUCUUGGACCAUCACUUAUCUCCUGGUCGUCCAAGCGGCAGCCCGUUAUCUCCCGCUCCAGUGCUGAAGCGGAGUACCGCGCCGUUGCCAACGUCGUCGCCGAGUGUUCCUGGCUUCGUCAGCUUCUGCAUGAGCUCUUGUCUCCGGUUGACAAGGCCACGAUUGUCUACUGUGACAAUGUUUCUGCAGUCUACCUCUCUGCCAACCCGGUUCAUCAUCGACGCGCCAAGCACAUUGAGAUUGAUAUCCAUUUUGUUCGCGAACAGGUAGCUCUUGGUCAUGUACGCGUGCUGCAUGUCCCUACGUCUCAACAAUUUGCUGACAUCAUGACAAAGGGCUUGUCUACCGCGUCUUUCGAGGAGUUCCGAUCCAGUCUUUGCGUCGACCAUGGUGCCGCUUCGACUGCGGGGGGGUGUUGAGAUGUAGAUACAUAUGUGUAUUUCUUGUACAACAAGCCCUCCUCCUUCCAUGUAUAGUUGAGGACGUGGCUAUCCUUUGUACUUAUAUAUACGUGCAUAUUGCACCCGAUCAAUAUAUCGUGAGUUGCAUAACCUUCUACACUGAUGAUGCGUCCAAUCUUGCACGUUGCACGCGUAGAUGCGACCGUGUGGGCUGAUAGUCCGGAUCAUGCGUCGGAGUUUAAAUCGACAAGUCAUGAAGCUGCAAUGAGUCAAGAUCCAAAAAGCACAGAAGACCAAAGUCAAGAAUAGGGGGAGAUUGUUAGAAUAAUCUUGAUGUUUAAGUUUAAAGCAUAGUUAGCUAGGAGUCUACGUAGGGUGUCCUAGUAAGUUUAGCCAAUGGUGUUCAAUCUAGCCGGUGAUUGAUUAGUAGAUUAUAGGCAGGAGUACUAGUCUGUGUCCUGGUAGGUUUUUUAGGUGUGCGUCCGUGUUGUAUUUGGAAGUCUAGGUUGAGUCGGUUUGCUAGCCGUAGGUCUAGGUCCAAUAUAUAUGAAGGUAUAUGGACGCGAGAUUUGUAACACCGUGUGGAGAAAACCAAAAAAGCAAUAAAGAAGAGAGGCACAACACGUGCCUUUGGGAAAAGUUAUCGCGUGCGCGUGGUCAUCGUAAUUUGAUGUGAUAGAUCAUGCGGGCGAUUUCCAACAGUGUGUACAAGUCUUAAUUCGAAUGGCAGAAGAAAUCAAAGUAGCCCGUUGCGUGCAUGUGGAUUGCUAGCUAGUUCAUACUAAUAGGCUGUCAUCAAUGGAUCAUUUAUGUAUGGCUCAUGUAGGGCAUGCAUACAUUUGCUCCGAAACCUCUCACCAUUUUGUUUCGAUUCAUGCGAUGCAAUGCACUCUUUGAGAUCAGCCUAGAGUCGCCUCGGCUGUCAUCGACCCAAUCAGGGAGAACAAUGGUCUCCUCCUCCCUAACCUUGACCCUAGUUUUUUUUUGAGUUGAACCGGGCUCUUUAUUUCAUGUAAGAAUGUUCAUAGGGAUACAAAGAUGAUCAGUAGGUGAGGACGACAGCCACAAGUGACGUCCCACACUAAGAGUUGUAGCGAAACGAGCUAGUCUAUGAGCCUCCAUAUUACAUGAGCGCCGUUCAUGGCCUAUGUCACAAGCCAAGAAAGAAGAUCGCUUGGUGUUUAUCUCCUUGAUGAUCAUGCAGUUAUCACCAAGCUGCGUGUCAGACCGAAGAUUUUGAAUGACUCUUAGAUAGUCAGAAGCCACCUUCACUUUGUUUAAAACCAGAUCUUCGACGAAGAUGAGAGCCUCGUGGCAUGCGGGUGCCUCAAGCAUCAUAGGCCCUGUAAUGCCGCUGAAAACUACCGAUGAUGCUCCAAGAAACUUGCCUGACUCGUCUCGACAGAUAGCGGCAAUGGCACCCAGGUUAACCUNNNNNNNNNNNNNNNNNNNNNNNNNNNNNNNNNNNNNNNNNNNNNNNNNNNNNNNNNNNNNNNNNNNNNNNNNNNNNNNNNNNNNNNNNNNNNNNNNNNNNNNNNNNNNNNNNNNNNNNNNNNNNNNNNNNNNNNNNNNNNNNNNNNNNNNNNNNNNNNNNNNNNNNNNNNNNNNNNNNNNNNNNNNNNNNNNNNNNNNNNNNNNNNNNNNNNNNNNNNNNNNNNNNNNNNNNNNNNNNNNNNNNNNNNNNNNNNNNNNNNNNNNNNNNNNNNNNNNNNNNNNNNNNNNNNNNNNNNNNNNNNNNNNNNNNNNNNNNNNNNNNNNNNNNNNNNNNNNNNNNNNNNNNNNNNNNNNNNNNNNNNNNNNNNNNNNNNNNNNNNNNNNNNNNNNNNNNNNNNNNNNNNNNNNNNNNNNNNNNNNNNNNNNNNNNNNNNNNNNNNNNNNNNNNNNNNNNNNNNNNNNNNNNNNNNNNNNNNNNNNNNNNNNNNNNNNNNNNNNNNNNNNNNNNNNNNNNNNNNNNNNNNNNNNNNNNNNNNNNNNNNNNNNNNNNNNNNNNNNNNNNNNNNNNNNNNNNNNNNNNNNNNNNNNNNNNNNNNNNNNNNNNNNNNNNNNNNNNNNNNNNNNNNNNNNNNNNNNNNNNNNNNNNNNNNNNNNNNNNNNNNNNAGAGAGAGAGAGAGAGUUGGGGAAGAAACUGUGUGGCAUGUGCUUCAUGGGGAGUGGAAACUAUUCAACAUUUCCCUCAUGACACUUUCGUUUGCCACAUCAUCGUUUGAAAGCAGGACCGCUGGUCAGUUUUGGCGUCAAAACAUGCUAAGUGAGCGAUCAACUAUUUCUGCAUAAGUAAAAUAGCCUUGCACGUGAUGCGAUUUGCAAUUCGAGUGAUUGCAGAUGUUUUAUGGGAUUUGCAAUUCGAGUCAUUGAAACUGGAUAACUUACCCCUUGACCCUUCCAAAGAGGUUUUAACUUCACAUCGUGCUUAUGUGAGAGUGCAAUGAGCAGCACAUAAACCAAUAAAAAUAUAUUUGGACGACCCCAUGUCAGACGUUACACACCUGCCGUUUUUUCCUCUUUUCUUGUUCCAUUAUUUUGCUCUGCUCAUCUUCCUUGUGCAACCAUGGCAACUCACUUCUUGGGUAAACAGGUCAUCCGCCCGAUCAGUGAGGAGCAUCUCAAUGGAGCCAUCCAUGGCAGAAUCAUCGGGCUCAUUGUGUUAGAGCCCAAUCUUCGCAUCAACUUGACAAUUAAUGUCGCCUAUCCUAGGACUUGGAUAGUUUUUCGAGGCUAUUCUUAGAUUUUUCUUCUGCGAUGCUUUGUGAUUUCAUUCGUGUUGUAGUGGCAGCUGCAUUUUCCCCGGGAGCACAGUAUCUAGUUUCACGACACGACAUUAAAAUACACAUUGUCUGCAACAAAGGAUUCUAACAAACACAUCCAAAGAUGUAACCUCGUUGACCUAAAGUAAGUGUUAAAAGCUUCAUACAUCUUAUAAAUCUACAAGUCAUUUGCUCCGAUAUAAAAAUUAGAGAAGCAUCCAGUUUUUCGCAAUGCAAGAGCAAUAACAAUAGUGGGGUUCCUAGAAUUCUGACUUCAAAAUAGCACACCAAACUAGUAGGAACGGAAGGCUACAUUAUGAUUCAAGAACUACCAUAACACAUGCAGUGGCGGAGCGUGGCAAGCAAUCAAUGGGGCGCCAAUUUUUCAACUAAAAGCAAAAAAAAAUCUUGAAAAAACCUUAAAAGUAAAAUUACACUGUAUUCAAGCAUAUCUUCUCCAUCCAUCCUUUGGCAUCUCGGCUCAUCGACGAUCGUGGGCUCAUUGUCUUGGCGGUUGCGACAGUCCGUGUAGACGCAGUAGCAAGCAGCUGGCAUAUCGAUCUAAUGCCAAUGAAUGCAGCGGUAAGCAAGCAUUCCGUGCACAUGCAGCAGCAAGCAGGAGGCUGCUCGUACAACAAUCAAUCAAGCUGCAUGGAGUAGCUAGCUAGCUACACGCGAAUAUGCAUUUUUUUCUUCGAAAAGAGAGGANNNNNNNNNNNNNNNNNNNNNNNNNNNNNNNNNNNNNNNNNNNNNNNNNNNNNNNNNNNNNNNNNNNNNNNNNNNNNNNNNNNNNNNNNNNNNNNNNNNNNNNNNNNNNNNNNNNNNNNNNNNNNNNNNNNNNNNNNNNNNNNNNNNNNNNNNNNNNNNNNNNNNNNNNNNNNNNNNNNNNNNNNNNNNNNNNNNNNNNNNNNNNNNNNNNNNNNNNNNNNNNNGAGGCUCCGCCAAUGAACACAUGUGUACAUAAUGGACAGUCCCAUAAAGAGCAGAAGAUCCAACAAGGAGAAAUAGAGGAUUUUAGACUCGACAAGGACACUUGAUGACCAUUAUUGGUAUUCAGUGUAGUGCACUUACACAACUGGAGCGGCUAAAAGUAAAACACUAGAACAGCCUAACAGAAGAUAAGAUUCAUAGUAACAAUAUAUUACAUGCUUCCGUUAACACAACCAGGCAGCAUAUGUAUUGCAUCAUAGGUAGUAAAGGUAAUUAAGCAAAAACACCAGUGUUGACACACUAGCCUAUCCAAACAUAAAGCUAGCUAAGCAAAGGCAGCCAUGUUACGUAGUAGUUCCUCUGUCCCACAAUAUAAGAUGUUCUGACAAGCUGUUUUAACUUGCAAAAACAUCUUAUAUUGUGGGACGAAGGGAGUUUAAUAUUAAGAGAGCUUCUUCUAGUUAUCUGUUGGCCUUUCUUUUUCUUUUAUUUUUUCCCUUUUGCGAUGCAGUUGGCCUUUCAAGGUAUUUGCAGAAGACAGUUGGGAGUAGAGGGACAUUAGGAAACCUGUUAACAUGAGCUUCCAUACCCACAGACUCACAUGACCGCAGACAUGCAUGGUUCAUGUCAAGCAUGAUCAUCCACCCAUUACCAUCAAAUUCCUCCUCGGUUAACAGGCAGCACAGAACAUCGGGGUCAUCCAAGCUGAUGGUUGGGAACUCAGGAAGACGCUGAUGUAUGUGCAGAUCUCAGUAACCAGCUUGCGCCCAGAGAGAAUCCAGGUUGAACAUGCGGUGCGGUACCCACUGGAACUCGGAGUUCAAAGUCCAAAUGGUGAUUUUCUGGGGAGUCUGCUGCUGCUGCCCUUGCCUUUUUCUAUCGGGAAGCUCAAGGCAUCGGCGGCAGCGACCAGGGACUCUGUCAUGGAAGUCAUUGUCAAUGUGGACAAAGCAGAUCUUGCCUUGGCUGAUGGACACACUUCGGAAUCUCUCCGGGAAGUACCUUUCAACCCGUACCUUAUCACGGCACUCUUUUCCUCCAGGGAAAGGCACAAAGUAGAGCGACGGGGAGUCCAUAUUUUUGGAGAAGUCACAUAGCAGGACACCGCUGAAGUAGUCGACCCAGCACAGGAAACGGCCGUCGAAAGUGAGCACAUUGUCGGUUGACCAGAGUUCGGGGAACUGGCCGCCAUUGCCCGGGUCCAAUUUGGGGAUGAUUUUCCACUUUCCAGUCUCGGAGUUGAAGACGCAGAGUUCGGCACUUAUGCCCUUUCUUUUGGGGUAGACAUUGAGGUCGGCAACAAUGUAGUGGUCCUCCGGGAGCUGCAGGAUGCUUGUGGUGAGGUCACCCGUCAGGAACGGCCUUCUACUGUACUCGACAAAGGGAGGGAGACCCUGCACCGAGGGGCGAGGACCUCCGGCUUUGUAGACGAACAGAUCUGCCGGGGGCUGCCGGUAGCAACUCCGGCUCGGGUUGGAGAUGUCGAAGAUGACGACUUCCUUAACUUUUUUCUGCGGGUUGGAGAUGUCGAAGAGGACGAGGUUGUUGUCGGUUGCCCGGAGGAAGGCAUAGGCGGGCGGGGUGUCUAAGGCAAUUGGAGGUCCCUCCGGCAAGUGGAGGUUGAGGCAGGAGAUCCCUUUUUGAGGAGCCGCGAGGGUGAAGGUCACGUAGCAGGAGGGGCCGCCGUGCAUGUCGACUGGAGCGGUGGUCUUGUUCUUGUCGACAGCCACACGAGCAGCUUCUAGCCUGUUGUGGCAGAGGAUGUUGCCCUUGCGGUCCAACACCACCCAAUGGGGGAGGAUGACGGUCUCCUCCUCCUGCUCCGGCGCGCCUCCAGUGUUCAUGGCGAUCGGCAUCGGGAAUAAAGCAGCCGCCGUCUCCCUAACCCUAACCCUAGUUUUUGGUGGGGAAGCUGAUGGACAGGAAGGAUGAUGGAAGGAUGCAGAUACAACUUAUCAUAUUAACAGGGCCGUCUAAUUGGACGCUAAAGAAAGGCUAGAAAGUAGCAGUAGGCCCUCUCUCAUUGGGGCGCGACUAUAGGCCUUUAGUGUUUGUUUUCACAUUUUUGCUUUAUUUUUUCACUUUUGCUUGUAUUUCAAAUAUUUUAAAUAAAUCUAUUAUAAAAUUCACUUUACAUAUGAAUUAAAUUUUCUUGAUCAUGUAUUUAGAAAAUGUUAAACAUGUAUAACAAUGUUCCUGAUGCAUACAAAAAAUAUACAGAUGUGUAUGGAACAGUGUACAUCAAAAACAUAUGUUAGAAAAAAAUGUUAAUCAUGUAUUAUAAACAUAUGUCAUUUUUGACAGCCACUCGAGCAACGUCUAGGCCCUUGUGGCAGUGGGUGCGGCCUCUGGGAUCCAGCACCUUCCAAUCAGGGAGAACGAUUCUCCUCCUCGGGAUCUGGUGCGCCUCCAAUGGCCAUGGCGAUCGGGUUCGGGAAUAAAUUAGUUGUCGCCUCCCUAACCCUAAUUAACCCUAGUUUUUGGUGGAGGAACUGACUGACGGGAAGUAAGGGUGAUUAGACUCAAGUUAUCAUAUUAGCACUUAGCAGGGUUGUCGAUCUCACUGGGGCAGGGAGGGCGACAAGCUAGCAACCCAACUCAUUGGGUCAGCAAACUAGUCGCGCAAGCGAACGAAGUGGAAUGGCCACUAGUAGAAAAAGAGGCUUCCAUACGCCCCCAUUAGUCCCCAAAAUAAUCGAACCGCGACCAAAGGGGUCUUUAGUCGCGGUUCGGGAGGAGACCCGCGACCAACUAUCUGGGCCCAGCGCGCUCGGUCAACAGCUGGCGGACGGGAGGGGCUUUAGUCCCGGUUGGCCUGGCCAACCGGGACUAAAGGUCCUCAGGCUGGCCCGAAGGCCUUUAGUCGCGGUUGGCCAGACCAACCGGGACUAAAGGUUAGUCCUUUAGUCGCGGUUGGCCAGACCAACCGGGACUAAAGGUUAGUCCUUUAGUCGCGGUUGGCCAGACCAACCGGUACUAAAGGGCCCAUCAAACUCUACCCCCCCGGACCGCCUUUUCAGUUUUAGAAAAACCAAAAGAAAAUGAUGGAAAUGUCAAUAAAAUAAGUUUCUCAUGUGAUAUGUGGUCUAGUUGUUGGGAAAAUUAACAAAUAUGAAUUUCGACUUUAUUUGCAAAAUCUCUCUGGAAUUUCUUAAAAUGGGCAUCUACUCGAAAAGUUACAUCCGAAUUUAACAGGGGGAACCCCGUUAAAAUUUUUCAAAAUCCUCAAAAACCUAACAGAAAAAAAGAUACGGGGCUUUUAAGAUCUGGAGAGGCAAAAAAAUUCAAAAAAUUUCAAAUUGUGGUCAAACUGUGGUCAAACAAUGGUCAAACUAAUUAUUCUAGAAUAUUAGUGUUACUAAAUAAUUAUUUCAGUUUUUUUUUAAAUUUUGGUCAAAUCUGGCCAAAUAGUGGUCAAACAAUGGUCAAACUAAUUAUUCCAGAAAUAUUAGUGUUACUAAAUAAUUAUUGUUUUUUAAAACAAUAGUUUCAAACUCAAACAGUGAAAUGUGUCACUUCAUGCUCAAGCUAAAUUCCUGAGGGUUAAUAGAAUUGGCAUCCUAUUAUUGUCAGGAAAACAACAUGUGCAGACUUGGAAACGAGGGAGAAUAGAACCCGGAAGUUAAGCGUGCUCACGCUGGAGUAGUGAGAGGAUGGGUGACCGUCCGGGAAGUUAGAUAAUUUGGAAUGAUGAGGGGUGAUUAGAGAUUAGAGGAUAAAUUGAGCAGUGAUGAGGGGUGGUGAUUAGAGAUUAGAGGUUAAAAUAAUUCAGAAAUUUAAAAAUAAAAAAAAUAAAAAAAUUCGCAAAAAAACCAGGUUUAGGGGGGCUAAAACCCUAAACCUGCGGAGGAGGCCUUUAGUCCCGGUUAGCCACGAGAACCGGGACUAAAGCCUUUAGUCCCGGUUCGUAAGAGGCGCGACUAAAGGGGGGUCCUUAGUCGCGCAUAUUUAGUCCCGGUUGCACAGCCGUGACUAAAGGCCUUUGCGAACCGAGACUAAAGGCCCAUUUUCUACCAGUGGGCGAGGCCGAAACCAAUCCACAAGGGCAUUUUUCACUUGUGUCAAGAAAGAAACUUUCUUGCCCUAAAAAAUUAACUUUCUGAAGACGUGGAUGAAUGACCAUACAUGACAAUGAAUUCCAAAGCCCGGGUUCAACGUGGUGCUUCAUUAAGAUUGCUUUAGCACCACAAGCAAAUGACUCGACUACACAACCUGCUCGACGUGGAGGGAGGUGGAUACCACCAGCAGGUCCAACUACGAAGUUUAAUACGGAUGGUGGCCUUUCCCGCCAAGGUGAUCGUUGUGAGUAGAGAUCACACAGGACGAUAUCUUGGUGCUUCAACAACAAUUUUUGUAGUCUUGUGGACACGGCAUCAUUGAAGGCACAGGCAUGUAAUGAAGCCUUGGAGUUAGCUAAGGACCUAAACAUCCAAACCCUGAUUAUCGCUUCAGACUGCCUUGAGGUGGUGACGAAUAUCAACAAAGGGGCAACAAUAGUUUAUGCAAUGGUGAUCAAUGAAACCAAGCAUCCGAGAAGCGACUUCAGGGAUGUUAUUUUCAAGUUCGAGCAUAGGGAGUGUAAUUUUGAAGCUCAUGACUUAGUUAAGGCAGUUGUUUCACUGCCAGUUAGUCGCCACAUGUGGGUAGGGUGCUUACCAGACAUUAUUUGUAUUCCGAACGUCAUUGAGUUUCAAUGAAGACCCUAGUUCCCCUAAAAAACGAGGGCAUUUUUUGUAGCCUUUUUUUACAGACGAGUUUGUCAACUGAUAUACAAACAACGGCCGAGGAUGGAAAAAAUAUGGUCAGGCCGCAGGCGGACUAAGGCUCUCGCGCAAAAGCACUACGUUAUGGAUUGUCAACCUACUUUACAACAUUGUCUAAACUCUAAAAUUUACAUCUCAGUUUCACAAUGUACACAUAUGUAGGAAUUUCAUAAAUUUAUACUUUUAACUUUGCCUUUGCUGACCCCUUCCCCUAUCUAUCCAUUUUUCUGUAUUUGUUUCACUGGCAACACCAUACGCGGUGCCAUUCGCCAAUGCCGCCGCACCACUCAGUCUGCCAUUAGGAAUGUUGCUGCGCCUCCCAUGCCCUGUAGAUUAUCCUGGAUCUCAUGUGGUGUACGCCAGCCUCGCACUUCAGCCACCUUUUCGCCGGCGAUGGGUGUACGUGUCAAGGUGGCACAACGCUGAAGGCAGGGACAGGGCAGCGGAAUGAAGAAAAAUGGAGUCCUGACAGCAGGUGUAAGGAUGUAGGGUGAGAGGCAUGAGAGGAUGAGAAAACAGUCGGAAGGCUCGUCCCCAGAAUCAGGAGGAAGAUUCACACGAGAAGGCCAGCGAGGCCAAUACUACAGGAGUUUUACCUAGUGGCAUUCCCAUCCCAUGGAGAGGGAGAAUGGCUUUUCACUGGCCAGUAUUCAGUAACACGAUAUAUAAUACUCCCUCCAUUCCCUUAUACAAGGGAGAGGGGCGUUUUGGAAGCCGAGCAUAGCACAAAGAUCGACAUUGGAUGUCAUUGAUAACGGGAUCACAUCAUUAGGAGAAUGAUGUGAUGGACAAGACCCAAUCCUAAGCAUAGCACAAAGAUCGUGUAGUUCGUUUGCUAGAGCUUUUCCAAUGUCAAGUAUCAUUUCCUUAGACCAUGAGAUCGUGUAACUCCCGGAUGCCGUAGGAGUGCUUUGGGUAUACCAAACGUCACAACGUAACUGGGUGACUAUAAAGGUACACUACAGGUAUCUCUGAAAGUGUCUGUUGGGUUGACACGGAUCGAGACUGGGAUUUGUCACUCCGUAUGAUGGAGAGGUAUCUCUGGGCCCACUCGGUAAUGCAUCAUCAUAAUGAGCUCAAUGUGACCAAGUGUUUGGUCACGGGAUCAUGCAUUACGGUACGAGUAAAGUGACUUGCCGGUAACGAGAUUGAACGAGGUAUUGGGAUACCGACGAUCGAAUCUCGGGCAAGUAACGUACCGAUUGACAAAGGGAAUUGUAUACGGGAUUGAUUGAAUCCUUGACAUCGUGGUUCAUCCGAUGAGAUCAUCGUGGAACAUGUGGGAGCCAACAUGGGUAUCCAGAUCCCGCUGUUGGUUAUUGACCGGAGAGUCGUCUCGGUCAUGUCUGCGUGUCUCCCGAACCCGUAGGGUCUACACACUUAACGUUCGGUGACGCUAGGGUUGUAGAGAUAUUAGUAUGGGGUAACCCGAAAGUUGUUCGGAGUCCCGGAUGAGAUCCCGGACGUCACGAGGAGUUCCGGAAUGGUCCGGAAGUGAAGAAUUAUAUAUAGGAAGUCCAGUUUUGGCCACCGGGAAAGUUUCGGGGGUUACCGGUAUUGUACCGGGACCACCGGAAGGGUCCCGGGGGUCCACCGGGUGGGGCCACCUAUCCCGGAGGGGCCCAUGGGCUGAAGUGGGAGGGGAACCAGCCCCUGGUGGGCUGGUGCGCCCCCCCUUGGGCCUCCCCCUGCGCCUAGGGUUGGAAACCCUAGGGGUGGGGGCGCCCCCCACUUGGCUUGGGGGGAAGCCACCCCUUGGCCGCCGCCCCCUUGGAGAUCAGAUCUCCCAGGGCCGGCGCCCCCCAGGAGGCCUAUAUAUAGUGGGGGGAAGGGAGGGCAGCCACACCACAGCCCCUGGCGCCUCCCUCUCCCUCCUGUGACACACCUCCCUCCUCCUGCAGCGCUCGGCGAAGCCCUGUCGGAAUCCCGCUACUUCCACCACCACGCCGUCGUGCUGCUGGAUCUCCAUCAACCUCUCCUUCCCCCUUGCUGGAUCAAGAAGGAGGAGACGUCGCUGCUCCGUACGUGUGUUGAACGCGGAGGUGCCGUCCGUUCGGCGCUCGGUCAUCGGUGAUUUGGAUCACGACGAGUACGACUCCAUCAACCCCGUUCACUUGAACGCCUUCCGCUCGCGAUCUACAAGGGUAUGUAGAUGCACUCCUCUCUCUCGUUGCUAGAUGACUCCAUAGAUUGAUCUUGGUGAUGCGUAGAAAAUUUUAAAUUUCUGCCACGAUCCCCAACAGUGGCAUCAUGAGCCAGGCCUAUGCGUAGUUUCUAUGCACGAGUAGAACACAAACUUGUUGUGGGCGUAGAUGUUGUCAAUUUUCUUGCCACUACUAGUCUUAUCUUGUUUCGGCGGCAUUGUGAUGAAGCGGCCCGGACCGACCUUACACGUACGCUUACGUGAGACAGGUUCCACCGACUGACAUGCACUAGUUGCAUAAGGUGGCUAGCGGGUGUCUGUCUCUCCCACUUUAGUCGGAACGGAUUUGAUGAAAAGGGUCGUUAUGAAGGGUAAAUAGAAAUUGGCACAUCACGUUGUGGUUUUACGUAGGUAAGAAACGUUCUUGCUAGAAACCUAUAGAAGCCACGUAAAAACAUGCAACAACAAUUAGAGGACGUCUAACUUGUUUUUGCAGCAUAUGCCUUGUGAUGUGAUAUGGCCAAAAGGAUGUGAUGAAUGAGAUAUAUGUGAUGUAUGAGAUUGAUCAUGUUCUUGUAAUAGGAAUCACGACUUGCAUGUCGAUGAUUAUGACAACCGGCAGGAGCCAUAGGAGUUGUCUUUAUUUUUUGUAUGACCUGCGAGUCAUUGAAUAACGCCAUGUAAAUUACUUUACUUUAUUGCUAAACACGUUAGCCAUAGAAGUAGAAGUAAUCGUUGGCGUGACAACUUCAUGAAGACACGAUGAUGGAGAUCAUGGUGUCAUCCGGUGACGAAGAUGAUCAUGGCGCCCCGAAGAUGGAGAUCAAAAGGAGCAAAAUGAUAUUGGCCAUAUCAUGUCACUAUUUGAUUGCAUGUGAUGCUUAUCAUGUUUUACAUCUUAUUUGCUUAGAACGACGGUAGCUUAAAUAAGAUGAUCCCUCGCAAUAAUUUCAAGAAAGUGUUCCCCCUAACUGUGCACCGUUGCGAAGGUUCGUUGUUUCGAAGCACCACGUGAUGAUCGGGUGUGAUAGAUUCUAACGUUCGAAUACAACGGGUGUAAGCCAGAUUUACACACGCAAUACACUUAGGUUGACUUGACGAGCCUAGCAUGUACAGACAUGGCCUCGGAACACGGAAGACCGAAAGGUCGAGCAUGAGUCGUAUAGAAGAUACGAUCAACAUGAAGAUGUUCACCGAUGUUGACUAGUCCGUCUCACGUGAUGAUCGGACACGGCCUAGUUGACUCGGAUCAUGUUUCACUUAGAUGACUAGAGGGAUGUCUAUCUGAGUGGGAGUUCAUUGAAUAAUUUGAUUAGAUGAACUUAAUUAUCAUGAACUUAGUCUAAAAAUCUUUACAAUAUGUCUUGUAGAUCAAAUGGCCCACGCUAAUGUUGCCCUCAACUUCAACGCAUUCCUAGAGAAAACCAAGCUGAAAGAUGAUGGCAGCAACUAUACGGACUGGGUCCGGAACCUGAGGAUCAUCCUCAUAGCUGCCAAGAAAGAUUAUGUCCUAGAAGCACCGCUAGGUGAAGCACCCAUCCCAGAGAACCAAGACGUUAUGAACGCUUGGCAGCAGCGUGCUGAUGAUUACUCCCUCGUUCAGUGCGGCAUGCUUUACAGCUUAGAACCGGGGCUCCAAAAGCAUUUUGAGCAACACGGAGCAUAUGAGAUGUUCGAAGAGCUGAAAAUGGUUUUCCAAGCUCACGCCCGGGUCGAGAGAUAUGAAGUCUCCGACAAGGUCAUGAGUUGUAAGAUGGAGGAAAAUAGUUCUGUCAGUGAGCACAUACUCAAAAUGUCUGGGUUACACAACCGCUUGUCUCAGCUGGGACUUAAUCUCCCGGAUGACGCGGUCAUUGACAGAAUCCUUCAGUCGCUUCCACCGAGCUACAAGAGCUUUGUGAUGAACUUCAAUAUGCAGGGGAUGGAAAAGACCAUUCCUGAGGUAUAUUCAAUGCUGAAAUCAGCGGAGGUGGAGAUCAAAAAGGAACAUCAAGUGUUGAUGGUGAAUAAAACCACUAAGUUCAAGAAAGGCAAGGGUAAGAAGAACUUCAAGAAGGACGGCAAGGGAGUUGCCGCGCCCGGUAAGUCAGUUGCCGGGAAGAAGCCAAAGAAUGGACCCAAGCCUGUGACUGAGUGCUUUUAUUGCAAGGGAAGUGGUCACUGGAAGCGGAACUGCCCCAAAUACUUAGCAGACAAGAAGGCUGGCAACACCAAAGGUAUAUGUGAUAUACAUGUAAUUGAUGUGUACCUUACCAGUACUCGUAGUAGCUCCAGGGUAUUUGAUACCGGUGUGGUUGCUCAUAUUUGUAACUCAAAACAGGAGCUGCGGAAUAAGCGGAGACUGGCGAAGGACGAGGUGACGAUGCGCGCCGGGAUUGGUUCCAAGGUCGAUGUGAUCGCCGUCGGCACGCUACCUCUACAUUUACCUACGGGAUUAGUUUUAAACCUCAAUAAUUGUUAUUUAAUGCCAGCUUUGAGCAUGAACAUUGUAUCAGGAUCUCGUUUAAUUCGAGAUGGCUACUCAUUUAAAUCCGAGAAUAAUGGUUGUUCUAUUUAUAUGAGAGAUAUGUUUUAUGGUCAUGCCCCGCUGGUUAAUGGUUUAUUCUUAAUGAAUCUCGAACGUAAUGUUACACAUAUUCAUAGUGUGAAUACCAAAAGAUGUAAGGUUGAUAAUGAUAGACCCACAUACUUGUGGCACUGCCGUCUUGGUCACAUUGGUGUCAAACGCAUGAAGAAGCUCCAUGCAGAUGGACUUUUGGAGUCUCUUGAUUACGAAUAAUUUGACACGUGUGAACCAUGCCUCAUGGGUAAGAUGACCAAGAUUCCGUUCUCCGGAACAAUGGAGCGAGCAACCAAUUUAUUAGAAAUCAUACAUACUGAUGUGUGCGGUCCAAUGAGUGUUGAGGCUCGCGGUGGCUAUCGUUAUGUUCUCACUCUCACUGAUGACUUGAGUAGAUAUAGGUAUGUCUACCUAAUGAAACACAAGUCUCAAACCUUUGAAAAGUUCAAGGAAUUUCAGAGUGAGGUUGAGAAUCAACGUGACAGGAAAAUAAAGUUCUUACGAUCAGAUCGUGGAGGAGAAUAUUUGAGUCACGAAUUUGGCACACACUUAAGGACAUGUGGAAUAGUUUCACAACUCAUGCCGCCUGGAACACCUCAGCGAAAUGGUGUGUCCGAACGUCGUAAUCGCACUCUAUUGGAUAUGGUUCUAUCUAUGAUGUCUCUUACCGAUCUACCGCUCUCAUUUUGGGGCUAUGCAUUAGAGACUGCCGCAAUCACUUUAAAUAGGGCUCCGUCGAAAUCCGUUGAGACGACACCGUAUGAAUUAUGGUUUGGGAAGAAACCUAAGCUGUCGUUUCUAAAAGUUUGGGGAUGCGAUGCUUAUGUCAAGAAACUUCAACCUGAAAAGCUCGAACCCAAGUCGGAAAAAUGCGUCUUCAUAGGAUACCCUAAGGAAACCAUUGGGUAUACCUUCUACCUCAGAUCCGAAGGCAAAAUCUUUGUUGCCAAGAACGGGUCCUUUCUGGAGAAAGAGUUUCUCUCGAAAGAAGUGAGUGGGAGGAAAGUGGAACUUGAUGAGGUGAUAGUCACCCCUUCCGAACCGGAAAGUAGCGCAGCGCGGGAAGAUUUUCCUGUGGUGCCUGCACCGACUGGGGAGGAAGUUAAUGAUGAUGAUCAUGAAGCUUCAGAUUAAGUUACUGUUGAGCUUCGUAGGUCCACAAGGACACGUUCCGCACCAGAGUGGUACGGCAACCCUGUCCUGGAAAUCAUGUUGUUAGACAACGGUGAACCUUCGAACUAUGAAGAAGCGAUGGCGGGCCCGGAUUCCAACAAAUGGCUUGAAGCCAUGCAAUCCGAGAUAGGAUCCAUGUAUGAAAAUGAAGUAUGUACUUUGACUGACUUGCCCGAUGAUCGGCGAGUGAUAGAAAACAAAUGGAUCUUUAAGAAGAAGACAGACGCGGAUGGUAAUGUGACCAUCUAUAAGGCUCGACUUGUCGCUAAGGGUUAUCGACAAGUUCAAGGGGUUGACUACAAUGAGACUUUCUCACCCGUAGCGAAGCUGAAGUCCGUCUGAAUCAUGUUAGCAAUUGCCGCAUUCUAUGAUUAUGAGAUAUGGCAAAUGGACGUCAAAACGGCAUUCCUUAACGGCUUUCUUAAGGAAGAAUUGUAUAUAAUGCAGCCGGAAGGUUUUGUCGAUCCUAAGAAUGCUAACAAGGUAUGCAAGCUCCAGCGCUCCAUCUAUGGGCUGGUGCAAGCAUCCCGGAGUUGGAACAUUCGAUUUGAUGAGAUGAUCAAAGCGUUUGGGUUUACACAGACUUAUGGAGAAGCCUGUGUUUACAAGAAAGUGAGUGGGAGCUCUGUAGAAUUUCUCUUAUUAUAUGUGGAUGACAUACUAUUGAUGGGAAAUGAUAUAGAAUUCUUGGAAAGUAUAAAGGUCUAUUUGAAUAAGUGUUUUUCAAUGAAGGACCUUGGAGAAGCUGCUUAUAUAUUAGGCAUCAAGAUCUAUAGAGAUAGAUCAAGACGCCUCAUUGGUCUUUCACAGAGUACGUACCUUGACAAGAUAUUGAAGAAGUUCAAUAUGGAUCAGUCCAAGAAGGGGUUCUUGCCUGUAUUGCAAGGUGUGCAAUUGAGCACGGCUCAAUGCCCGACCACGGCAGAAGAUAGAGAAAAGAUGAGUGUCAUCCCCUAUGCCUCGGCCAUAGGGUCUAUUAUGUAUGCCAUGCUGUGUACCAGAUCUGAUGUAAACCUUGCCGUAAGUUUGGUAGGAAGGUACCAAAGUAAUCCCGGCAUGGAACACUAAACAGCGGUCAAGAAUAUCCUGAAGUACCUGAAAAGGACUAAGGAUAUGUUUCUCGUUUAUGGAGGUGACGAAGAGCUCGUCGUAAAGGGUUACGUUGAUGCUAGCUUCGACACGGAUCUGGAUGACUCGAAGUCACAAACCGGAUAUGUGUACAUUUUGAAUGGAGGGGCAGUAAGCUGGUGCAGUUGCAAGCAAAGCGUCGUGGCAGGAUCUACAUGUGAAGCGGAGUACAUGGCGGCCUCAGAGGCAGCACAGGAAGCAGUCUGGAUAAAGGAGUUCAUCACCGACCUAGGGGUGAUUCCCAAUGCGUCGGGCCCGAUAACUCUCUUAUGUGACAACACUGGAGCUAUUGCUCUUGCCAAGGAGCCCAGGUUUCACAAGAAGACCAGGCAUAUCAAGCGUCGCUUCAACUCCAUUCGUGAAAGUGUUCAAAAUGGAGACAUAGAUAUUUGUAAAGUACAUACGGACCUGAAUGUAGCAGAUCCGUUGACUAAACCUCUCCCUAGAGCAAAACAUGAUCAACACCAGAACUCUAUGGGUGUUCGAUUCAUCACAAUGUAACUAGAUUAUUGACUCUAGUGCAAGUGGGAGACUGUUGGAAAUAUGCCCUAGAGGCAAUAAUAAAAUGGUUAUUAUUAUAUUUCCUUGUUCAUGAUAAUUGUCUAUUGUUCAUGCUAUAAUUGUGUUAUCCGGAAAUCGUAAUACAUGUGUGAAUACAUAGACCACAACAUGUCCCUAGUGAGCCUCUAGUUGACUAGCUCGUUGAUCAACAGAUAGUCAUGGUUUCCUGACUAUAGACAUUGGAUGUCAUUGAUAACGGGAUCACAUCAUUAGGAGAAUGAUGUGAUGGACAAGACCCAAUCCUAAGCAUAGCACAAAGAUCGUGUAGUUCGUUUGCUAGAGCUUUUCCAAUGUCAAGUAUCAUUUCCUUAGACCAUGAGAUCGUGUGACUCCCGGAUGCCGUAGGAGUGCUUUGGGUAUACCAAACGUCACAACGUAACUGGGUGACUAUAAAGGUACACUACAGGUAUCUCUGAAAGUGUCUGUUGGGUUGACACGGAUCGAGACUGGGAUUUGUCACUCCGUAUGAUGGAGAGGUAUCUCUGGGCCCACUCGGUAAUGCAUCAUCAUAAUGAGCUCAAUGUGACCAAGUGUUUGGUCAUGGGAUCAUGCAUUACGGUACGAGUAAAGUGACUUGCCGGUAACGAGAUUGAACGAGGUAUUGGGAUACCGACGAUCGAAUCUCGGGCAAGUAACGUACCGAUUGACAAAGGAAUUGUAUACGGGAUUGAUUGAAUCCUCGACAUCGUGGUUCAUCCGAUGAGAUUAUCGUGGAACAUGUGGGAGCCAACAUGGGUAUCCAGAUCCUGCUGUUGGUUAUUGACCGGAGAGUCGUCUCGGUCAUGUCUGCGUGUCUCCCGAACACGUAGGGUCUACACACUUAAGGUUCGGUGACGCUAGGGUUGUAGAGAUAUUAGUAUGCGGUAACCCGAAAGUUGUUCGGAGUCCCGGAUGAGAUCCCGGACGUCACGAGGAGUUCCGGAAUGGUCCGGAGGUGAAGAAUUAUAUAUAGGAAGUCCAGUUUCGGCCACCGGGAAAGUUUCGGGGGUUACCGGUAUUGUACCGGGACCACCGGAAGGGUCCCGGGGGUCCAUCGGGUGGGGCCACCUAUCCCGGAGGGCCCCAUGGGCUGAAGUGGGAGGGGAACCAGCCCCUGGUGGGCUGGUGCGCCCCCCCUUGGGCCUCCCCCUGCGCCUAGGGUUGGAAACCCUAGGGGUGGGGGCGCCCCCCACUUGGCUUGGGGGGGAAGCCACCCCUUGGCCGCCGCCCCCCUUGGAGAUAAGAUCUCCCAGGGCCGACGCCCCCCCAGGAGGCCUAUAUAUAGUGGGGGGAAGGGAGGGCAGCCGCACCACAGCCCCUGGCGCCUCCCUCUCCCUCCCGUGACACAUCUCCCUCCUCCCGCAGCGCUCGGCGAAGCCCUGUCGGAAUCCCGCUACUUCCACCACCACGCCGUCGUGCUGCUGGAUCUCCAUCAACCUCUCCUUCCCCCUUGCUGGAUCAAGACGGAGGAGACGUCGUUGCUCCGUACGUGUGUUGAACGCGGAGGUGGCGUCCGUUCGGCGCUCGGUCAUCGGUGAUUUGGAUCACGACGAGUACGACUCCAUCAACCCCGUUCACUUGAACGCUUCCGCUCGCGAUCUACAAGGGUAUGUAGAUGCACUCCUCUCUCUCGUUGCUAGAUGACUCCAUAGAUUGAUCUUGGUGAUGCGUAGAAAAUUUUAAAUUUCUGCUACGAUCCCCAACAUAUCAAUGAUCCCGAUUAACAAAAAGAAAAGUUGGCUUCCAAAGUAGUCAUUAAAUUUUACCUUGGUACCUGUAAUAUAUGUUUGUGGCCUUGCAUUCGAAAAAGCUUGUCCCUCAAAUGGAUCUAUCUAGCACAGAGUUAGUGCUAGAUACAUCCAUUUGAGACACAAGCUUGGGACAAGUUUUUUCGGACGGAGGGAGUACAUGCUAUCUGAAGCAAAAGGAUUAUAGAUAACAGAAGCAGCCAAAAAGUUGUGACCUGAUUAACCCACAAGUAACCCAACGAAACACAUUCUAAAACUUUUGCCAACUGAAAAAUAUGUGUAAACAGCUUCAUAUAUAAUCUAAGGUAGGAGGCAUUUUCUCUUGUAGAAUAUAUGAAUUGCACGAUGUAUUGCUCUCGUGCAUAGACACGUAUAUAUGAUGUACAAAGGUGGGCCACGGACCUCAACUAUACAAGGAACUAGGAGGCGGGCCCAAUACACAAUAUGCACCUAACACAUAUACUCAACACCCCCCGCAGUCGAAGCGGCACCGCGGCUGACGCAAAGAGUGGACCGGAACUCCUCAAAUGACGCCGUAGGCAAGCCCUUGGUCAUGAUAUCUGCAAAUUGUUGGGAAGUAGGGACGUGUAAAACACGAAUAUGGCCAAGGGCCACCUGUUCCCGAACAAAAUGAAUAUCCAACUCAAUAUGCUUGGUCCGUCGAUGAUGCACCGGGUUAGCGGAGAGGUAGACCACCGAGACGUUGUCGUAGUAGACCACUGUGGCACCGUCAACAGGGCAAGAGAGCUCCUGAAGCAGCUGGCGAAGCCACGAACACUCGGCGACGGCGUUGGCCACCGCGCGAUACUCAGCCUCAGCACUGGAACAAGAGACCGUAGGCUGCCGCUUGGACGACCACGAGAUGAGUGAGGGUCCAAGGUAGACACAAUAGCCCGAAGUGGAGCGACGAGUGUCAUGGCAGCCCACCCAGUCUGCAUCGGAGUAGGCGGUGAGGGUAGUGUCGACAGAGGCGUGAAGCGUGAAGCCAAGAUCCAUAGUGCCAUAGAUAUAGCGGAGAAUCCGCUUGACGGCAGCCCAAUGAACGUCUCGAGGAGCAUGCAUAUGAAAACACACCUGCUGCACGGCAUACUGGAUCUCCGGUCGAGUCAGAGUGAGGUACUGGAGAGCACCAAUGAUAGACCGAUAGAAAGCAGCAUCCGAAGUAUGAGAACCAUCUGUGGCAGAAAGCUUGGCCUCCGUAUCAACAGGCGUAGCGGCAGGCUUGCAGUUAAGCAUGCCAGCAUGCUCUAGGAGCUCGUGAGCGUACUUUCUUGAUGAAGGAAGAAGCCAUCCGGACGGCGCACCACCUCGACCCCGACGAAGUAGUGCAAAGGACCCAAGUCCUUGAUGGCGAACUCAGCGUGAAGACGAGCCAUGAGCUGACUGAGGAGACCAGCCGUAGAUGCCGUCAGGAUGAUGUCGUCGACAUAGAGUAGCAAGUAGGCCGUGUCAGAGCCUUGAUGAUAGACGAAGAGCAAGGCGUCCGAGCGAGUAGAGCGGAACCCAAGCUGGUGGAGAAACGCCGCGAUGCGCUGGUACCAAGCGUGCGGAGCCUGCUUGAGUCCGUACAAGGACCGCGAAAGCAGGCACACGUGGUCGGGUAGUGCCGGGUCAACAAAUCCGGUGGGCUGCUGGCAGAAAACUUGCUCCUCGAGGUAACCAUGGAGGAAGGCGUUGGAGACGUCCAUCUGGUGCACCGGCCAAGCACGGGAGACUGCAAGGUGGAGAACCGUGCGUAUCAUGCCGGGCUUGACGACCGGACCGACGGUGUCGGUGAAGUCGAUGCCAGCACGCUGUCGGAAGCCACGAACGACCCAUCACGCUUUGUAGCGAUCAAGGGUACCAUCAGGAUGGAGUUUGUGUUUAAAGACCCACUUCCCGGUAAUCACGUUGGCGUGCCGGGGACGGGGAACAAGCUGCCACGUCUGGUUGCGCAACAGGGCGUCAAACUCCUCUUGCAUUGCAGCCAUCCAGCGCGGGUCACGAAGAGCGGCUCGAACGGAGGAUAGAAACGGCGACGGCUCAGAGGUGGACGCCGCAUGGACGUAGUCAUCCGAGGCGUAGCGCGAGCUCGGGCGGAAAACGCCCGUACGGGCGCGGGUGACCGAACCNNNNNNNNNNNNNNNNNNNNNNNNNNNNNNNNNNNNNNNNNNNNNNNNNNNNNNNNNNNNNNNNNNNNNNNNNNNNNNNNNNNNNNNNNNNNNNNNNNNNNNNNNNNNNNNNNNNNNNNNNNNNNNNNNNNNNNNNNNNNNNNNNNNNNNNNNNNNNNNNNNNNNNNNNNNNNNNNNNNNNNNNNNNNNNNNNNNNNNNNNNNNNNNNNNNNNNNNNNNNNNNNNNNNNNNNNNNNNNNNNNNNNNNNNNNNNNNNNNNNNNNNNNNNNNNNNNNNNNNNNNNNNNNNNNNNNNNNNNNNNNNNNNNNNNNNNNNNNNNNNNNNNNNNNNNNNNNNNNNNNNNNNNNNNNNNNNNNNNNNNNNNNNNNNNNNNNNNNNNNNGGGGGGGCCGCGGGCGCCAACGUCGGGGGCACCGGGGGCGCCAGCGCCGCGGCUGUAGGAGGCGCCGCAUGCGGGGGGCGGGCCAAGAGAGGCGCGCGAGCGCCCUGGGAGAGGCGUUGUGGAGCCCGCGUCACUGGUGGCGGGAGGAACAGCCGGGGGUACCUGGUGAAACGGAAACACAUGCUCAUCAAAGUAAACGUGCCGGGAAGUGAACACACGGUGGGAGACGGGAUUGUAGCACCGAUAUCCCUUGGAGUUGGAGGGAUAGCCGAUGAAGAUGCAAGCGACAGAACGAGGUGCGAGUUUGUGAGGAGCGGAGUCGGCAAUGCUAGGAUAGCAAAGGCACCCAAAAAUACGCAAGCCAUCAUAAGAUGGGGGCGUACCGAAGAGAAGAUGGUGAGGUGCAUAGUUCCACCGUGGGCGGCAAGGGCGAAGAUUAAGGAGAAGAGAAGCAGUGGCGAGUGCGUCCGGCCAGAAACGAGGCGGCACAUUAGCAUGGAACAGGAGCGUGCGAACGCAGUCGUUCAGAGUGGGAAGUACGCGUUCGGCUGGACCGUUCUGCUGUGAAGUAUACGGGCAUGUGAGACGAAAAACUGUGCCGUGGUGCGACAUUAAAGUGCGGAAAGCAAGGUUGUCGAACUCUUUUCCAUUGUCAGUCUGAAGAGCAAGGAUGGGACGCCCAAACUGCGUGCUGACAUAGGAGUAAAAAGCCGUCAAGGUGGAGAGUGCAUCCGACUUUCUGCGCAAAGGAAAAGUCCACACAUAAUGAGAAUAAUCAUCAAGGAUAACCAGAUAAUAUAAAUAGCCCGAAUUACUAGGAACCGGAGAGGUCCACACAUCGCUAUGGAUCAACUGAAAAGGAGAAGAAGCUAUGGUGGUGGAGUUAUUAAAUGGGAGGCGAACAUGUUUGCUAACACGACAGGCAUGACAGGUGUGGUCCUCAAUCUUAUGACAACUGAAACUGAAACUCCUAAGAAUAUGACGAAGUGUAACGGGGUUGGGGUGACCCAAGCGAGCGUGCCAGAGAUCAACAGCAGAGAGAGCGACCAGUGCGGUGGUGGUGGACGAGGGCGAAUGCACCGGAUAGAGCUCGUCGGGGCUAUCAUAUCAAUGGAGAACCAUCCUGGUUCGAGCGUCCUUGACACAAAAACCAAGCUCGUCAAAUUCAAUGGUGACAGGAUUUUCACGAGUGAAACAACGAACGGAGAUAAGAUUCUUAAUAAGAUGAGGAGACACAAGUAUGUUAGACAAAGAUAAAGGCGUAGAAGUAGAAGGAAAAGAAGUGUGCCCAACAUGUGUGAUAGGAAGUGUGGAACUGUCGCCGACAAUGAUGCGGCGGUCGGUAGAGACAGGAGUGAAGGAGGCAAGGUUAUCAGGAUGAGCAAACAUGUGAGCCGUGGCACCGGUGUCCAUGUACCAAUCACCGCCUCAAGUGUAGUUGUUCGGCGUAGGAGCGACAUGCAGCCCGGUGAGGAGCACCGGGUCCCAGGGUGCCGGCGGCAGGGCCGACGAGGGGGGCAAAGACGCCAUGGGGAAGCCGUAACCGCCGCUCAGCUGCGGCGGUGGGUACUCGCCAUACGGCUGCGGCGCCGCGUAGUACGCAUGAUGCGCCGAGGGGGCCGGGCGCGCCGGGAGGGCCGUGGGGAGCGGGCCCGCUGACGACCCCCACCAGUACCCGGGAGACUCGUACGCGGGUGGAGCCCCGUACGCAGGCGGAGACCCGGACGUGGAACACUAGUAGAAAAAGGGUCAAAUGUGAAGCACAUUAGUGCCGGUUUGAUUUUGAGCCAGCACUAAUGGACAUUAGUGCCGGUUCCAAUGGCUAGGCGGGCGGAGAUCAUUAGUACCGGUUCGUGAGCAACCUUUUGUACCGGUUCGUGUCAUGAACCGGUACUAAUGAUGCUGCGUCAGGCUGUGGUCAGGCUGUGGCCCCACGGGCACCUUUAGUACCGGUUCGUGCCAUGAACCGGUACUAUAGUUUCUUAGUAAGCUGUUUUUUAGUCCCACCUCGCGAAUAGAGAGGCACUAGGAGCGGUUUAUAAGCCCUGAGUGCAGAGACGAUGAAGGAGAGGCGCAAUGCUCAUCUGCAUGUUGCUUAGCUUUAAGCCUUGAGGAAUAGUGUAGACUGCACGGAGCUAUGCGCAGUGCAGUUUGCACUAUUCCGAAAGGCUUGAAGCUAAUUAACGAGCAUUGUGCCUCUUUUUUAUCUUUAAUAACUUAUUACAACUCCGGACUUCUUGUGUUACGGCAAAAACUGGACGCACUUCGUGUACAAACUGGACAAUCUUUUUCGAAGUAUCAGGGUUUCUGACGAGAACUCAUCUGUUACAUGGGCACUUCAUUUUUUUAAACUUAUUACAACUCGAGACUUUUUUGCAUUCCGUACACACCAUUCAAAGCGACGUCAUCAAUUUCCAACACGUUCUGACAUCAUUUGCUGUUUUUCAGUCAUUUGAACUCCAGCCUAUUUUUGCAUUCAGUAUGCAUCAUUCAAAGCGACGUCAUGAAAUUUCCACCACGUUCUGACAUCAUUUGCUGUUUUUCACUCAUUUACCGAUUUGUUUAGAGAACUAAAUGACGGUGAAAUUGAAAAUCACUACAGAAUGAACUCUGAAAAUGUUGGAACUUGGCAUGGUAUCAUCAUUUUGCCCGCAUAGCAUGUGCAAAAGAGUAGAGAGGGUCACGGCGAAAACUGGAUGCGCCUCGUCUACAAACUGGACAAUCUCUUUCGGAGUAUCAGGGUUUCAGACGAGAACUCAUCUAUUACACGGGCACCUCAAUGUUUUUUAAAUUUAUUUGAACUCCAGCCUANNNNNNNNNNNNNNNNNNNNNNNNNNNNNNNNNNNNNNNNNNNNNNNNNNNNNNNNNNNNNNNNNNNNNNNNNNNNNNNNNNNNNNNNNNNNNNNNNNNNNNNNNNNNNNNNNNNNNNNNNNNNNNNNNNNNNNNNNNNNNNNNNNNNNNNNNNNNNNNNNNNNNNNNNNNNNNNNNNNNNNNNNNNNNNNNNNNNNNNNNNNNNNNNNNNNNNNNNNNNNNNNNNNNNNNNNNNNNNNNNNNNNNNNNNNNNNNNNNNNNNNNNNNNNNNNNNNNNNNNNNNNNNNNNNNNNNNNNNNNNNNNNNNNNNNNNNNNNNNNNNNNNNNNNNNNNNNNNNNNNNNNNNNNNNNNNNNNNNNNNNNNNNNNNNNNNNNNNNNNNNNNNNNNNNNNNNNNNNNNNNNNNNNNNNNNNNNNNNNNNNNNNNNNNNNNNNNNNNNNNNNNNNNNNNNNNNNNNNNNNNNNNNNNNNNNNNNNNNNNNNNNNNNNNNNNNNNNNNNNNNNNNNNNNNNNNNNNNNNNNNNNNNNNNNNNNNNNNNNNNNNNNNNNNNNNNNNNNNNNNNNNNNNNNNNNNNNNNNNNNNNNNNNNNNNNNNNNNNNNNNNNNNNNNNNNNNNNNNNNNNNNNNNNNNNNNNNNNNNNNNNNNNNNNNNNNNNNNNNNNNNNNNNNNNNNNNNNNNNNNNNNNNNNNNNNNNNNNNNNNNNNNNNNNNNNNNNNNNNNNNNNNNNNNNNNNNNNNNNNNNNNNNNNNNNNNNNNNNNNNNNNNNNNNNNNNNNNNNNNNNNNNNNNNNNNNNNNNNNNNNNNNNNNNNNNNNNNNNNNNNNNNNNNNNNGCCCGCAUAGCAUGUGCAAAAGAGUAGAGAGGGUCACGGCGAAAACUGGACGCACCUCGUGUACAAACUGGACAAUCUCUUUCGGAGUAUCAGGGUUUCGGACGAGAACUCAUCUGUUACACGGGCACUUCAAUGUUUUUUAAACUUAUUUGAACUCCAGCCUAUUUCUGCGUUCAGUAUGCAUCUUUCAAAGCGACGUCAUGAACUUCCAACACGUUCUGACAUCAUUUGCUGUUUUCAGUCAUUUACCGAUUUGUUUAGGGAGCUAAAUGACGGUGAAAUUGAAAAUCACUACAAAAUGAACUCUGAAAAUGUUGGAACUUGACAUGGUAUCAUCAUUUCGCCCGCAUAGCAUGUGCAAAAGAGUAGAGAGGGUCACGGCGAAAACUGGACGCACCUCGUGUACAAACUGGACAAUCUCUUUCGGCGUAUCAGGGUUUCGGACGAGAACUCAUCUGUUGCACGGGAACUUCAAUGUUUUUUAAACUUAUUUGAACUCCAGCCUAUUUUUGCAUUCAGUAUGCAUCUUUCANNNNNNNNNNNNNNNGAACUCUGAAAAUGUUGGAACUUGACAUGGUAUCAUCAUUUCGCCCGCAUAGCAUGUGCAAAAGAGUAGAGAGGGUCACGGCGAAAAUUGGACGCACCUCGUGUACAAACUGGACAAUCUCUUUCGAAGUAUCAGGGUUUUGGACGAGAACUCAUCUGUUACACGGGCAGUUCAAUGUUUUUUAAACUUAUUUGAACUCCAGCCUAUUUUUGCGUUCAGUAUGCAUCAUUCAAAGCGACGUCAUCAAUUUCCAACACGUUCUGACAUCAUUUGCUGUUUUUCAGUCAUUUACAGAUUUGUUGAGGGAGCUAAAUGACGGUGAAAUUGAAAAUCACUACAAAAUGAACUCUGAAAAUGUUGGAACUUGGCAUGGUAUCAGCAUUUCACAAAGAAACUAAAUACAGCAAAAAAUUAUAUAAUUUUUUAUGUUCACAAAGAAACUAAAUACAGCAAAAAAAAUUGCCCGCACCGCUCCAGCGCCAGCGCAUACCUUUAGUAAAGGGUCGUGGCUCCAACCGGUACUAAAGGGGGGGCCAUUAGUACCGGUUGGAGCCACGAACCGGUACUAAAGGGGCAGUUUCCCGCCGCUUGACCCGGCCAAAAUUGGCCUUUAGUACCGGUUGGUGGCUCCAACCGGUACUAAAGGCCCCUCCUAUAUAUAUGGCACUUACGAAAAAUUGAGUUUCAUCGACCACCACUUCUUCUCCAACUACCUCGCGCGACAUGGCCGCUGCCCUCGCCGCCCCCGCCGCCCGUCGUCGCCGUCACCGCCGUCGCCCUCACCGCGCGUCGUCGCCGUCACCGCCGUCGCCCUCACCGCCCNNNNNNNNNNNNNNNNNNNNNNNNNNNNNNNNNNNNNNNNNNNNNNNNNNNNNNNNNNNNNNNNNNNNNNNNNNNNNNNNNNNNNNNNNNNNNNNNNNNNNNNNNNNNNNNNNNNNNNNNNNNNNNNNNNNNNNNNNNNNNNNNNNNNNNNNNNNNNNNNNNNNNNNNNNNNNNNNNNNNNNNNNNNNNNNNNNNNNNNNNNNNNNNNNNNNNNNNNNNNNNNNNNNNNNNNNNNNNNNNNNNNNNNNNNNNNNNNNNNNNNNNNNNNNNNNNNNNNNNNNNNNNNNNNNNNNNNNNNNNNNNNNNNNNNNNNNNNNNNNNNNNGCCCGCAUAGCAUGUGCAAAAGAGUAGAGAGGGUCACGGCGAAAACUGGACGCACCUCGUGUACAAACUGGACAAUCUCUUUCGGAGUAUCAGGGUUUCGGACGAGAACUCAUCUGUUACACGGGCACUUCAAUGUUUUUUAAACUUAUUUGAACUCCAGCCUAUUUCUGCGUUCAGUAUGCAUCUUUCAAAGCGACGUCAUGAACUUCCAACACGUUCUGACAUCAUUUGCUGUUUUCAGUCAUUUACCGAUUUGUUUAGGGAGCUAAAUGACGGUGAAAUUGAAAAUCACUACAAAAUGAACUCUGAAAAUGUUGGAACUUGACAUGGUAUCAUCAUUUCGCCCGCAUAGCAUGUGCAAAAGAGUAGAGAGGGUCACGGCGAAAACUGGACGCACCUCGUGUACAAACUGGACAAUCUCUUUCGGCGUAUCAGGGUUUCGGACGAGAACUCAUCUGUUGCACGGGAACUUCAAUGUUUUUUAAACUUAUUUGAACUCCAGCCUAUUUUUGCAUUCAGUAUGCAUCUUUCANNNNNNNNNNNNNNNNNNNNNNNNNNNNNNNNNNNNNNNNNNNNNNNNNNNNNNNNNNNNNNNNNNNNNNNNNNNNNNNNNNNNNNNNNNNNNNNNNNNNNNNNNNNNNNNNNNNNNNNNNNNNNNNNNNNNNNNNNNNNNNNNNNNNNNNNNNNNNNNNNNNNNNNNNNNNNNNNNNNNNNNNNNNNNNNNNNNNNNNNNNNNNNNNNNNNNNNNNNNNNNNNNNNNNNNNNNNNNNNNNNNNNNNNNNNNNNNNNNNNNNNNNNNNNNNNNNNNNNNNNNNNNNNNNNNNNNNNNNNNNNNNNNNNNNNNNNNNNNNNNNNNNNNNNNNNNNNNNNNNNNNNNNNNNNNNNNNNNNNNNNNNNNNNNNNNNNNNNNNNNNNNUAAGACAAAAUUUACGAAACGUAAAAAUACGGUGCAUUGAUGUCAAAAUAGAGAGGGGUGAAGAAUAACUAUUCCUCACCCAGGGUGACGAAUAGCGCGACUAUAUAUAUAUAUAUAUAUAUAUAUAUAUAUAUAUAUAUAUAUACUUUAUAUAUUUUAGUAAGAAAAUUAAUAGAACUAGUUUAUUUUUAGUAAGAAAAUUUUGAUAUCUGAGAUUUGAUGAUCUAAUUAAAAUAUUAUUAUAUGGAACUAGCUACUUUAUUUUAGUAAGAAAAUUAAUAGAACACGUUUAUUUUUAUUAAAUGCUUAGUUGAAUUAGUUGAAUUAAUAAAACUAGUUGAACUAAUAGAAGUAGUUGAAUUAGUUGAAUUAGUUGAAUUAAUAGAACUAUUAAGUGUUUAAUGUUUCACCUAUAUGAACAUAGGAAAUGUCGUCUGACGACGAAAAAGAUUUUAAAGUGCGAAUUCUGUGAAGACCAGCACGGCAUGUGCGACAGAAAUUUCCUUGUUGAUGAUAGGCGCUUCAGCAUCAAGCUGGAUGAGACAUUCGAAGUGGAUACAGUAAGUCACAACGACAAGUCUUUUUUCGUAAUUAAGCAUGACUUAUAUAUGCUUCAUUUGCUUCAACUUAUAAUUUUAAAUUUUCACUAUUCUACUAGCGCAUCCCCUGCCAUGCAAGAAUUUUUGUCUUGGAUAAGAUAGGUUUCAGUGCUAUGGAAACUAUGGAGGUAAAGAGAGUUUACCUGAAGACCGAGCAUGCUGGUUAUACUUUCAACGUCAAAUUAUACAAUGCAGACACGUACACCUAUUUUGAAUAUAAAACUUGGCAAGCACUAUGCAAGGCUUUUGCAUUUGAGCCUGAUAUGGUUAUCACCUUUGAUAUUCGUCCGGAAGAUGAUAUUUAAGGUAAUAGGGACAUCGGGGUCGAUGUGCAGACGCCUCCAAUUCUACCAUUAUGUGAGUUUGUCAACCAUAUUUAUGUCUUUGAUAUUGUUUAUUCAAAAAUAGUUGACAACUAAUUUCUAUUGACAGCUUAUUUCCAUUCAAGCAAACAAGUCCGACCCUUGGUAGACAGGACCUACUACUGUCCCGGAGCUGAACUAAACUGCGAGGAGAUAAGUCAUUAUGUUUCAUGGCUUGAGGAUCUUGAUGCUGUUAAGAGAAAUCAUUUUCUUGAAUUUGAAAAUCUUAGUACUCAAAACGUGCGACCAAUAGUGAUCGUAUUGAACUACGGUCACAUGUAUUUAGGAAAGAUGGUAAGAUUUUUACUAUUAGUCCUCAGUGCAUCUUUUGCAUACAUUAUUUUUCAAGCUAAACUUUCAUUGCUAAGUAUAUUAAUUACUAUACGAUGUUCUUCAACAGGGACUCCCGAUGACAGUUGUGCCUCAGUGGAUCGAGACUAAAGGUCGCAUGUCAAUUGUUAGCUUAUGGCCAAGAUAUCCUACAGUGCACAUGAGUGCAUUCAGGAUUUCUGAAAGCGAUGAAUGCUUAAUAGUGAAAGAUUGGAGCAAAAUUGUUAACGAUCGCAGAGAAGUACUAGGGGCAGCAAUCAGAAGCGCAGCCCACGAUUAGGAGACAGGUUCAUCUGCAUGCUCCAAUAUGAUGAAUCAGGAGAGCUAUACAUGUUCUAUGCUAUUUUACCUGAGAGAGAGCAGCAGGAGUGAUUUAGCUAGUUAUCAUGCUCUUAGUACUUGUUGUCCUCUCAUGCGUGUCCGUGUUCUUUGUCCUGAACUUAAUCUCAAAGAGUGAUUUGCUUUUGUGGUGUUAUGAACGCUUAUAAUAUCAUGACCAUGUUGAACUCGAUGAUAUCUUUGCUAGCUAGUAUAUAUUGUUGUUGGUGAUGAUACGAUGCAAGAGUUUUUAUAUUAAUAUGAUGAUGAUGAUGAUGAGUUAUUAUAUCAUUUAUGAAAGAAACCGCAUAUUAGUUUCAACGGGAUGGAUCCUAGCUAAGUGAUCAAGUAUAUGCCAUAUCCAUAUUACUUAGAUCUCUAAGUAAUAUGGAUAUGGCAUAUACUUGAUCACUUAGGUAGGAUCCACAUGCAUCCAGUCGAAACUAAUCUGCGGUACUUUCACCUAAUGAUUUAACAACUCAUUAUAAUGUAAAACAAUCAGUAAAUUAAAUUGAAAACACAAAACUAAAGAAAAAAUAAAAAUUAAAACCAAAACACACCCAAACAUUUAGUACCGGUUGGUGUUACCAACCGGUACUAAUGUCCUACACGCACCCGGGCCUGGCUCGUGCCACGUGAUGGCACGUUAGCGCCGGUUCGUGCCAAACCGGUACUAAAGGGGGGCUUUAAUCUCCACUCCAUAGUGCCGGUUGUAGAACCGGCACUAAAGGCGCUUACGAACCGGUGAUAAAGGCCUGUUCUGCACUAGUGGAAGCGGGCGGAGCCCCGUAAGCCCCGUACGUGGGAACGGACGCGUCGUAGCUGGCGGCGGCCCCGUACGACGGUGGGGCCGGCGGCGGGACGGCAGAGACGGCGGCGGACGGGCCGACGGACGCCAUCGCUGGUCCGACUACGGCGGUCGGCGCGGUUGGGCAGCAGCAGCAAUACGGUUGGCGAUGCGGUUGGCAGUCGCAGGUGAGUGACUCGGGCGGCGCACCUGAUGGCAUCGCGGGCGACCCGCCUUGCAUGGCGCCGUACGCAUGGCCGUACGCAUAGCCAUGCAAGGGCAGCGAGGCAAAACAAGGUUGGUCCGUUGGCUGGCCUUGCAUGGCGCCGUUCGCAUGGCCGUACGCAUAGCCUUGCAAGGGCAGCGAGCAGUGGCGGAGCUAGAAUUUAAGAACAGGGUGGUCCACCUUACAAAAAAAAUUGACAACAAAAUAACAUGACAUGCGACCGUUCUAACUAAUUAUCAAUAUCUCAUAGAAAUAAAUCAUUAUGAUCUUAGUUUUGCAUAAAAGAGACCUAGAUAGUAGGUACCUUGAGAAGUUCAAAGUAGAUUAUGUUCCUGGCCUACGCUUUUGCAUGGCCAUGAAAGUAUCAAUCAUAUCAAUCUUCACUUACCUUGGAGAAAAUAUCCGCUCUAUGUGACUAGGAAAUCAUCCGAAAGACAGAAUUAUGACUAGGAAGUCAUCCAAAAGACAUAAUCGUGACUAGGAAAUCAUCCAGAAGACAAAUCUUCAUUUACCAUGAAGAAAAUAUCCGCUUUAUGUGACUAGGAAAUCACCAAUCUUAUUUCUCAACUUAAUCUAUAUUCACCUUCAAAGAGAAACAAUGUUUUUGGUCCUCUUUAUUCUUCUAGGAUUCUGCAAUUAUAAUUUACUUUCUAUCAAUUAUAAAUUCAUAAUGAUAUAAUUGAAUAGAAAUUAUGUAUUGAACGGUGGACAACACAGGGAAGAGCAAAUCCUAAAUCAAACAUUUGGGAAUGGCCGAAUGGGCAAUGGACGAGCUGAACUGAUACCUCAAAUCGACAAGGAUGGUUGUUCACUUGCUGCUUCCUGCCGAGGGGGAUUCAAAGCAAGGCCGCCUGGCGGUUGGCAUCCAAAAGCAGGGGGCCGCACGGUCGCGGUUGCGCAACAGCCGCCAAACUGCAAGCACCAAGCAGGCGGGAUGGAGAGGUUGUGGCUCCUCGGCCUCGGGCGAGCGGCGAAGUAGGCUGGGACAGACUCCGGCGAAAAGGCAAAACCGAGAGAGGUCGGUGUCGGGGGCAGGAAGCAGCUGACUGGAUGCCUCGGUGCGUCUCGGCGGCUGGGGGCUGGUAGCCUCAGUUUUUUCCUCGCCAACGCAGAGAUGAGUUGAGAAUAGCUAUUGGGCUUUUGUUUUUUUUCUAUGGCCCAUCUCUAAGCAGAAUGUUAUAUAUAGGCUGGUGCAAAUUUCCAGGGUGGGCCGCGGCCCACCCUGGACACCCUGUAGCUCCGCCCCUAGCAGCGAGGCAAAACAAGGCUGGCCCAUUGGCUGCUCCACGGGCAGAUGUUGACCCGCUGACUGGUGCCCCAACCAGGACACGGGAGCCCCGUAUCCAUACGGAGGCGGAGGGGCAGCGCCGAGGCCGAAGCGGCGGCCGGGGCAGGCGGAGAUCACGGUGACGGAGGCGGCGACAGUGCGGAGGCCAUCAUCAAAGCGAUCGGCAGGGAGAGAGAGGGGCGGCGGCCGGCAGCGGCGGCGCGGAGGAGACGCGCGGCGGUGGAAGGCUAGGGUUAGAACCCGGAAACUGAUGCCAUGUAAAAUAUAUGAAUUGCACGAUGUAUUGCUCUCGUGCAUAGACACGUAUAUAUGAUAUACAAAAGUGGGCCACGGAUCUCAACUAUAUAUACAAGAAACUAGGAGGCGGGCACAAUACACAAUAUGCACAUAACACAUAUACUCAACAACUGUGGUUCAGAAAAUAGAGGCCAAUAUAGCUUUUAUGUUGUACGAGGGCAAUCAAAAUAGUGUGGUUCCUAGGAUUCACUUGAAAAUAGCACACCAGACUAGUAGCAACAGAAGACGACCUAAUAAUAACAAAUCAACUACUCCAUCCGUUCCUAAAUAUAAGUCUUUUAAAGAUUUCAAUAUGUACUACAUACAGAGCAAAAUGAGUGAACCGACACUCUAAAAUACGUCUAUAUACAUUCGUAUGUAAUUUUUAUUGAAAUCUCUUAUUUAUACCUACUAUUAAAAUAAGCAGGUAAGAAAAACGACUCCCUAGCCUCCCGGGUCGCUUCAGGCGACUCCGGAGGCGCCGCCGCGGCCACCUUCGGAGGUCCUCCCUCGCAGCGCCGUUCACCACGCCGCCGCCGGAGGAGGUCGUCCGCCCGGCGGACGGCGGCUGCGGGGCAUCUCCGGCCUCUUUCUGUUCUUCCCCUUGGUGGUCGCCUUCCGAUUUGGCCGCUGGCUUCCCGAUCUGGCCGCUACCUGGUGAUUCCGGCCUCCCAAUCUGGAUGAAGUCCAUGGCCUAGAGUACGUGCGGGGCUGGUUCCUGGACGCAUCCACACGGCUGCUUCAGAGAGUUACACACGUGUGUAGAUGCUCGGCGGCCGUCCAGGCUGCCGGCUAGCUGCAGCACAUGGUCAUGGCUGCUUGGUCAGCUAGGUCUUGGCGGGCAGCGGCAUGGCUGGGUCUUCACGGCUAGGUGGAGUUGGCAGUCUGCUUUCUCGCUUCUGAGUGCGUCACCGGGAAUUGGAUCCGGGACUGCGGCGGCCUUGCUGUGGAUUGUGGUCACCAUUAAAAGAUUUUGUGAGAGUUCAUCUCCAAAGAUCCAGUGGUUGACUUUGGCGGCGAUAUGCAAAUUAUGGACAAAGUCUUGAUGCAGAGGGAUGGUUGUGCGGCAGCGACGGUCACACCGUAUGUAGCUGCUAGAAUUGUGGAAAAGUGAUGGUGACAACACAUGAAUGACCUUGAUGGGGGUGCUACUUGAGCACCCGGUCUUGAGCUUCGGGGUGGAAGCCUAGGUCUGGCCCGAGUUGGGUAUACCUGCCAAUGGCGAUGUUUUUACGUUGUUACUUUGUUGAAGGCAUUGUUCGGAAUGCUCGGACUGCUUCUUCUGGGUGAAAACCUUAGAUUGUAGUCUUGGGUGGCUCGAUCCGGUGACGGUGACAUUCGAGUGUUGCUCCCUUUCUGAAGGCGUUGCUAUUGAAGAACCUCGUCGUCCAUGUGGUGUCAUAAGAUGGUCGGUGCAGAUAUGGUCAUUGUUAUAGUUUGUCGAUCGAGGAUUGGAUUGCUUUGGGUUUUUUAUUUUUUUCCUCGCCUAUACGCAUAGCUUUGGUCUUAUAUGACUUUGCUUUUUGCCGGUGUGUUUUUGUGUGCGUGCGUUGGUGUUGGCUGUGUGCAUCCUAGCUAUGCAGAGGCCGGGUGUAUGCUCAUCGUGCUUGUAUCUUCUUGAUGCUUCAUUUUGAGUUAAUAAAAUCCAUCCUUUAUAAAAAAAUACCUACUAUUAAAGGGAGGUGAUAUUCUUGGCUUCGUCCCGCUUCAAUUAACUUUAGGUACGUUAUUUGGUUUCGUUACUUGCCACCCGUUUUGACCCAACGAAGAAAGCCCACCUGGCGGCACACUGAGGCCCAGGUCCGGAGAGUUGGCAAAAAAAUUGCAGGUGGGAGGGAUAUGAAAGGAUUUUUUUUCUCCCGUGAGAGCUGGCAAAAAAAAAUUCAGGCGGGAGGGAUAUGAGAGGAUUUUUUUUUUCUCAUGUUGCAACGCAUGGGUCUUUUUGCUAGUAUUUAGAAAUGGAGGGAGUGUAUGUAGAGAUAAUGGAUAGUCCCACAAAGAGCAAAAGUUCCAACGAGGAGAAAUAGAGGAUUAAUUCUAGACGCCCAAGGACAACUAGAUGGCAGAAGGACCAAAGCUACUACUACACUUCCGCCCGUUAUGAAGUACGGGACAGGAGGAGGCUGCGUGGAAAUCCUUGUGGAAGACGCAAGUACCUGAAAAAAUUAAAACGUUUUUAUGGCGACUAGCAAAGCACUCCUUGCCAACCGAAGAUGUCCGCUGGCAACACAACAUUUUUUUUACGGGCGCUGGCAACACAACAUGGCAACCUCCAGAGCAUGUGGAAUUUGUGGGAUGGAGGACUCCUGGAGACACUCAUUAAUAGAGUGCUCGAUAUCGCGAUACAUGUUGGCAUUAGUUGAUGAAGAAAUACAUGAGCAUAUGAUAACUACCACUAAGACUAGUGCAAAGCAGUGGCUGUUCGAAAUGAUAGAGUCCAUGUCUCGCCGAUAUUUUGUGAAGUCGGCAGUGACCUUAUGGGCGACAUGGUGGGCGCGAAGCAAGACAAUACACGAAGGGGUGUUCCAAUGUCCGCUCUCUGCAAAACUUUUUGUUAAAAGUUUCAUUACUGAACUGGGGAGGUGUCAAGAAGGACAUCAAUUACUCGUCCUAGAGCUGGAAAUUCAUGUUGAUGCAGGACUAAGGAGAGAUGGCAAUGGUCGUUCGGCUGCGACGUUGUGUAGGGACUUUGUUGGUAACUAAAUGGGGUCUUCUUCCCUAGUGAUUCAGGGUGUCUGAGAGGCGGCAGCCCUCGAGGUCAUUGCAUGCAGGGAGGCGCUCGCCUUAGCGGAUAAUCUUCUCAUUUAUGAUUUCGUGGUGGCUACAGAUCUGAAACAAGUGGCAAAUGACAUUUUGAGAGGAAGUAGUGGGGCGCAUGGCCAGAUAUUAGCAGUUUGAUCUUUGAACUUUAAUUGUACCUUUCGGUUUGAGGGUCGGGCAUUGAAUACCGAAGCCCAUCGUUAGCCAAGUUUUCACUUUCGUUGAAUCGGGGCACCAUGUAUGGUUGGAUCAACCCCAUGAUUUUUAUGAGAGGAGAAUAUAUGUUGGGUUUAACUGGAAAGUUGUCAUUGACGAUAUCAAGCAAAGGAGUGCGUCUUAUUAUGGUGCGAUCAUUAGAGAAAUAAUAGACCUUCUAGGUUUUUUCAUAGUUGUUCAUGAGUAUAGGAGCUCGAAUGUCAAGGCUCACAAUUUGGCGAAGCAUGCACUCUCACUUGGGGUUAGCCGUCAUGUUUGGUUAGGCAAUCCGGGUGAUCUUAAUUUAGUCAUGAGAUUGUUUCAGAAAAAUACUCCCUCUAUAAAGAAAUAUAAGAGCGUUUAGAUCAAUGGGAUCCGAGCAUCAUCGGGCAUCACAGGUGCAGCCAUGUUGUCGCUAACUCGCUAUCGACAUGCUCCCUCCUCUUAUCAUGUCGAGGAGGACUUCAUGGCAUGUGAGAUCGGAACGGCGGAGCAGCUCUUCCAUUUAGCGGGAGCGGCGCAUCAAUGCCAUGGGCGCCCACUUCAUCGCCACCGAGGCUUCUCCCUCACCUGAUGUGGCGGCUUGAGGACCCUCCCAGCUUGAUGACUAUAAGGAAUCUCCGUACGUCUAGACGCCAUUGUAUGAGGGAGAGAUAAUUAAGAUGGCCACGGGUCAUUUCAUUUGGAUGUAGGCCACUCAAUUGGGGAGUACAGGUAGAUGUUGUGUGUGUGGAGACGUUUGGUCAAGUUUCGAAGAGAGUGGUUCCACGUGUGGGUGGUUAAUCGUACAACGAAAAAACAACGGUGGAGGUGUGAUGUUGGGUAAUGAAUGGAUGUUUUGGAUAAACUAGUCCUUCUGUUUCUAAUCUCUGGUACUUUAAGUAGUGAUCUAAAUGCUCUUAUAUUUCUUUUUGGAUGGAGUACAAGACUUCCUAGUAUUAAUGGUCUUGUUAAAAAGAAACAACGAAAUAUUGUUCUGGGUCUGAAGAAACAAACGAAGAGCCGGUUGCGUGCAAAACUUGCUUGAUGUGUUAUGCAGGCAUCAGUUUAUCAUGCAUAAUCAGGUUGCGGACAUUGCAGGAGCUCUGCGGAGCGGCCCAAGUAUGCCCUCCGUAUCAAAUAGUGUCAAAAAGCGUCUUAUCUUGAAUUUUUUGAUAGAGGGAGUAAUAGAUAUUAAGACCUAGCACUUCUUUCCCCUUACGAGUGAAAGAAAGGUGUCCAAUCUCAAACUCUUAGGAGACGGGGUCUUACAAAUAUAUAUUUUUCGAUAAAAGGGGCCACAUGGCCCCCAUUUUCGUUAUGAAAAUAGGAGUCUGGAUACAACAAAACACACCACCACACAACUUUAUCCAUCAGACCUGAUGCAUCACCUCAUCAACUAAAAAGCAACCUACAUCCUAGACAUAUAACCAUAUCUAUAGGAUGCCAAAUCACCCACUACCGGAGAGAGAGCAAACUUUUAAACAUCUUUUUUACAAAUUGCACAUCAGCCAAAACAAUAAGCAAGUCUAAAACCAGAACAUACUACAGAGCCGCCCAGUUUUAGGUAGACACAAAGCCUUUGAGCAGAAGGAUUCCACCCAUACGCUCUUCUGUAGACUUCAUUUGCUACCUGAGAUAGCCUCUUGGAAACCUCCCUAAGCAUUUUUUGCACUCUUUUUCUCUAUAGAAUCAUCCAUGAAUCCAACAAAGAACACAUGGUAAAUAUUACAUUGAGAGGAUUUGAAAGAAAAACACGUUGAAAACAGGAUCUGUUCCUUGUUUUCCAAAUUGUCCAUAUCAAAGCGGCAGCACCAAUAGAAACAACAGCCCUAUCCUUUCCAGGAUAGGAUGGUAUCUAGUUUUGACAAAGAUCAAAGAAAGAUAAAGGUAAUUUCGGGUUACCUAGUGUACCACAUAUCACAUUCCAUAAAAAUAAAACACAAGUUAUAUGAUCAAUGCUCUCAGAGACACCGCAAAACUCGCAGAAAUUUGGUCCUUUCCACCCUCGUCUAGACAAGUUAUCCUUGGUUAGGAUCCUCCCUUUGAUCACUAACCAUAAAAGGUCCCAAAACAACAUCUUUGAUUUGAGUAUGUAUCAUUUACUCUUCGUUCUGUCCGCACCACAGAACAACAUCUUUGAUUUGAGCGUCCAAAAGGUCCCAAAGCCGGUCACCAUUAAGGUCUUCCCAAGCAAACAAAACCUUUUCUGGAGGCUAAGUUCUGAGCUUAACCCUCUUUGAAGGAUUAAUUUCGAGCUGCUUGUUGUCAUCCUGUGAUAUCACUUCAAAAAAUAAAAAUAAAAAACUAUUUAGAUAUAUACACCAUCUGAACAUCUCACUAUGUUGUUUGAGACGUACUGACACAUAAGGUGAAUAGCUAAACCGAGUGCGAUGGGUUUGCUGGUUAAAAAUCCAAUUUUAAGAAAAUGAUGUACACAGUAAUAGUGCAAAAAAUAAAAUAGAAAACACGAAAUAUAAAUGGCACUCUAGUGUGGCACACUGAUCAAGAAAACGGUUUCGCCCUAAAUAUUCAUGUAAGCGUAAGCCAUCAUGUGCUUCAUCUGGUUUCAGAUGGUAAUGACAAUCGUGCUCUUCGCGGUUAGCUAUCAGCUUACUGGUCACCAGGCAUUGUCUGAGAACACCACAUAGCCAUGACAUGGCAUUUGUGGCUGGAAGGACUAGAUGAUGCGACCAUUCAGAAGGUGCAUCAUGAAGGACUACAUGAAGGUACACGACAUUUGCUCCGAUAUACUCCCUCCGUCCAGUAGAAAUUAGAGGACCGUCCAGUUUUAUGCUUUACAAGAGCAAUCCCAUUCAGAAUAGCACACUAAACUGGUAGCAAUAGAAGGCUGCAUACUGAAUCAAGAACUACCACAUGUGUAUAGAUAGUGGACAACCCCAUAAAGAACAAAAGAUCCAACAAGGAAAAAUAGAGGAUUCUAGACUCUCGAGGACAACAUAAUGUUAGUGCACCUACACAACUGGAGCGGCUAAAACUCAAAACACUUGAACGGCCUAAAAGAAGAUUCAUAACAAAUAUAUUAAAUGCUUGAAUCAAUUAAUUAAUAUUCCUAUAACAAGUGGCACUCCGAAACCUCAAAAGGCAGCAAAUUAGAAAUUUUGGGACAUAGGUAAGAUAAAUAGGCAAAAACAGCAGUACUGUUGCACUUCCAUAUCCGGCAGAAAGCUAAGCAAAUGCAACCAUGUUACGUCGAUAUGUAAGUUCAAGAGAUAUUGAAUUUGAAUAUUAAGAGAGCUUACCUUUUGGCCUUUCAAGGUAUUUGGAGAAGACAGCUGGAAGUAGGAGCGUAUUGGAAAACAAGUUUUCGUGAACUUUCACGGCUUUUGCAUUCACGCACUCAUCAGGACGACCGUAGGGCUGUUGAUUGAUGUAUUCGGUACAUGACCGCAGAUAUGCAUGGUUCAUGUCAACCAUGAUCAUCCACGACUGUGUCCGGGCAUCAGCAUCACAGUGUCCGUGGAGCUGUUGAUUGCUAAGUAGCUUCUCGUCCCUCAACAGGCAGCACAGGGCAUCCGGGUCAUCCGCGGGGACGACUGGGAACUCGGGAAGACACGGACGCAUGCCGAGAGCUUGGUAACCACGUUGCGACCAGAGACAAUCCAGGUUGAUCACACGAUGCACCUCCCACUCGAACCUGGGGUCACCACCAGCCCCCAUCACUUUCAAUGUCCAGAUGGUGAUGUUCAGGGGAGGGUGCUGCUGCCCUUGCCCUCUCUCGAGCCGCUGGCGCCAGCCAACGUGGACUCUCUCGUGAUAGCCAUGGUCAAUGUCGACGAAGCGCAUUAUGCCUUGGCUGAUGGACACCCUUCGGUAAUAAUUCGCGAGGCACAUUGCAAUGUGUCGGUCGUCGGGGUAACCUUGUCCUCCGGGGAAAGGCACGAAGUGGAGCACCGGGGAGUCUGCAUCAGGGAAAUCACACAGCAGGACGCCGCUCAAGUGGUCGACCCAGCAGAGGAACCGGCCGUCGAAAGCGAGCACAUCGUUGGUUUUCCAGAGGACGGGGAACAGGCCGCCAUUGCCCUGGUCCUACGGCUGCGGGGCAGGCAUCUCGAGGAAGAGCUCCCACUUCUCAGUCAUGGAGUUGAAGACGCAGAGUUCGGCAAGCACGGAAUAAUUGUCAGAGCCCUUCUUUUUUUCCCAGUAGACCCUGAGGUCGGCAACGAUGUAUCGGUCGCCGGCGAGCCGCAGGAUGCCUGUGUUUUUUCUAGACCUCAGGAACGGCCAUUCCCUGGGCUCAGUGUACAGAGGGAGCUGCUGCACCGAGGGGGAAGGACCCGCGGCGGUGUAGACAAACAGAUCUGACGGGUCGCCGUCGAAGCACGGCUGGUUCGGCAUGGAGAUUUCGAAGAGGACGAGGUCCUCGUCGGCUGCCCGGAGGUAGGGAUAGGCGGGAAAGCGGUACGGGGGCUCGGGUUUGGCUGAGCCUUCCAGCGGCCAAUGGAUAUCGAGGUAAGAGAGCUUUGGAGGAUCCGAGAGGGUGAAGGACAAGCAGCAGCGGUGGCCGGUGCCGGUGACGAAUUCAACGGCGGUCUUCUUCUCAUUGGCAGCCUCACGAGCACUGUCUAGGUCGUCGUGGCAGUAGGUGCGGCCGUAGCGAUCCAGCACCACCCAGUCGGGGAAGGCGACGGUCUCCUCCACCGACUCUGCUGCGUCUCCGGUGGCCAUGACGAUCCCUAACCCUAGACUUAUGGUUUUGGUGGGUGACCUAAUAGACCGGAACAGACUCAAGCCAUGCAUCUCACUCGGCCAGGGCCAUUGCGAGCCGAUGGGGUCCCGUAUCUCCGUGGGUUCACCGGUGUACGUAUUACAUUGCUUUUGGACGCAAACAAAUAACGUACAGUAUUCCAUUGCUUUUCCUAGUUUGAAUCCUGGUAUUUCUCUCACAAAAAUCCUAGACUUGUAAACAUCUACGGAAAGGAACUUAUAAGGAAUCAGGUUAAGGGCAUGUACAAUGAUGCUAUCUUAGGAGUGCCACGUAAGAUAAAUGAUUAGGUGGAGGAGAGAGACCUCAUAAGAAAAUGUUUGUCUUCUCUUAUUUAAGAGAUGACAAGAGAUGAUCUCUUAACACAAUAUGUCUCACCAUGUUUUUAAGAAGGGUCCCGAUAACGCCCACACGUGUGGGCGUUAAAGGGUCUGGCCACACGUUUCGUGUGGUAUCUAAGGAACCAGUCCACACGUCUACGUGUGGGCAAAACAAAUAAUGCCCACGCGCCCGGUCUUUUGCCUCGCGGUUCCUCUCACACGUCUACGUGUGAGCAAAAUAGAUAACGCCCACACGCCCGUACUCACGUUCCCGCACGCUCCGCAUGACAAUCACCACGCGUCCCCGCAAUUGCCAUGGUCCGGACCCUCUUCCAUGUUCGUUUCCCUGCAGUUGCCAUGUUGCUGAACUACAGUUGCCAUGUCUGACAACUAUAGUUGUCAUGGUUGCUCAACUGCAGUUGUCAUAUCAGGUCAAGUGUCGGAUGCCAAUUUUGGACAACUGCAGCUGUUGUCAUGUAUGGUCUGGUCUACUACAGUUGCCAUGAUUUGAAAAAUUUAGGAGUUGCCACCUACUAACACUAGGCAGUUGCCAUGUAGCACUACAAAAAAGGCAUGGCAAAAAAACAUGUUCGGGUAUAGAGAGAGUUGCCAUCUGCUUACAAGCACGCUAGGGCAGUUGCCAUGUACCCUGCAAAAACACAUGGCAACUCGGGUAAAAGAGAGUUGUCAUCUGCUUACAACCACGCUAGGGCAGUUGCCAUGUACCCUGCAAAACACAUGGCAACUGGCAGCUUUGGGCGUGGGACAGGAGACGGGCGUGUGGGCGAACUGAUAAACGCCCACACACCAGCCCUUCCACGUGCGUGAAAACUGGCGUGUGGGCGAACUGCUAAACGCCCACGCACUAGCCUCUCCGCGUGGUGAAAUGGACGUGUGGGCGGCCGGAUAAAUGCCCACACACCAGCUCAAUCCUACGUGGCAGGCAAAACAUGCAAAGAUUCAUGCAAACACAAACAGACGUUGAUCCAUACGUGUGGGCGAGAUACAAACGCCCACACGUGUGGGCGUUAGUAUUUUCGUUUAGGAAUUGCUAGUUAUUGAAGAUAAGACUAAGAGAUGACCCAUUGUAAACUUUUUUUUGUCAUCUCUAGAUUACAUGCAAAACUUAAGAUAAGACUAUCUUAUCAACGAUUGUAUAUGCCCUAAUCUCUCCCCCUAAUUUUUAAGGUGGGGCCUCCCUCCCCUAGUUUUCCAACCAUUCCUUCCAAGUUCCAACUCACCCCCGUAACCUCUUCUUUCUCUUCUUUUUUUUGCGUGGAACUCACCACGUAACUUCAAUCCCGUAGUGUGUGGUUUUCCCGGUUUACCUUGAUUACUGUGCCAUAUAUGAUUUUUGGGUCCAGUUUACCUUAUUAACAAUUCUUUUCUUCUUAAUGCAAUGCAGGAGCUCCCCGCCCCCCGACAAGGUUCAGUCAAAAAAAAAACUUCAAUCUCGUAAAGUUGCUCGUAGGUGUAGCAAAUCUCUUUCUUUCCUCUCGCCGUACCAUGUUCUUUUUUUCGGUGUGGCUAGGUCUGAAUUCACUGAGACUUAACCAAGUCAUAAUCAAGUGACAUAUAUAUAAUGUAAGAAAAAAACUAAAAAAAUACACAAAUUUCUAUGAAAGAUCUAAUGAAUAUAACAUUGACAGAGACAUGACCAAGUCUCAGUCGACUGAGAUUUAGCAACAUUGUUUUUUAAGCCAUCCUAACUAUUCAAAAAAAAAACUUUUCUUUUCGAACCCCGAUAAGUAUCACGCGUGUGGCACGAAGUAAGUUGGGCCAAAUGCCACAUCACCACAGAUCGCACCACGUUACCGCAUUCAAGAACAAAUGACGAAACUAAUGAUGUCUGCGGGAAUUUUUUGGAUUUUCGGUUUUUAAAAUAUUUUAUCUGUUAAAUUAAAAAUCUGAUUUAAAAACGGUUUCACCAUAAAAUCUGUCGCGACGAGAUGUACGAAACUAGAUCCCAUAUUGAUAUGUUACUGACGACUUUUUUAUGGUUAAAAGUGGCCAUGUCUGUUGCACAUAAAUUUCCAUGGCGUUUACACGGAAGUUGCGAUGAUAUAUUUCAACUACUUUUUCUUCUAUAUUUAAAGUAAAUUUUGACAUGUUAUAAAAAAGAGAAUUUCAAAAACAAAGCUUGUCAUGGUGAAUUCCUAAAAUUUGCCAUCAUCCAUACAAUAAUUUUGACAUGGUUCACAAUUAAAGAAAUCCGUCGUCAAUUACUUUAAAAAUGGACUCAAAUUUGCCAUGAACCAGAAAAUAAAAUUGCCACGGUGAAUUACUUAAAUUUGCCAUAUACAUGCACUAAAAUUUGGCAUGGUUCAUACAAAAAUAGUUUCUAUGGUCAAAAUUCUAGAAUUGCCAUGAUCUAUAAACUAAAUUUGCCACGAUAAAUUGCUAAAAAUUGCCAUGGUCAAUGAAUUAAAUUUCUCGUGGUUAAUUGUUAUAACUGCCAUGGUCAAUUAAUAAAAUUUGCCGUGAAAAAUAGUUGAAUAAAAUAGAAACUUUAAAUCGAGAAAAAAAUGAAACAUAUCAUGGCAAUUUUAGUGUAAACACUACAGGAACUUCAGUGUAACAUCAUGGCAACUUUUGGCCAAAAAAGUCGUCGAAACAUAUCAAUAUGGGAUCUAGUUUGGAAGAUGAUAUAGACACGGCUAAUACAGAUGUUUUUGCUAUUAAGACAUUGUCAUGUGUCGAAGGAUUAAAAGUCAAGAAAAUUAACGUGCCAAAAAUAUUCCAAUCUAGUAGAGAUGAUACAGAGGUCAAGGGUUUAAUUGCCACCACAAUCAAACAUGAAGCUGCAGUACAAAAGAUGAGUCUGUUUGGGUACAGAGGUGUGUUGACAUGAAUAGAUACUAUAGCAUUGGUAGACAUGCACUCACGUAAGAAAGAGAAAAUGAGGAUAUUCAACAUGCAUGCAUUACGUGGGAAGGUGUGCUUGUGCAUGCAUUCAAAGACGUACUCAUAUACUAAUACGUUUGAUCAGUUUUUAUUUGGCCAAGAGAAUAGGAGGAUCAGGCGCUUUCAUGGAGGAGUCCUGGUCGCUGAUAAUAACAAAGGAGUUUUGAUCCAGUACUACUUUCAUCAUGUACGGCCACCCGAGAAGGAAUACCCAUGGAUGCCGCGAGAGAUCAAAAAAUUACUUUCUUUGAAGGAAACAGGGUGGGGUCCACCACCCGCUGUUUGCAUCAAGACGCACCAUCCAGAAUUGAGAUGUCGUCGUAGUUGUUUUCAUUUCCUUAUUAUUUUAAACCAAAAGUCGGUUGUUAUGUUUGGAAAAGUCCAGAACGUUUUCCUUUUGAAUUAGGAGAUGAGAUAGAUAAGAUGCGGCCAGCCUGUUGGUCACAUCAAACAUAGGAGUUGGCUAUAUAUAAAGCCAUGGUGCGUCAUGUUUAAGGUUAGGUUAUAUUGAGAUGAAUUAGACACUAUGCGUGUUUCGGCCGACAGCCAUUAUCGAGUUUAGAGAAAUCUUGUCAAAAUCUCUGUUGGCGUGUGAGUUCCUGCGACACGACUGUAGGAUAUUACAAGCUGAGCCUCAUCAAUCUUGUCGAGACGGAUUUAAUGAUGAAAACAGAUUUUUAAUUAGAUUUUUUAUUUAAGAUAUAAAACAGUUUUAAGUCUAAAAAAUUAAAAAGAUUCUGCUAAUGUCAUCUGCUUGAUGUGGCAAAAUGAAUGAUAAUGAAGGUGUUUGGACCAUGUUACUUCGUGCCAUACGUGUGGUACUUAUUAUUUGGGUUAUUUUUUGUUUUCGGGGAGGCCCUACAAAGUUCUGAUUUGAGGCAAUACUUUUCCUCACCUUUUCUUUCUUUUCUUCUUUACAAUAAUUUAAUAAUGCAUGGCCGGAAGUUGGAAACACAAAACAGUGAUUUAAUGAUUUCAAACUAAAGAUCUCAAUUCUGUUAGGGCGUAUUUCACAAACUUCCAAAUACAUAUUAAACUAACAUAUAUUUCAAAAAAUUGUUUCACUAAAAUAUACUCGUGCGAUGUGGUGGUCGGACGAACGACGCAGGACUGGUGCGAUGGAGUUGCUCGGGGUCCUCCGAGCGACGUUGGGGCAACAUGCAUGGCUACUGCGGAUCGACGAAGAUGUGAUCUGUGCUGCUGGCGGGCGGGGUGGCUUCGGCGGGCGGCACGGAUCUGGUAUGUGGUGUUGGACGACGUCCGAUGGCGUGCAGGUACGUGGGCAACUUGUCAGGUAGUUUACAAGCCUUCACGUUGUGCCCUUCCUUCUUGUGUGUUGUUCGUGAUGUCGGGUCGAGUUGGGCUCCCUAGAGUGUUGCUCUGCGAUCAGCAGAUUGGCCCCGGUGGUCACGAGCAUGGUUGCGUGUGAGCUCGCCUAGGACAAGGCCAACGGCUACGACUGGGGCUUGCUCGGCGGCGGCCGUCGGCAGCCACUGGAUUGUGACCCCCUGUCCGUCGGGACUGGUUGGGGACGCAGGCAUUGACCCCGACCAGGUGGUUGAUGCCGGUCUCGGAGAGGAAGGAGGUGCCCUCUGCUCUUCCUACUGUGGCUGGGGUGUGGUGAUACCGGCGGUUGGUGGUGUUUCGGUACAUGGAUGCUAGGGCGGCGGUCCCGGAUGGUUGGCUUUCCGGUUGGCAUCAUGGCGGCGAUGGUGGCUAUGCCUCUUGGCCAUCUGGGCAACGAAGGGGGUGUAGUGGUGGGAGACUAGGGCUCGCUCUCUUGCAUUGACAGUGGCGAUGCCCAGAUCCGAACCUAGAGGCUUGUGCCCGUCGUGUUGUCCCAGGAGGCUCGUGGUGGCACGGGUGAGCUGUCGAGCGAAGAUUCAUGCUUUGCCUUUGCCAUCGACAGGGAUGUUGUCGUGGUUCUCCUUUUUGUACCAUGGUUCCGGGUGAAGACCAUUGUCCAUCUCGGACUCAGUAGCGCCAGCGACGACGCUUUGUGACAUUCCCUCUCCUGAGGGCAUUGUCUUGGGGAUGUCGCCGUGGUUCUCCUCUUUGUACUAGGGUUCCGGGUGAAGAUCUUUGUCCAUCUCGGACUCGGUAGCGGCGACGCUUUUGCCGUUCCCCCACUUGAGAGCGUCGUCGCGGAGCCUAGGAGUCCUAUUCGUGUCGUGGCGUAGUUUUCUGGCUACCUUUGUUAGCUGUUAGCAACAUAGACACGUGUGUUUGUGUUGACCGUUUAUCUCGGGAUCUGCUUUGUAAGACGACUUCCUCUAUCUUGUAUCGUCGGGUGUGUAGUUUGCUUUGUGCUUUCUCUAUAAAAUGGGGCGAGAGCUUAUUUUCGUGUAAGAACAACCCAUACAAGAAGUGUCAUGUUCUUUUAUCUUGUAUAUGCGACGAUGAUCACCCUUGAUUUAUUGUGCCAGUGAUAUAAGAACAACCCAUACAUGUAGUAUAUGCCGAGCACAGUAUUUGACAUACUCCGAGCUCCACGUGGCACUGCCGUUUUUGUCGGCUGGCCAACAAUACUUUAUUAUGCGGAGUACAUUUGUUUUGUACUCAAUAUAAUCUUUUCAGAGCACGUGUGAAAAAGCACUCGACAUACACCGGUAUGCCGGCCAGGUGUAUGCUGAGUCAACUUUGCCGAGUGCAGUGCACAACAUGCACUAUGCCGAGCACAUUUCCGCCUUGGGGUGCUCGGCAUAUAAUGUUUUUCCUGUAGUAGCUAUUUGACAGCCUUUUUUUCUUUUCUUUUGGGACUUGCGCUCCUGCCUUUAAUUCACUAGCAUAACUAUAUUGUUUGCAGCAAAUACCAAAUAGAAACAAUCACUUUUUGCAGAGUUAGUUUAUUACGAUCAUGUUCAUUUCAUCAAUUAAAAAAGGGCCUCCACAAGGGACGGGAACGUUUGGUUCCUGGGUGUAUAUAUCCUAUAUGGAAAAAUAAAUUAGCAAUUCAACAAAAAGUCAAAAAAUUCUGAAAAUAUUUUUGAAAUAAACUUGACCUUCUAUUGUACUUGUGAGAAAAAAAUCACGAAAAUAAAAUCACCCUUUGACUUCUUUUCAAAAAAGACAAAUUUUCAGUCAAAAUAGUGUGAAUAGUAACCUAUAAUAGCAAAUAAUUUUUGUCUUUUUUGCCCUGAAGUCAAUGUUGGUUUUUAUCGUGAAAAUUUAUAUACUAGUGCAAAACAAAGUCAAGUUUAAUCUAAAAAUACUUUUGAACAAGUUUGACUUUUUUUUGAUUAUUAAAAAAAAAUUCUCAUAUGGGGUCUAUAUAUAACCAGGAACCAAAAGGUAUUUCCCCCUCCACUAGUACAAUGUGAAGUUCCACGAUGUGACUGUUGCCUGGAGUAUUCGUUUAAUGGUCCAUAUACAUUAAGAGAAAGCUAUUUCCGUAUAUUUUUUGUAGUAUACGCCUUAUCCAUAUCUGUAUAUUCUUUUGGCCUUCUUGUUUUGGAAAAUCUGCACCAUACUUUUGUGUUUUUUUCUUUGUAAAAUCUGUAACAUACUCCCGUUUUCCCUGCUGCUUAAUUUCAGUUUCAGCCUUGCACACUUGGAGCUAAUUGUUCAGUGGUUUAUAUACCUCUGUUCUUGUGUUACAUUAAAAAUCGUUAAUUAGCCAUACAAGUGAUGCCAUUGCAGCAUGUAGGUAAUAUGCAAUGUUUCCAUGCCAUUCAGCAAGCUCAUAUUCCUAAUGCAACAUUCUUCCUGCUUCAAUCGGUUUAAGCAACUUAAUUAACAGCAUAGUUUUUUUUUUUGAUAAAAGAGAGCUUGCCUCUCCGAUUUCAUAUAAAGAAAUCAAUCGUUAACAGACUCCAGACAAACCACAUCGAAAGACCCCCUCCAGUAGCCUGGCGAUGAUAUGUUGGAGAGGAAGCCAUCCCUUCCAUCCCCCCCAUAUCAUCAUCUUGCCAGGAUAAUUGGUAAACCCCUAACGAAGAUCACGCUAAGGAAAUCCAAAAGCAAACUAGACUCCAGGAGCAACGCUAGCUAUUACAUCAUAGAGCCACACACGGCCAAAGUGCAGGAUUACAAGUCUUUUUAGAUCAGGAUAGGAAGACGAGAUAAAGGCAGGAGAACUAAUAGCAGGCACAGAGAAGAUCAGGCUUGAACGUAGUCGAUCUAGGAGCCGCCAAGUCUUGGAACUCCAGUCGCCCAUCCACGCGUCGCCUUGAAGAUCUCUGUGGCCACCCGCUCAACCUGAUUUACGGCCCCCUUCAUGAGAUCUAUUUUUUCUUGGCUUUUCUGUAGCACACACCACUCAUGUAAGUUUUUAAUAAUCAAGUUAACAGGAACACAUGGGUCAUAAACCCUAUGAUUAUCAAAGACUAAUCUAUUUCUUAAUUUCCACAUUGUCCAUAACAUCGCCGAAAUACCAACAAUCAUGAGGUUUUUAUUAUCUUUUCCAAAUUUGUUUAACCAUUGCCCGAAGAUGUCAUUGAUUUUUCCAGGGAUAUCAUGUAUAUUAAAAGAGCAUUUUAAAACCAUCCACAACAUCUUAGCAACAGAACAAUGAACAAAAAGGUGUUCAAUAUCUUCCUCUCUCCCACAGAAGGAGCAUUUUAUGUCUCCUUUCCACCCCCUCUUUUUAAGGUUCUGCUUGGUCAGAACACUCCCCCUCAGUAGCAACCAAAUGAAAAAUUUAACUCUAGGAGGCAUUUUCACUUUCCAUAAAAAUUUAUGUGGAUAUUUCAUUUCAUUCUGAAUCAUAUGUCUAUAGCAGGUUUUCACACUAUAUUUUCCAUCCCCAGAUAGGGUCCAUCUAAUCUUAUCAGAGGACUUAUCAAGCGCCACACUUUCACAAGCAUCUUUGAUAUGUCCCCAUAGCAUCAGGGACUCUCCAUAUAGCGAUCUUCUAAAGCAUAUAUUAUCUAGUCCUUUUUUUAGAACCCAGGCCACGGACUUUUCUUUGUCAAAGCAUAUAUUGUAUAUGCGCGGGUAACUAUGUUUCAAGGCUUUUGGGCCAAUCCACCAAUCUUCCCAGAACCGGGUAUCCUCUCCAUUUCCUAUGUCAAAUUUACACAAGGAGAAAAAGAAAUCUUUGUGUUUCAACAUUUCUCCCCAGAAUUGCGAGUCCCCUUUUUUAUUUUUCACACCAGUGACACAAUUGUUUUUAAUAUAUUUCUUCCUCAUAAUUUUUUGCCACACCCCACUUGUAUUAUAUAGCUCCCACCACCAUUUACAUAGCAAAGCUCUAUUCAUGAAGGCCAAGUUAUGAAUCCCCAGGCCCCCCAUAUCUUUAGGUUUGCACACCUCUGUCAAUUAACAGCAUAGUAACGCAUGACUAGCGAUAAGUUGUCCUCGGACAUGCUAUUUGAAGCAUACAGAUAAGGAAGGGCCAUUGAAAAGCUAGAGCAGCUAAACCUCAAACACUUGAACAGCCUAAUGGAAGAUUCGUGGUAACAACAUGUCAAAUGCUUCAGUUAAUUAAUACUCCCUCUAUAAGAAAUAUAAGAGUAAAAAUCAUUUGAAUAUUAAGAGAGCUUCUUCAAGCUAAUUGUUGUUGGCCUUUCAAGGUAUUUGGAGAAGACUGCUGGAAGUAAGGGCAUAUUAGGAAACAUGUUUUUGUCCUUCACACACUCAGAACAGCCCGCGUCCACACACUUAGCACAGUAGGACUGUCGAUUGAUAUAUGGAGUACAUGACCGGAGAUAUGCAUGGUUCAUGUCAACCAUGAUCAUCCACGCCUUGCCUUCAAAUUCCUUCUUCCUCAAUAGGCAGCACAGAACAUCUGGGUCAUCGACGCCGACGAUUGGGAACUCGGGAAGACACCGAGGUAAGCCCAGAGCUUGGUAGCCAAACUGUGCCCAGAGACAAUCCAGGUUGAUCACGCGGUGCACCUCCCACUCGAACUUGGAGUUGCCAUCCGUCAUGUUCAAAGUCCAAAUGGUGAUUUUCUUGGGCCGCUGCCGCUGCUCUGGGCUUCUCUUAGGACGCUUAGGCUGAUGGCAGUCGCUGUAGAUUGUCUCAUGAAAGUCAUUGUCAAUGUGGACAUAACACAUCAUGCCUUGGCUGAUGGACACACUUCGGAACCUCCCUGCGAAGUACCUUGGGAACCGUGCAUCAUUAGGGUAUUUUAUUCUUAGAGGGAAAGGUACGAAGUGGAGCACCGGGGAGUCUAUACGUUUGGUGAAGUCGCAUAGCACGACGCCGGAGAAGUAGUCGACCCAGCACAGGAAACGGCCGUCGAAAGCGAGCACCUCGUCGGUCCACCAGAGGUCGGGGAGGUGACCAGCAGGCACCUCGGGGAUGAUCCUCCACUCCCUGGUGUCUGAAUUUAACACGCGGAGUUCGGCACGCGCCCCCUUUUUCUCGGGGUGGACACUGAGGUCGGCAAUGAUGUAGCGGUCCUCCGCUUCGAGCUGCAGGAUGCCGGUAUUGAACUUAUGUGCCAAGAACCGCUUUGUCCUGCGAUGAGGGAGCUGCUGCACCGUGGGGGAAGGGCCGGCGGCCGUGUAGACGAACAGAUCUGGCGGGGCGUCCAAGUAGCGAAUCCGGUCCGGGAUGGAGACCUGGAAGAGGAUGAGGUCCUUGUCGGUUGCCCGGACGAAGGCAAAGAGGGUGGAUCUGUCUGAGCCUUGUUUCUCCGGCCAAUGGAGGUUGAAGGAGGAGGCCUGUGGAGGAGCUGCGAGGGUGAAGGAGACGAAGCAGGAGUGGCCGCUGUCUAUCUCGACUAGAGCGGCGGUCUUGUUCUUCUUGACAGCCUCACGAGCAACGUCUAGGCCGUCGUGGAGCCAGCUGCAGAAGAUGCGAUCCAGCAUCGCCCAAUCGGGGAGGACGACGGUCCCGUCCUCCGGCUCCGGCGCGACUCCGGUGGCCAUGGCGAUCGGGAUCGGGUGAGGGAUCAGGAACCCUAAUUAACGCGAAGGACGAUGGAAGGGUCUCUUUGGGCCAGGGACGCUAAAGAAGGGCGACAAAAUACUAGCAGGGCCAGUUCUGAUUGGGCCAGGAAACUAAUCGCGUAACUUCAAGAGGGAUAUCCAACGUUGAAGAUUUCCCUCAUGAAAAAAAGCAGCGUUGAAGAUUCAACCUCCUGAUACACGACUAACUCGACGUGUACUACGUGUGGCCUUAUUUUUUGGUUAGAUCCCGGAUCCCGGUUCUGCGGGAGUUGCACCGUUCAACUCAGCUCCGCAACACAGAAUUUCUCCACUUCACAAGAUUUAUUGAAAAGAAAAGUUAGGGCGAGAGUAUAUAGUUAUGAGUUGUGCAACACCUAUGAAAUAGGCUUACGGGAUUAGGUGGCAGUUCUUAAUUGAUCUUAGUUGGGGCGCGGGGCCCACCCUGAAAUUCAGGGGCAUGUUUGAUUAGUGAAAGAGAGAUUUCCGUGGGUUUUUACGUAAUAUUCUUCGUAGGUCUAGCAUUUUCGGUAUAGUUAUUGUUGGAAGGGCAUCUUCAACUCCAUGCAAUAAAUCAGACACACCAAACGAUUCUGAACAUGUCGUCCAUUGACACGUCCGGAUGUGUCCACAGAAAAGGAUAGAGUGAUGGUCAUCCAACCUGAUGCACCAAAUGCCCGCUACUGUUUUUCUUUCCUAUAUCCGGAGCACUCAAAUAAUUAAAGAUAAAUAUCAUCUUUAGUCCAUAAUCAUGGUGUGCAAAUAUUUCAAUGCAAUAGUAAUUCAAAUACAAAUAUUACAAUUCAACCAUGAAUUUUGUGACAAAAUAGUUUAAAUUCGAAUUCAAUUUAUUCGGAAACAUUUUUUAGUUCUCCCCUCGAAGCGCUCACAAAUGCUCAACCAGACCAUUCGGAAGCUGCUCAUGAGUUGCUCGAUGGCUAAUUUGUUGUUGCAUUUGGAUAAAUUCCUCAUACGUCGUCAAAUUCUUCUCUCGAAGUUCGAUGGGAUCACCCAUGUGCUCAAAUUUUGUAUCGUGACGAAGUUCGUCACUCUCAUCCUCCACAAUAAUUUUUUGCAUGAUCACACAAACUGUCAUCAUCUCCCACAACAUCUCUGGAUCCCAUAUUUUUGCAGGUCCUCGAACAACUGCAAAACUAGCAUUGAGCACUCCAAAUGCCCUCUCCACAUCCUUUCUAGCUCCUUUUUGUCUUUGGAAAAAGUAAGAUGUUUUCUCACGCCUUGAAUCAGAGAUUGUCUUGACGAAGGUCGCUCAUGAAGGAUAGGUAUCAUCACAAACAUAAUAGCCCAUGUUGUAGUCAUGACGGUUGAUGAUAUAGUUGCACAGAGGAGCUUCUCCCGCACAGAACCUUGCAAACAGUAGAGACCGCUCCAACACAUUGAUGUGAGACCUAAGCAUCCCAAAGAGAGUGUGCCAAAUCCGAAGAUCUUGUGAUGUACUGCUUCAAGAAUGAUGGUAGACUUCUUGCAAUGGUUGAUAUUGCCAAAUCAGGAUGAGCUAGUCAUCAUAGGCCUGCACACUAUUGUAGACGCGAUCAAACACAGUUCUCUUCAUCUCGAAUCGAUGAUGGAAAUAGGCCUCGAAUAAUGCAUCGGGGACAAAGUAGUCGUCCAUCCGCAUAGUAUGCUUUCGUGCCUUAAUUUGAUUCAUCGCUCGAUGUGCCUUGAUUGGUCCCUGGAAAUUGAGAAAAUGCUCCUCCGCAAUUUGGACAUCUUGAAUAACCACAUGCAUCAUUGCCGUUCCAUUCUCAUAUUCGUCCUCAUCAGACAAGGAUGUAUCAAUAACUCAGAGUAGAAGUAUUGUUCGUUUGAAUAUAUUGUGUUUGCUUCAAAGUAAACGCCAAUAAAUUUGGUUGUAGCAUUUGGUCGAAACUUGCCGGGGUUGGUGUUCGCCAUGGAUGACAAUGUGCAGGGCGAGGGUACCUGGGUAGCGGACAAACUAGGGAUGGAAGGAAAGCGUAGGAAAGUCGAUGAUGGAAUCUGAGUGGAGCGGUAGAGGUUCGGCAAUGCCUGGGCGGCGGAGUGGGUGGUAAAGCAAUGGCGUCGGUCUUGAACAAGGCGGGAGGGACAGAGAUGAGAAAAAUGGGUCUCUAGGUGAGGUUUUUGUAUGCGCCGUAGGUGUCGGACACCUACGUGGUGGCUAUCCAAACGUUCUCAACCCCUACACCCCCCUAGCUUUCCUAGCAUUUGUGGAAAUACGAACAUGUGGACCGGUCCGCAUAUAUUUGGUGCAUGACGUUGGAUGGCUGAACAUGUGACAUCUGUGGAUGUUUUGAUGCACGGCUUUGGAUAUGCCCUAAUACGUGACAUAUUCUUUUUCUUUGCAGGAAAUAAGUGACUUCUUCGCGGCUUUGGAUACGCACUGAAAGAAAUGAUGUUCAAUCUCAAACUUUUAACUCUGGAGACAUAUUAUGACUUCUAGAAACAUGUAUCAUUUAGUCUAAUAGAUAUAGAUAUUCAUCAGUACAUCAUCUUCGUCGCAUGGAUGCGAUAUUUUGCUCUAUUUGCUUGGUUCUGCCGGCAGUACACCAUUAGCAAACAUCAUCUUCGAUACAAGCAUCGUGAAAGCGCCGAACACCAGUCACCAGAUUCCAGGCCUCUUUAGCCUGCAGACUGGAGCUUACGCUUCUUUCAAACAAACCUUGCAGACUUGAGCUUAUGUUUCCCUGCAAGACGAGUUGCAACCUUGUCGUUGUCCAAUGCCAUCCCUUUGAAAAUAGAAAUAAAAACAACUCGGAUAUAUACACCAUAAUAAAACUUAAUAAAUGACGUAGAUGAUAAUAGUUUAAAAUGGAAUAGACAAACAAUAAAGAGAAAUGGCAUUGAAGUGGAGUAUAUUGAUAUAGAAAACAGCUUCGCCGAAAUAUUAAUGCAAACAUAAUGGCAUCAUAUAUAUACUUGAUCUGCUUUCAGAUCUUAAUGACAUCAUCUCUUCACCGUUAGCUCUCAGCUAACAUGUCAUCCAAGUGUUGUCUUCUUUCUUUCUUUUUUUGCGACAACCAAAGUGUUGUCUGAGAACACCACAAUGAGCAGGUAUUGCCUUUGUCCAUCAGCUGGAAGGACUACAACUCACGCAGGGGAUUGGUGGCGGGCCGACACAAGGCUGAAGGUAACAAGAGGACAACAAACUCAAGAAAAUGGAGUACCGACAACAGUCCAGGUGUAAGGAUGUCGGAUGAGGUGUGAGAAGAUGAAGAAAAUAGUCGGAAGGAUUGUCGCCAGAAUAACAAGACGAAAAUAGUCACAUGAGAAGGCUAACGAGGCUAAUACUAGAGGAGUUUUACCUAAUGACAUUACCAUGCAGAUGCAGGGAGACCGGCUUUUCAGUUUUCACUGACCCAAUAUCCAGUUCCACGUGUAUGAAAGGUACAUAAUUAUUAGAAGGAUUCUAACAGAGGAACAGCCAAAGAUGUGACCUGGUUGACCCAAAGUAACCCAACCAGGCCACAUACACAUUCUAAAACUUUCGCCAACAGAAAAAUAUAAGUGUUAAAAGCAUCACAUAUCAUCUGAAGUUAGAAGACAUUUUGCUCCGAUAUAGAAAAUAGAGGACAAUAUAUUUUUAUCUUUUACCAAAGCAAUCAAAAUAGUGUGGUUCCUAGAAUUUGCUUCAAAAUAGAACACAUGACUAGUAGCAACAGAAGGCUGCCCAAUGAAUCAAGAACUACGCAUGUACACAGAUAAUGAACAGUCCCAUAAAAAGCAAAAAAUCUAACAAGGAGAAAUAGGAUUCUAGGACACCUUGAUGCAUGGCUGAAGGACCGGUGUUACCAUAUCCAACAGAAAGCUAAGCAAAGGUAACCAUGUUAAUAAAAGACACAAUUUGAAUAUUGAUUGAGCUUCUUCUAGCUAUAGCUACCUGUUGGCCUUUCAAGGUGUUUGGAGAAGACAGUUGGAAGUAGGAGCGCAUUAGGAAAAUCGUUUAUGUCAUCCGCACACUCAGCACAACCCACAUCCGCACACUUAGCACAGUAAGAAUGUCGAUUGAUAUAUGGAGUACAUGACCGCAUAUAGGCAUGCUUCAUGUCAACCAUGAUCAUCCACCCCUUGCCAUUAAAUUCCCCCUCCCUUAGCAAGCAGCAAAGAACAUCUGGGUCAUCAACGCUGACGAUUGGGAACUCGGGAAGACGCUGCCGUAUGCCCAGAGCUUUGUAACCACAUUGCGCCCAUUUUUUCGUAAAGGAGGUUAUCCCCCGGCCUCUGCAUCAGAAAGAUGCAUGCGGCCAUCUUAUUAAUAAAAGCAAAUAGUCUGACAAAGUCAACCGGUCUCACAAUAUAAAAGAUCACUCAUCAAGAGCUAACUGCAAGAGAUCAGAAUAGCCACAACCGGCAUAGAAAAAGAGAUAGGAAACUAAACUCCUAUCCUAUUACAUGACCGCCAUCCAAACCGGUUGAAGAUAUCCCGUGCUACCGUCUCCCAACGGAUAGACCCAGUAACCAUAUGCUCCCUGGCAUCCGUCGGAGUGAGUAGCGACCACAUACGGAGCAUUGUAGUAGCCCGAAACAUAACCUGCAAGAAAUGAAUAUGUGUUGUUCUGUUAAAAACCCAAUUGUUCCUGCAAUUCCAUAUAGCCCAUAAUAAAGCACACACUCCUACACGAAUGAGCUUCGCGGUGCCUGAUUGUACUCCAUCCAACCACGUCCCAAAUAACGUGUGGAUGGUAUUCGGAGGAGUAAUGUUAAAAGCUAUGUGCAAAGACCGCCAUAAUAUUUUUGCCAUCGGGCAAUUGGAAAGCGGUGUUUGACAGACUCAUCAUGAUCACAAAAACUACAUCUCGGCGAUCCUGUCCAGUUACGUUUAGCCAAAUUGUCCUUAGUUAGAAUGACUUGCUUGUGAACAAACCACAUAAACACUUUAAUUUUUAAGGGCACUUUGACUUUCCAGAUGUGCAAAGAUCUAGGGAUAAUGCCAGAAUUAAUAAUAUCCACAUACAUGGAUUUUACCGAAAAUACUCCAUUCUGAGUGAGUUUCCAGCGCAACUUGUCUGGCUGUUGAGAGAGUUGAACAUCCAUCAGUCUUCUCACAAGAUGGAGCCAAGCUUCCCAACGGUUUCCUGCUAAAGUCCUCCUAAAUUGUGUAUUAAGGGGAGUGGACUGUAGUACUGUUGCAACGUAAGCAUCUCUACGUUGAACAAUAUUAUAGAGAGAAGGAUAUUGAAUAGCUAUAGGCGUCUCCCCUAACCAUGUAUCCUCCCAGAAUCUCGUUGAAGUACCAUUACCAAUAAUGAAUCUUACCCUGUGGAAAAAUGCUGAUCUAACUCUCAUCAGACCUUCAGAAUGGUGAGUCGGUCGGUCUGACUGUCACCUGAGCUAAGGUUUUAGAGAUGAUGGCCAUUUCUUCAGCAAUAUCAGGGUCCCCAAAAUUGCUGAAGAAGCCAAGGGCAGCAACAUCAGGGUCCCCAAAAAAUCACCAUUUGGACUUUGAACUCCGACAAGUUCAAGUGGGAGCAACAUGGCGUGAUCAACCUGGAUUGUCUAUGGGCGCAAUGUGGUUUGAUCAACAUGGCUUCUUCAGCUAUGAUGUAGCGCUUCUCAUCUUUAUGGAGCGUGAUCAACAUGGCCAUCAUCUUUAUGGAGCGUGAUCAACAUGGCUUCUUCUCUCAGGAGGCUGACGCCAUGGCCACUCAUCCUCGAUUGUCUCAUGGAAGUCAUUGUCAAUUUGGACAAAGCGCAUCUUGCCUUGGCUGAUGGACACAUUCCGAAACCUCCCCGGGUACUCCCUUGGGACCCGUACCUCUGCAGGGUAUUCCUUUUCUCCAGGGAAAGGCACGAAGUGGAGCGCCGGGAAACCUAGAGCGGAAGAGAAGUCAGCUAGCAGAACACCGCUGAAGUAGUCGACCCAGCAUAGGAAACGGCCGUCGAAAGCAAGCACGUCGUCGGUUGACCCGAGCUCGGGGACCUGGCCACUGCUGCUCUGGUUCUGCUCCGGCGUGUGCCAACGUAUCAGGCCAGGCGUGAUGGGGAUGACCUUCCACUCUUUAGUCUAGUCGGAGUAGGAGUUGAAGACGCAGAGUGCGCCGUCGAGGACACAGAGGUCGGCGACGAUGUAGCGCUUCUCCGAGAGCCGCAGGAUGCCCGUGGUGAAUUUACCCUUCAGGAAAUGCCGCCAUUUCCCCCUCUCCUUGGCGUACAUAGGGAGCCGCUGCACCGAGGGAGAAGGGCCGGCGGCCGUGUAGACGAACAGAGCUGGCGGGGCGCCCAAGUAGGGAAGCCGGCUCCGGUCGUAGAUGUCGAAGAGGACGAGGUCUUUGUCGGUCGCCCGGAGCUGGGCAUAGACGCUGUCAGAGCCUUCUCCCACCGGCCAGUGGAGGUUGAGGAAGGAGACCCCUUGUGGAGCCGCGAGGGUGAAUGACACAUAGCAGGAGCAGCCGCGGUCAAUGCGGAGUCGAGCGGCUGUCUUGUUCUUGCUGACAACCAGACGAGCGGCAUCUAGGUCCUUGUGGCAGCGGGUGCCGCCCAUGCGAUCCAGCAUCGCCCAGUCGGAGAAGACGGCGGUCUCCUCCAUCGCCCAAUCGGUGAAGACGUCGGUCUCCUCCUCCUCCUCCUCCUCCUCCUCCGUCAUCAUCCAAUCGGAGAGGACGCCCAUCUCCUCCUCAUCCGAGCUUGGCGCGGCUUCGAUGGGCAGCAUGGCGAUCGGGAUCGGGAAUAAAGCAGCUGCCGCCUCCCUAACCCAAACCCUAGGGUUUUGCUUUGCUUGGGAACUGAUGAACUGGAAAGACGAGGGGAGAAAGGCUCUAUUUCUGUGUUGGGCCCAAUUCGUAUCGCCGACUACUUAAAGACAAAAACGUGACGGCCAACGACGAAGCACAGCCGACGGUAACCUAGAAAGCUUGCUAAUACACGUUGAUUGAUCGGUCAACUCACGAAGCAACACACGUACGCGCGCACGCAAAACCGGCCUACUGCCGCAGGCUCGAUUAGAUUUUGUAUAUAUUGCUUCAAAACCACAGUGGUACAAGUUACAGGGUGGACGCACAUAUGUAGUACUCGGAUACUAAAGCAAUACUAUUCGGAUACAAAAUCCUACACGGAUACAUACAAACUUAUACACACGUACAAGAGGUCAAUUAUGUCGUGUUUAAUUCCAACACUAUAUAUUUGGAUGCAAAAAUAAUAAUAAUUCCAACACUAUAAAUACUGCCAAUUCUCGAUACAGUAGGAUUUUGCGUUGUUGGUUGCUCUUGCUCGCAUGUGCAUGACGGCCUUAUAAGAAUAUAUUUUUAAGUAUGAACAUUUUCUUGCUUAUAAGAAUAUAUUUUUGAAUGUGAACACUUUUUAGAAUUAUAUGAACAAUUUUUAAUUGCAUGAAAAACUUUAGUUGCACAAAAAACUUUUUAAUUUUGAAUUAUUUAAAAUAUGUGAUUUUUUAAACAUAAAUAUUUUUUAGAUCCAUAUGAUUUUCCAUAGGUGUGAAUAUUUCUAUAUAAAAGCCGAGUUCUUGGUGUAGUGAAAUCAUCUAGCACUUGACGCUCUGACUUGGUUGUUUGACUUGCAUGUUCCGCCAUGUUGUUCUGGGAUUGGAAGUCGGCGAUUAGCGGGAUAGGGUAAUUCAAGCCAUUGAGGAAUCUUGAUAGGGUAAUUCAAGCCACUGAGGAAUCUUGAUAGGGUAAUUCAAGCCAUUGAGGAAUCUUGUCAAUUGAAAUAUCGUGGUUUGUCAAUUACAGAUGGUGAGUAGCAAAUUAUAAAAUUCUGUAUCCAAAAACAGAGUGGUCAGCAUAAUUGAAUAACAAGAACCAAAACUGGGUUUUUUACCAGCAAGGUAAAAAAGUCAGAACUGGUGGAUGGGGAGGGACGGGAAAGAAUGGUCAGACUCAAGUUAUACCAACUGGGCCACAUUUCCAAAAAAAAGGAAAACUAUCAAGUAAAGUUAAAAAAACUAUCAAGUACUUAAGGCAGACAUAUUCCGUGUCUCCUCAAUGUCAGGUAUGCCAAAAGGGUGCAGAGAACAUCACGCAUCUAGUUUUCCUCACGUGUGAGCGAGCCUAACAUCACGCAUAUUCCGUGUCUCCUCAAUGUCAGGUAUGCCAAAGGGGUGCAGAGAACAUCACGCAUCUACUCUUCACGUGUGAGCGAGCCUAACAGGUUUGGAAGUUUCUCGGAAUUCAUGAUAUUGUAGAAAAAUCACUUUUUGUUCAUCAAUCGGGGUCCAUCAUUUUGGAGGAGAUCCUUCGUCACACCCCAGCAUCGUCACCGGUUCUCGGACAAAUUGGUGUGAAGGAAAUUGUUUCAGCGGGUGCCUAGUACAUUUGGUGGCAAAGGCGUGAACUUGUCAAAGGACAGCAAGUAGCUUCACGGGCUAGAACAACAUUCGCUAUUCAGGCUUUCGCCUAAACCAUUCUACCAGGUGAGUAGUGAAGGGACAUCAAAUUUCAUGGGCAAAGCCACCGCGGGGUUAAUAUAAACUCAACAUUGAUGCUGCUUUCUCUAAGGACGAGAUGGGUACUACUGGAGCAGUCAUUCGCAAUGAUCGUAGCGAGUCUGUAGCGGGAGCAGCUGAGAAAAAUUUCAAUGUCUUAAGUCUGCUAAGGCAGAAACACGAGCGCUUGAAAAAGGACUGGUUUUAGUGGACCAAUUGGGAUGCUCUCUGGUAAUCGUCGAAUCGGAUUCUAUGGAGCUUAUCCAAUUAUGUAAUGGUGCAACAGAAGUCCUAACUCCAUAUGCGACAAUUCUGACGGAAUGUUUCGUGGCGGCACAAAGGAUAGGGAAUAGUCUUUCCAACACUGUCCAAGGGAUGUAAAUAAGGUGGCUCAUACUAUUGCUAGGCAUGCUUUUGACUCAAAUAACUUUAUCAUGCCUUUUGUAAUAUACGAUGUAACUAAUUCGAUCUUGCAAUAAAAAGUCAUGAGGCAGAGUGGGGCGUUUUGGAGCUGAACCUGAACUCAUACUACAGGUUUGGGAUGCUCCUCGGCUUCUUCAGCUUGCAACUCUGACUUCUAGUUUUUCUAGUAACCAGAGUACCAGACCAAGAGAACUUAUCAGAUUCAGACGAUUGGUAGAUACAACUAUUGAUCCCACCGCACAGAUGUAAAACUCCAUGGCAUUGCAAAAUCAUGAACAGACGGAUGACAGAGAAAGAAUUUACUGUAAGUCAAAGAGAUUUCUGACUUCUUUUUUUUCAAAGCAGAACAGAGCAUACUACAUCGACACCAUCACUUAAACAGCAAACACUAAUUCUAUCACGAAGCACUAGUAAUCGACUAAGCCUUCUUGGGGGACUUGGCGGCCUUCUUGGGCGACUUGGGCUCCUUCUCAGCAGUCUUCUUGGGGAGCAGCAGGGGGUUGAUGUUGGGCAGCACGCCGCCGUGCGCGAUGGUGAUGCAGGCGAGCAGCUUGCCGAGCUCCUGGUCGUUCCGGAUGGCGAGCAGCAGGUGGCGCGGGAUGAUGCGGGCCUUCUUGUUGUCCUUGGCGGCGUUCCCGGCGAGCUCGAGCAGCUCGGUGGCGAGGUACUCGAGGACGGAGGCGAGGUAGACGGGGGCGCCCAUGCCGACGCGCUGCGCGUAGCGGCCCUUCUUGAGGAAGCGGCCGAUGCGGCCGACGUGGAACUGCAGCCCGGCCUUGACGGACCGCGCCACCGCCUUCUUCCUGGGGCCGCCGCCAAGCUUGCGCCCCACCACGUACUUCUUCGCCUUGGGGACGGCGCCGGUGCCUGAGGCGUCCAUGGCGGCUAGAGGGGAUUUGAGAUUUGGCGCGAUGGGGGAUUUGAGAAGGCGGGAGAGUGUUUGGUGAUGAGAAGGCGGGCUUGGGCAGAGUAUUUAAACGGCGCGGGAAGGGGAUGGUGCGGGCCCGUCGAUCCGCGACCACAGGCAAUGGACGGUCGGAUGGGUGGCGAGUGGACGGCAGCGAUGCGAAAAUUACACUGUGCCUUCCUAUCAUUCAGUCAAUAUUUUUGUCAACAGAAGAAAUAAAUGGAAGGACCUCAGAAAUUGGAUCAGCUCUCAACAUCUUCUUUUUUAAUGCAAAAUGGAAACCCAUAAAGCCAGGGGAGCAUUAUUUGGAUACAAGGUUUUUCACGAGGAAUCUUUUCUCAUGAAAAAAAAUUGGGUCAAGGAAUGAAGCCACAAAGUUAUAAAUUGGUUAUGUAAACUCCAAUCCAUAUGACAUGCCAGGUAUUAUUAGAAAUUUUCUCUUUUGUUUUGUAUGGGCGUAAUAUUAUUAUAAAUUUAUCAUACUUUAGGCUUGAAUUUCUCAUAACAUUAUGGUGUACAAGAUGAAGACUAAACGGAAAUAAAAAGCCGGAAUAAGCACCUUCAUGCACAAUAAACUAUGUAUAUGAAAAUAGCACCAUGCAUGGUUAGUGUAAGCCCGUCAAACAAGAAAGAGUCGGAAUGCUUGCUUUGCUUUUGAGUGUAGUAAAUUCCCCCUCAUUCAUCUAUCUUUGUGAUCCAUUGUCUUACCCGAAAAUCCAAAUACAUAAGAUAAGGCAUCGUUACCAAAAGCUUGUUUUUGGAUCGGAACCCUGAGCUGCCCGGCCAAAAAAUUGGAAUGGGCCCGUGGUUGGGUUGGGUAUGUGUUUGGAUGGACACUAAAAUUGCAUGUCUUUCCCUCAAAAUCACUAUUAUAACAAAAGUACUUUUAAUUACGACUCUAGUGACAUAAAUUUCAUGUCAUAUAACCUUGUAUAUAUGGAGUAAUUAGUGGUCAAAUGCAUGUCUUAAGAGCAUCUACAGCCGCGAUGGGCAAAUCCGACCCCUCAAACGCCCGCGGACGUGACCGGGCACGCCUUAUAUUUUGUCUUCCACACUCGCUUCCCUCGUAUCCGAAACCUCAAAACUAUGCAAUUCAUGCAACGCUACGUAAAACGCAUGAUCAAAACGCAAUUCAUCGGAUUAGCCGUGCAAAAGGAACAUAAUUCAUUAGAGUCCAACGGCGGACAGUGCAAAUCCAUACUACCAACUUAUGAAACAUAGCUAAAAUAUAAACAGAACGAGGAAGGGCGGAGGAAAUCACCAUUUCCCCGCAGGCCCCUUCCCCUUCCGGUCGUCGGCGCGGCUGUGCCCCUCCUCCGUGUAGGCGUCGGCGUGGGGGCUUCUUAGUAAAGUAGGGUCUAGUACCGUUCUUGUCGGUGCCAACCUCCACGGACACCUCGAUGGCACCAAGGCGGCACCGGCCAAAACACUCGUUGUCGGCACCGGCGACGCUGCUACCACCGUCGCCAACCCGGAGUAUCACCAAUGGUGGGUUCAAGAUCAGCGCGUCAAGGGGCUCCUUCUCACCUCCAUGGAUGAGGAUAUUGCAUGCCAACUCAUUGGCUGCGAGUCGGCGCAUGCGGUGUGGACAGCCGUCGCCGCCAUGUUCGGCGCCCAGAGCCGCGCCAAAUGUCCGCCACAUCUGGCGGCAACUUCAGUCGCUGAGGAAGCACGAUCUGUCUGCCGCGGAAUACAUGCACAAGAUGAAGGCCCUGGCCGACACUAUGGCCGCCGCCGGCUCUCCGAUCCGCGAUGAUGAGCUUAUCGAUCACAUCCUCACCGGCCUCGGCUCCGCCUACAACUCCAUCGCCGCCUCCUUGGGCGUGAAUAACGCACCCAUGCCCUACUCUAGUUUUCACUCAUUGGUUAUGUCCUUCGAGGCGCUGCAGGCACAACAGAGUGCGGUGGAGGGGUGGUCUUCCUCCGCGAACACUGUGACCCGUUCGGGUUCGUACGGCGCGGGCGGACGCGCGCCCUACUCCGAUCCCUCUCCCUCCCACGGAGGGGGGCGCCCGGCUGAUGGACAUGGCCAGCCCGCGCAGAGCCGCCAGGGCGGUAAUGGCGGCAACACCGGCGGCCGUGACCGCAAUGCUGGUUAUGCCGGCAAUGGCCGGCAAGGUGGAGGGGGCAACGCCGGCAACAACGACGGAGGAGGUGGGCGUCGCAACCGCUGGCGUCCCCGGUGCCAAAUUUGCAAGAACUGGGGCCAUGAAGCGAACGACUGCCGCAAGCGCUAUGAUCAGGAUCACAACUCCCGCUCCGCCAACUCGGCCUCCACCAACACCGUCGACUUUCCUUGGGUGCUGGAUACCGGGGCUAUGGAUCACUUGACUAAUGAUCUUGAGCGCCUCCAGGUUCACGAGCGCUAUGACGGCAAGGAUCAGGUUCAGGUGGCCAAUGUUGCAGGUUUGUCUAUUUCAUACAUUGGUCAUUCGCGUUUACCCGGUUCAUCUCUUAAACUGCGUAACAUCCUUCAUGUUCCACACAUCAGCCAACAUCUUCUCUCUGUUUAUCGUCUUCUUUGUGAUAAUGACGUGUUUGUUGAAUUUCACCUUCGUUUUUUCCUUGUUAAGGACAAAGCAACCAGGCGCGUCAUCCUUCACGGUAGAAGUUACGGGGGGGUCUAUCCGGUCCCCUUCGCUCGUGCCUCAUUUCAUCGUCUCGUCGUGCCUCCUCCGGUGUUCGAGUUUCGUCGUCGCAAUGGUAUCAACGUCUUGGUCAUCCUACACAUAAUGUGGUCACUUCCAUUGUUCGGAGUCAUGAACUUCCGUAUUCUAGUUCAAAUAAUUCAUCGUUAGUUUGUGAUGCCUGUCAGCAUGCUAAGAGUCAUCAACUACCUUAUUCUACUUCAUUUCAUAUCACUACUGUACCUCUUGAAUUAAUACAUUCAGAUGUUUGGGGUCCCACUCUUGCUUCAUCGGGAGGUACAAGUAUUAUGUUAGUUUUAUUGAUGACUACACGCGCUUCACCUUGAUUUAUUUGCUUAAACACAAGUCUGAUGUUGAGCAAGUUUCCUACAACUUUCAGGCUCAUGUCGAACGCCUUUUGGAUUAUAAAAUCAAGGCUGCUCAGUCCAACUGGGGUGGUGAAUACCACAAACUCCAUCGCUACUUUCAACGCACGGGCAUCUCUCACCGAGUGUCAUGUCCACAUACCUCUCAGCAGAAUGGUAUUGCCGAGCGCAAACACCGACAUUUGGUCAAGACCGGUCUUGCCUUGCUUGCGCACUCCUCUCUUCCACUUCGGAUUUGGGAUGAGGCUUUUCUUACGGCAUGUUACCUCAUCAACCGUUUGCCCACUCCGGUUCUCAACAAGGACACACCUCUGUUCCGUCUGUUUCAUGUUCAGCCCAACUACUCCUCCCUUCGGAUUUUUGGGUGUGCUUGCUGGCCUAGUCUCCGCAAGUAAAAUGCUCACAAGCUUGAGUUUCGGUCCAAGAUGUGUGUUUUCCUUGGCUAUAGUCCUUUGCAUAAGGGCUAUAAGUGUCUUGUACAUCUCUCGUGAUGUUGUUUUCGAUGAGACUGUGUUCCCUUACUCUCAACCCGGCGUUUAGGUUGAUCUUGCUUCUCUUGAACAUGCACUCACUUUUCCCUCCGAUGAACCGGUUCCGGAUGUCCAUGUGCGUAAAUAUGGCCUGUCCUAUUUGUCAUCUAACUUGUCUUUUGCAGGUGAUAUUGCUUUGAGUUCCCCCCAGGUACAUGUUGCUGCUCCGACGCCUCCUGAUGCGCCCGACGUGCAUGUCCCGCCGCCCGAGGCAGGCGCAGCUACCUCGCCCGAUGACACGACCGCGGACGCGGCUGGGUCGCCACCCUCGCCCGGCGCGGCUGGGUCGCCACCUCGCCCGGUCCGUCGCCCGGGCCGCCACCCUCGCCUGGGCCGGUCCAGCACACCAUCGUCUCUCGGCCCGUGUCGCCCCUUGCUGAGGUCCCCUCAGCCGCGACACCCUCGGCCGAGCCCUCGUCGCUGUCAUCUUCUCCUACUGGCGAUGCAGCUCCGGCGCAUGCUAUGGUUACGCGCCAUCGUGAUCAUACGCGCAAGGAGAAGUCUUACACUGAUGGCACGGUUCGGUAUGACUCUCGCCGCCGUGCCUUCUUCGCCGCGCCGGUUUUCCAUCGUGAUGCUCUGGGUGAACCUGCCUGGCGUGCCGCCAUGUCCGAGGAGUUUGCUGCUCUCCGUCACACUAACACCUGGGUGUUGGUGCCUCGGCCACCUGGUGUUAAUAUUGUGAGCUGCAAGUGGAUUUUCAAAACCAAGCAUCGUCCGGAUGGGUCUGUAGAUAAGCACAAAGCUCGUCUUGUUGCUCGCAGUUUCACUCAACAGCAUGGGAUUGACUACGGAGAUACUUUUAGCCCCGUGGUGAAGCCUGCCACAGUUCGCUUGGUUCUGUCUCUUGCUAUGUCUCGUGGCUGGAGCCUCCGACAAAUUGAUGUGAGCAAUGCCUUUUUACACGGGUUCUUGGCCGAAGAUGUGUACAUGCAGCAGCCACUUGGGUUCAAGGAUGCCACUUAUCCCUCUCAUGUCUGCAAACUUCAGCGGUCUAUUUAUGGUCUCAAGUAGUCGCCCCGUGCCUGGUAUGCUCGUUUGAGUCAACGCCUUUCGUAGCUCGAUUUUGUUGCCUCCAGAUCAGAUGCAUCUCUGUUCAUCUUCUCCCAGGGUACUAUAUAGAUAUACAUGCUGGUGUACGUUGAUGAUAUUGUGAUUGCUGGCUCUACCCCCGCCGUGGUGGAUCGUCUUGUGCAGUCGUUGUCUGCUAGCUUUCCCAUUAAAGAUUUGGGUCGCCUCGAGUACUUUCUUGGUUUGGAAGCGUCCUUUCAUUCAGGGGGCAUGACCUUGACGCAGAAAAAGUAUGCUUUGGAUCUUCUUCAUCGCGUCAACAUGGAGAACUUCAAGGCCACUUCCACUCCACUUGCUACAUCCGAGAGUCUCUCACGUCAUAGUGGUGCACUACUGGGUAGAGAUGACUCCUUUCGGUAUCGCAGUGUGGUUGGAGCACUACAGUAUUUGACCCUCACUAGUCCUGAUAUCUCCUUCGUAGUGAACAAAGUGUGUCAGUUCCUGUCUCAGCCAACGGAGGAUCAUUGGGAAGCAGUCAAGCGUAUUCUAAGAUAUGUCAAAGGUACGUUAGACAUGGGACUACGGAUUCGUAAGUCCAGAUUUACUGGAGUGAGUAUAUUCACCGAUGCAGACUGGGCAGGCUGUGUUGAUGAUAGGCGCUCCACUGGUGGUUUUGCUAUAUUUGUUGGACCUAACCUUGUAUCUUGGAGCUCGAAGAAGCAACCCACAGUCUCGAGAUCAAGUACCGAGGCAGAGUAUAAGGCAUUGGCCAAUGGCGCGGCUGAAGCCAUUUGGAUAGACUCAGUUCUCACAGAACUUGGAGUCCCACGGCAGCGCACUCCUAUAUUGUGGUGUGAUAACUUAGGGGCAACUUACCUGACGGCGAAUCCAGUGUUUCAUGCUCGUACUAAACACAUUGAGAUUGAUUUCCACUUUGUGAGAGAACAAGUAGCUGCUUGUGAACUGGAAGUCAGGUUUAUUUCUACAGAUGAUCAGUUAGCAGAUGUAUUUACUAAACCCGCUACUAGACAGAUGCUAGACCGUUUUAGAACCAAUCCGAAUCUUGUAUGUAGUUCAGAUUGAGGGGGCAUGUAAAGUAGGGUCUAGUAUAUUGUCCUUGUACAUGUAUUUGUAUACGUAUGUAAUUGUAAUUAUGAUCAUCUAUAUGUUAAGACGUGAGGCUGGAUGUCAACCACCCACGCAAAACCCUAAAUCUGUGUUUUCAACUUUCUUAGGAGGCGUCGCUGUGGAAGGCAGGAAGAAGAAGAGGCAACGCACCUUAGGUGCUGCCGAUGUAUUGCUCAAUGUAUAUUUAGUGCAGGUACACUGGUACAGCACAAGGCGCGGAGCGCCGGGCGUAGCGACGUGCAUGAGAUCGUGGAGAUUAUGCAUGCAGGACGUGCACAGGAGCGAGACGGGAGACAGUUGACUGCCUAUCUAUUAACAGUGGCAAUGGAUUAUGCUGGCUGUGCCUCUUUAGGUUCUCUGUUCGGUGUUGAUCCGGCUGAGUCAGGUGCUCAAGCAUCGCUUUCGAGUGCAGCGUUCUCUCCCGCCAGAGCCUCGUCGGGUGGUGUUGGCCCGGCCGGUGGGGCUGCGAGGUGCAGCUCUGGGAGCUCCAGCCGCAACACGUGUGGUGCAUGAUGAGCAUGGACGCGCCGGAUCCGUACCUCUGUUAGAUGCAUGUCAGGUUCAGCAAGAAAAUAUCUUCAUGUCAUAUACUGUAACAACAUAAACUACGGCCUACAAGCAACCGCCGAGCUCAGCUCCUUCCUAUGGAUCGCGAGUCGGGUCGAGGACGGAAGAGGGACAAGGAGAGGGAAGCUGGGCUGGGCGGAGGAGCGGCCGUGCAGAGUGGCGGUUGCUGCUGUACGGGGGAGACAAGCCUGGUGGCGAGCUGUCAAUCCAUGGACCCCGGCGUUACGCCGGUCGAAUGAGAGGACCGGCAAGAAGAAGACAACAAGGGUGAUGUACGCCACAGGCGCCAUGAACCCCAUUUCUACGGUCGGCGAGCUCUCGCAUUGCCGACAGCCGGAAUAGGAAGUGCAGCGCCUCCCCCACGGCGUUGCCACCGACGAUGCCGCCGAGCAGCGCCACCCGAUGGCUGGUGCAGCCUCGUGGUGAGGCGGAACAACGACAGCACGUCCGGCUCCGACACGUUGACACCGCAGCAAGGUCGUCUGCGGCGUGGUGACCAGAGUCGGCGUCCACUACAUCUACUGCAACCCCUCCACGGCGCUCCGGGUCUUCUCGUCCCGCGCUGGCGUCGGGGCCUUAGCAUCACGGGAGAGGACGAUCCCGGCCCCGGCCACCAGCCGCGUCCAUGCCGGAAGCAACUCAAGUCAGCCGUGGGAGGACGAACUCGGCCCCGGCCACCAACCGCGUCGUGCCCCCGACAGUGUUGAUGUCGAGGAUGCCCCUGCCGUUCUUGUGAUCUUGUCGAGUGGGCUGGCGUUCGCCAUCUGUGCCGAAUAUAUCUUAUGAUCAGAGUCCAUGACACCGGCGACGUGCGGGCACGCCGCAGACGUCCCCAAGAUGAUGUUGUACUCGACUCUCCGUGUGUCCAUGUCGGUAUCCGAUCGUGGCGUCACUUGGACCAGGCCGCGAGGAUGCCACGUCCGACCACCGUCGGGCACGAGAGGCGUGCUCGUCGGCGGGAGCAACCGUCACACAAGGUACGUGUUCGUCGGACGCGUGGAAGUCGAUGACAAGGAAACGCUCGCGCAGCACACCGGCGGAUGAGUCGUCGCUCUCGUCCUUGGGCACCUCCAGGCCGACUGCCCUGGUCGCCAUGGCGUCGGCUGUGAGGCCAACUCCAGCGUACGACCCCAAACGGACGUUCGUUUUGCCCGGAUUUUGACCGUUUGGGUAGGGCAAUGGGGUCGUGUCUUGGCCUGUCCUGGGAUGUGGUGGCCGUGCGCCCAAUGUGCGAACGCAUCCUUUGGCCUCAUCCUGUCCGCCCCCUUUUUCAAACGCCAACUUUCAAAAUAACGCCCUAAUUCAGGCCAGCGGCCCUAGUUCACGUCGGCAACAGAGCCAGCGGCCUACAUGUUCCCGCAGGCAACAUAGCCAGUCCCCAAAAUGAAUAUGUUUCUCGCCGGCACACAGCCAGCACCCAUGCCAGCCUCCAAAAAGAACGGCCACGGCUGAUGAGACGACCUAGUUCAGGUCGUCGGCGUCGAACAUCUCCUUCUGCCUGGCCUCGAACCAGCUCCUUGUCUUCUCGCUCAUCUUGGUCAAAUCCACGCUCAUGAUCGCAAGGGCCACCUCCUUUGCUUUGGUUGCGGCAUUGGUGGCCUCGAUGUCGAGCUGCCUCUGCCUGGCCGUGACAUUGGCGGCCUCGAUGUUGAGCUGCCUUUGCCGGGACGCCUCCCCCGUGUCGAUCUUCCUUUUCUUGGCCGCCUACUCCAUCUCAAGCUUCUUCCUUUGAAGCUCUAGGUAUUGCUUCAUUUGCUCGUCCUUGCUUUGUCUUUUUUCUCGUCCCUCGCGUCCUUUUGAGACAUCAUGCCGUGCAAAGUCUCAUACAAGGUCAUGGAUGACGCAUCACGUAUGUCUGUCCACACUAGUAGAAAAUUGGGCUUUGGUCACAGGGCAAUAUUCACAUUAGACCCGGUUCAGUCACGAACCGGGACUAAUGUGAGCAUUGGUCCCGGUUCGUGCGGCAGGGGCCUGCCGGGCCUCGUGGGGGCAUUGGUCCCGGUUCGUCCGGACCCUUUGGUCCCGGUUGGUGGGACAAACUGGGACCAAUGGGCCACGCUCCUGGCCCACCACCCUUUAGUCCCGGUUCAUACCACAAACCGGGACUAAAGGGCUGGUCCUAGUUGCGGCCAGUGUUUAGUCUCACCUCGCCAACCGAAGGGCGCUCACACCAGUUUAUAAGCCCGUCCCUCUCUGCCUUGUUGAGCUCCUCUUAAAGUAAAAAUAGAUGCCCUUAUACAGGGAAUUUGACCUAAAUUCACAGUAAAUUUCAUAGAAAUUUAUUAUGAAUUUAGGUUGAAUUUCCUCUAUAAGUGCAUCCAUGUUCAUUUUUUAUAGUAAAUAAAAUAAAUAAACCUUAAUAAAAUAAAAUAAAAUAAACUAUAGUAACUAAAAUAAAUAAACCUUAAUAAAUUAAAUAAAAAUAGCAGCAGUAAAAUAAAUAAAAAUAGCAGCAGUAAAAUAAAUAAAAAUAAAAUAAUUAAAGUAAAAUACAUAAGUAAUUAGAAAUAAAAUAAAUAAGUUUUUUGUUGUAAGUAGAAAACAAAACAAAACAAAUAAAGCAAAAGAGAAAACAAAAAACAGAGAAAAAAAUUAUGCCACCUAUUGGGCCACCACGGCCUGAAUACGACUUGAAACCCAUCCGUGGGCCAGGAUUCAGGCCCGCAGAAGGCCCAGUAGGCCCCACAGGCAAAGAGAACAGUUAGGCCCGAAAGCCUGCAGUUGAGAGGAGCUCGAGAGGGUGGGCGCAGCAGCGCUUAUAAAACACUCUCGAGCCCUCUCAACUAGCGAGGUGGGACUAAACUUUUGACGCGGGGCAGCACAAGGCCUUUGGUCCCGGUUGGUGCCACCAACCGGGACUAAAGGGGGCAUUGGUCCCGGUUCGUGGCACCAACCGGGACCAAAGGCCUUUAGUCCCGGUUGGUGCCACGAACCGGGACCAAAGAGUUCCCUAUAUAUACCCCAUCGCCACAGCAGAGCACUCCAGAGUGCUCUGUUUUUUUUGGCCGGCGAGGGGAGGGCAUUUGGGUGCUCUAGCUCACCUCCUAUGCACAUGAGGUGUUCGAUGAAAUGUCUAAGCCACACUAGUUAAUCUUUCUCCUCUCGAAACUCGACCUCCGAGCUCCAUUUUCCUCGAGAUUUGUCUAGGUUUAGCGGUCCGUCACGUCCCGUCCCCGUCUUCACCGCCGUCGAUCGGCCGCACCGAUCUCGUCGCCAGCACCACCGUGGUGAGCCUCUUGUUCUUAUCUUCUUUCUGAAAGGAAAAAAUUCUUACUUUAGAUAGUUACUUGUCUAAUUUUGUUACUUUUAUUAUUCCUUCUUAUUACAUAGUGCGAUGGUUUUGGUAUCCGCCCCCGUCGGCCCUCGUCCUGUCUAUGAUUCGGAUGUGGUAUAUAUUAUCUUUUUAUAACUAUUUGGUUCAUUUAUUGUUUAUGACAAAUAUACCGACCAACGUGACAUAGAUUUUAUUUAUCUAGGAGGUGGUUGAACCGGAAAUUCUAACCGACCCUAUUGUCGAGAGGUUAAAUUUAGUUGAAGAAGAAAACAAUUACUUGAAGGAAAAAAAUAAAAAAAAUUGAGGAGGAGAAGAUGAUAUUGGAGUUGCAUGUUGCGGAUGUUGUCGAUGAUCACAAGAUCAAGAUGGAUGCAAUGCGCUUGAAGAUUAGAAAGAUUAGAAAAUAUGCCAUUCAUACCGAGGCUUGGUAUCAUUAUGCCGUUGGAUCAAUUGUUACCUUGGUUGCGAUUAUGAUAGCAUUUGUUUUCGCAUUGAAAUGUUUUACAUAGUUUCAAUGUAUGGUUUAAUUAAUUAGAUGCUCUGCAGAGCUAUAUAUAUGUUGUUAGAUGAGAACUAUGUAUGUACUUUGGUUUUAAUGUGAUGAUGAACUUAUAUUAAUUUGGUCACUUAAUUAUCUAUUCAUGAUGUUCUGUAAUGGUUUUUGACACACUUAAUUAUAUAUAAUGCACGCAGAUGAACCGGCAAUGGAUGUACGGUGACAGACACACCUCCGAGUGCAUUAAGGGCGUGCAUGAUUUUCUCGAAGUGGCUGAGGCAAACAAGCAGAAUGGUUUUAUGUGUUGUCCAUGCCCUAAAUGUGGGAAUACGAAGUCUUACUCUGACCGGAAAAUCCUUCACACCCACCUGCUUUACAAGGGUUUCAUGCCACACUAUAAUGUUUGGACGAGGCACGAAGAAAUAGGUGUUAUGAUGGAAGACGGCGAAGAAGAAGAGGACGAUGACAACUAUGUGCCCCCUGAAUACGGUGAUGCUGCAACGGGGGAAGCUGCUGAAGAUCAAGAGGAACCAGACGAUGUGCCCAAUGAUGCUGCAAGGGGGGAAGCUGCUGAAGAUCAAGAGGAACCAGUGCCCGAUGAUGAUGAUCUCCGCCGGGUCAUUGUCGAUGCAAGGACGCAAUGCGAAAGUCAAAAGGAGAAGCUGAAGUUCGAUCGCAUGUUAGAGGAUCACAAAAAGGGUUGUACCCCAAUUGCGAAGAUGGCAACACAAAGCUCGGUACCGUACUGGAAUUGCUCCAGUGAAAGGCAGAGAAUGCUGUGCCUGACAAAGGAUUUGAGAAGCUAUUGAAAAUAUUGAAGAAGAAGCUUCCAAAGGAUAACGAAUUGCCCGACAGUACAUACGCAUCAAAGAAGGUCGUAUGCCCUCUAGGAUUGGAGGUGCAGAAGAUACAUGCAUGCCCUACUGACUGCAUCCUCUACCGCGGUGCGUACAAGGAUCUGAACGCAUGCCCGGUAUGCGGUGCAUUGCGGUAUAAGAUCAGACGAGAUGACCCUGGUGAUGUUGACGGCGAGCCCCCCAGGAAGAGGGUUCCUGCGAAGGUGAUGUGGCAUGCUCCUAUAAUACCACGGUUGAAACGUAUGUUCAGAAACGAAGAGCAUGCCAAGUUGAUGCGAUGGCACAGUGAGGACCGUAAGAAAGACGGGAAGUUGAGAGCACCCGCUGACGGGUCGCAGUGGAGAAAAAUCGAGAGAAAGUACUGGGCUGAGUUUGCAGCUGACCCAAGGAACGUAUGGUUUGGUUUAAGCGCGGAUGGCAUUAAUCCUUUCGGGGAGCAGAGCAGCAAUCACAGCACCUGGCCCAUGACUCUAUGUAUGUAUAACCUUCCUCCUUGGAUGUGCAUGAAGCGGAAGUUCAUUAUGAUGCCAGUUCUCAUCCAAGGCCCUAAGCAACCCGGCAACGACAUUGAUGUGUACCUAAGGCCAUUAGUUGAAGAACUUUUACAGCUGUGGAAUGGAAACGGUGUACGUACGUGGGAUGAGCACAAACAGGAGGAAUUUAACCUGCACGCGUUGCUGUUUGUAACCAUCAACGAUUGGCCCGCUCUCAGUAACCUUUCAGGACAGACAAACAAGGGAUACCACGCAUGCACGCACUGUUUAGAUGACACUGAAAGUAUAUACCUGGACAAAUGCAGGAAGAAUGUGUACCUGGGCCAUCGUCGAUUUCUUCCGACCAACCAUCAAUGUCGAAAGAAAGGCAAGCAUUUCAAAGGCAAGGCAGAUCACCGGAAGAAGCCCGCCAUGCGUACCGGUGAUCACGUACUUGCUAUGGUCAAUGAUUUACACGUAAUCUUUGGAAAGGGUCCCGGCGGACUAGCUGUUCCGAAUGACGCUGAGGGACACGCACCCAUGUGGAAGAAGAAAUCUAUAUUUUGGGACCUACCCAACUGGAAAGAGCUAGAGGUCCGCUCUUCAAUCGACGUGUUGCACGUGACGAAGAACCGUUGCGUGAACCUGCUAGGCUUCUUGGGCGUGUAUGGGAAGACAAAAGAUACACCUGAGGCAUGGGAGGACCUGCAACGUUUGCACGAAAAAGACGGCAUGCCUCUGAAGCAGUAUGAAGGUCCUGCCAGCUACGCUCUUACGAAAUAAGAGAAAGAAAUCUUCUUUGAAUGCCUGCUCAGUAUGAAGGUCCCGACUGGCUUCUCAUCGAAUAUAAAGGGAAUAAUAAAUAUGCCAGAGAAAAAGUUCCAGAACCUAAAGUCUCAUGACUGCCACGUGAUUAUGACGCAACUGCUUCCGGUUGCAUUGAGGGGGCUUCUACCGGAAAACGUCCGAUUAGCCAUUGUGAAGCUAUGUGCAUUCCUCAAUGCAAUCUCUCAGAAGGUGAUCGAUCCAGAAAUCAUACCAAGGCUAAGGAGUGAUGUGGCGCAAUGUCUUGUCAGUUUCGAGCUGGUGUUCCCACCAUCCUUCUUCAAUAUCAUGACGCACGUCCUAGUUCAUCUAGUCGACGAGAUUGUCAUUCUGGGGCCCGUAUUUCUACACAAUAUGUUCCCCUUUGAGAGGUUCAUGGGAGUCCUAAAGAAAUAUGUCCGUAACCGCGCUAGGCCAGAAGGAAGCAUCUCCAUGGGCCAUCAAACAGAGGAUGUCAUUGGGUUUUGUGUUGACUUCAUUCCUGGCCUUAAGAAGAUAGGUCUCCCUAAAUCGUGGUAUGAGGGGAGACUGACUGGAAAAGGCACGCUUGGAGGGGACUCAAUAAUAUGCAGGGACGGAUAUUCUUGGUCUCAAGCACACUACACAGUUCUACAGAACUCUACCUUGGUGACCCCGUAUGUCGAUGAACACAAGAACAGUCUGCUCUCCAAACACCCGGAGCAGUGUGAUGACUGGAUUACAUGUGAACACAUCAGGACUUUCAGCAGUUGGUUGGAAACACGUCUCAGAGGUGACACCACUGUUUGUGAUGAGUUGUACUCGUUGUCCAGGGGACCAUCUUCGACUGUAUUGACUUACAAAGGAUACGAGAUAAAUGGGAAUACAUUUUACACGGUCGCCCAAGAUCAAAAGAGCACCAACCAAAACAGCGGUGUCCGCUUUGAUGCAACAACCGAGAGGGGAAAGGACACAUAUUAUGGUUACAUAAUGGACAUAUGGGAACUUGACUACGGACAUGAUUUUAAGGUCCCUUUGUUUAAGUGCAAAUGGGUCAAUCUGUCAGGAGGCGGGGUACAGGUAGACCCACAGUACGGAAUGACAACAGUGGAUCUGAACAAUCUUGGGUACACCGACGAACCGUUCGUCCUAGCCAAUGAUGUGGCACAGGUUAUCUAUGUGAAGGACAUGUCUACCAGACCGAGGAAAAGAAAAGAUAAGGAAGCGAAUACAUCAUACGAUGAGCCAAAGCGCCACAUAGUUCAUUCAGGAAAAAGGGACAUUGUGGGAGUGGAGGGCAAGACAGACAUGUCUGAAGAUUAUGAAAAGUUUCAUGAAAUUCCUCCCUUCAAAGUCAAGGUUGACCCAAGCAUCCUGAUAAACGAUGAAGAUUAUCCAUGGUUACGGCGCAAUAAGCAAAUGACACAAGCGAAGAAAAAGUGAAGACUUUCUCCCGCAACUAUUAUGAUGAUACCAUGCCAACUUUGUAACAGACGAGUAUGAUACCAUUGUCCGUUUUGUACAAGAAGUGCAUCUAGUUUUUGCCGUAACCCUCUCAACUUUCUUGCACAUGCUAUGUGGAUGAAAUGAUGAUACCAUGCCAACUUUCAACCUUUUCAGAGUUCAUUUGAAAUACUUUUCAAUUUUAGGGUCUUAUAGCUCAAAAUAAUUAGUAAAUGCAUGAAAAAUAACAUGCCAAAAAUUAAUAAUUAUGCCACCUACUGGGCCACCACGGCCUGAAUACGAUUAGAAACCCAUCCAUGGGCCAGGAUUCAGGCCCGCAGAAGGCCCAGUAGGCCCACAGGCAUGUACAGAGAGGUUAGGCCCAUAAGCCUGCUUUAGAGAGGAGCUCGACAGCUCAGGCGCACCGCACCUUAUAAACAUGUGCGGCUCUCUCUCAACUAGCGAGAUAGGACUAAACUCACCACCACGCCGCUGUGCAAGGCCAUUGGUCCCGGUUGGUGGCACGAACCGGGACCAAUUCCACCCUUUGGUCCCUGUUGGUGCCACGAACCGGUAAUAAUGAGGCUGUGGCCCCACGAGCACCUUUAGUACCGGUUCGUGGCACGAACCGGUACUAGAGUUUCUUACUAAGCAGUUUUUUAGUCCCACCUCGCUAGCUGAGAGGCACUAGGAGCGGUUUAUAAGCCCUGAGUGCAAAGACAAUGAAGAAGAGGCGCAAUGCUCACGUUGCUUAGCUUCAAGCCUUGAGGAAUAAGGUAGACUGCAUGGAGCCAUGUGCAGUGCAGUCUACACUAUUCCGAAAGGCUUGAAGCAAAUCAACGAGCAUUGCGCCUCUUUUUUAUUUUUAAUAACUUAUUACAACUCCGGACUUCUUGUGUUCCGACAAAAUAAAAUAAACUUUAAUAAAAUUUAUGAAACUAAAAUUAACAAAGUAUUUUCUGUUCAAAACAUUAUAAGAAACCUCUAUUAUUAUUGAAACUAAAAUCAUAUAAAAUUGAUGCAACUAAAAUUAUCGAAGUAUUUUCUGUUCAAAAUCAUUAAAAGCAAAAAGAAUUUUCAUAAAGAACUUUUUUUGAUAGAAANNNNNNNNNNNNNNNNNNNNNNNNNNNNNNNNNNNNNNNNNNNNNNNNNNNNNNNNNNNNNNNNNNNNNNNNNNNNNNNNNNNNNNNNNNNNNNNNNNNNNNNNNNNNNNNNNNNNNNNNNNNNNNNNNNNNNNNNNNNNNNNNNNNNNNNNNNNNNNNNNNNNNNNNNNNNNNNNNNNNNNNNNNNNNNNNNNNNNNNNNNNNNNNNNNNNNNNNNNNNNNNNNNNNNNNNNNNNNNNNNNNNNNNNNNNNNNNNNNNNNNNNNNNNNNNNNNNNNNNNNNNNNNNNNNNNNNNNNNNNNNNNNNNNNNNNNNNNNNNNNNNNNNNNNNNNNNNNNNNNNNNNNNNNNNNNNNNNNNNNNNNNNNNNNNNNNNNNNNNNNNNNNNNNNNNNNNNNNNNNNNNNNNNNNNNNNNNNNNNNNNNNNNNNNNNNNNNNNNNNNNNNNNNNNNNNNNNNNNNNNNNNNNNNNNNNNNNNNNNNNNNNNNNNNNNNNNNNNNNNNNNNNNNNNNNNNNNNNNNNNNNNNNNNNNNNNNNNNNNNNNNNNNNNNNNNNNNNNNNNNNNNNNNNNNNNNNNNNNNNNNNNNNNNNNNNNNNNNNNNNNNNNNNNNNNNNNNNNNNNNNNNNNNNNNNNNNNNNNNNNNNNNNNNNNNNNNNNNNNNNNNNNNNNNNNNNNNNNNNNNNNNNNNNNNNNNNNNNNNNNNNNNNNNNNNNNNNNNNNNNNNNNNNNNNNNNNNNNNNNNNNNNNNNNNNNNNNNNNNNNNNNNNNNNNNNNNNNNNNNNNNNNNNNNNNNNNNNNNNNNNNNNNNNNNNNNNNNNNNNNNNNNNNNNNNNNNNNNNNNNNNNNNNNNNNNNNNNNNNNNNNNNNNNNNNNNNNNNNNNNNNNNNNNNNNNNNNNNNNNNNNNNNNNNNNNNNNNNNNNNNNNNNNNNNNNNNNNNNNNNNNNNNNNNNNNNNNNNNNNNNNNNNNNNNNNNNNNNNNNNNNNNNNNNNNNNNNNNNNNNNNNNNNNNNNNNNNNNNNNNNNNNNNNNNNNNNNNNNNNNNNNNNNNNNNNNNNNNNNNNNNNNNNNNNNNNNNNNNNNNNNNNNNNNNNNNNNNNNNNNNNNNNNNNNNNNNNNNNNNNNNNNNNNNNNNNNNNNNNNNNNNNNNNNNNNNNNNNNNNNNNNNNNNNNNNNNNNNNNNNNNNNNNNNNNNNNNNNNNNNNNAGCGCGCGCCCACUGCCCCGUCGCCAUCCUCGCCGCCGACCCCGCGGUCCUCCUCACCUUGGUCCGGCCGGCGCCCUUUUUUCAUAUAUAUGAUGAUAUGUUCAUGUAUGAGUAUAUGUAUGUAUAUAUGUUCUCUGUGUAUAUAUAUGUUCAUGUAUAUAUGCAAAAGAUAGAUUUUUAGAAAAGUUAGGAUUUUUUCUGUUCAUAGAUUUUUUUGGUGAUAUUAAUUAUUGUAGAAUAUGCAAAUGUUUGUAUAUUCAUAUGAACAAUGCAUUAGGCAAAACCUUUACUUUUUUUUGAAAUUUUCUAUUUGAACAUUUUUUAUGAAUGAGAGGAAAAAGGAAAAUAAGAAGAGGAAGAAAGGAGAAGAAGAGGAGAGGAAGAAGAGGAGAAAUAAAUAAGAAGAGGAAAAAAAGAAGAAAAAGAAGAGGAGAAGAAGAAAGGAAUAGAAGAGAAGAAGAAAAAAUAGAAAAAAUUCUAUUUUUUCUUCUUCUCUCCUCUAUUCCUUUCUUCUUCUCUUCUUUUUUUCUUCUUUUUUUUCUUCGAUCUUCUCCUCUAUUCCUUUUCUUCUUCUCCUCUUUUUAUUUCUUCUUCGUUUUCUUAUGUUUUAUGGGGUCUCUCGUCGUCGAUAUACCCCUCUCCCGAUAACUUCAACACGAGGGGGGGUCGAUAUACCCCCUCCCCGAUAAUAUUAUUUUCCCAUGUACGUAUGUCGUCGUUGUCGAUAUAACCCCCUCCCGAUAACUUCAACACGUGGGGGGGGGGUCGAUAUACCCCCUCCCCGAUAACAUUAUUUUCCCAUGUAUGUAUGUCGUCGUUGUCGAUAUAUAUAACUCCCUCCCAGAUAACUUCGACAUGAUGGACGGUCGAUAUUUAUACCCCCUCUCGACCGUGAUAACUUAUACCACGGGAGCACCCCCCGGCCCUCUCGCUCGACCAAAACUCUCGAGGACACCCAAACCCUAGAAAAAAACGAUGUCGGUCUCCUACCCCCUCCCGCCGCGCCCCUACCCUUGAAGCGUUGUCGAGGCCACCCCAAACCCGGAAUAAGCUAGGUCUACGUUUGCACUAAUGUAUCCACCUGCUGUCAUGUUUGUGUAAUAAUUGCCAUGUUGUAAUAUUUGCAGAAACAAUGGAGCACGGACGAGACGAGCAAUCAGAAGAGGUGUUGGGGGACAUAAUCUUAGCCGGAGGUGAUAUCUUGUCGUAUCUUAACGACAAUGAUGGUCUGGAAGAACAGGGUGAAGAAGCAGGCUACGGUGAUCGAAGAGUGGAGGAGGAAAGACAUGAUUAUGAUGGCUCUGGUGACCCAAUGCUGGUGCAAGAAGGAGCCCGUGGUGACGGCUCCGGUGACCGAACAGAGUCCGGCCAGGUAAAUAUAUUAGUUAAGCCUGUGCUGACUAGCUAAUUGAUGCAUUCAUUGUUUUGGUAUGUACACAUAUUAAUUAACACUCGUCUUUCUUCUUUUUUCUAGCCCUUCGGAUCGAGCACAACUGCGGUAAAGAGACGAGGCCCAAAGAGAAAGUUGCGCUCGGAUGAAAGGUUUCAGAUCACAGCAAUCGCGCGCGACGGCCAACCGAUUGAACCCAUCCGGAUAAAGGAUGCAUUUGCUGCUCAGUGCGGGGUUCUAGUUAGGGACAAGAUCCCGAUCAGCAUCCACCAAUGGUAUAAGCCUAAGAAGGAAGACCCUGAGGUGUCUUAUGUCAAUGAUAUGCAGAAAGAUGAUCUUUGGACUGAGCUGAAGGCAAAUUUCACCCUACCGCCAGAGGAGGAUCCGGAGAAGCCAGUUAAAGAGCAAUUAAUCAAGUCUUAUGCUCUUAAGAAGAUGGCAGACCUAUUCAGGAGGUGGAAGAAUGAGCUGAAAAUGUUUGUCGACAAAGAAGAGACACCAGAAUUCAUCGGCCGGUAUGAGAAGAUCAGAGAUCACUGGCCCGCAUUUGUGGCCCACAAGACAUCGGAAAAGAGUAAGAAGAUGUCAGCGACAAACAAGAAGAAUGUUGCGAAGAAGAAGCUUCACCAUCGCACGGGGUCAGGUGGCUACCUCAAAGCCCGACCUAAGUGGGCCAAGGCUGAGAAUGAUCUGCUUGAAAAAGGGAUCGAACCACAGACAAUGAAUUGGACAGACCGUUGCCGGACUUGGUUCUUCGGGGCUGGCGGAACCUUGGACCCUAUAUCAGGGAGGUGCGUUUGGACGAACGAGCUUUUGAGAAUACCAGUCAAGAAGAUUCAGCAAUAUAUCGAUGCAGCGCAGGAAGGGACGUUCGUUCCAGACAGAGAGAACGACGAGCUCACAAUGGCCCUCGGGAAUCCUGAGCACCCUGGACGGACACGAGGCACGCCAGGCUCCGUUCCGUGGAAGGCUGGUUUUCCGGACGCGGGCGGUUACAAAAGCCAGGAGAGGAGGAAAAAAGUGGAGCAGAUCCAAAUUCAGAAGCUACACGAAAGGGUUCAAGCGCUAGAGGAACGAGAUGGCAAUCGACAUGCCGAAACUGCCCCCGAAGCUACACCGCCAUCUCAGCGGAGAAGCAGUGUGCCUUCCACCGAGCUGCUUCAGCUGGAGCAUGCGGCUCCUGCUAGCUACCCCGUGGAUGCUAUCACGGAGUCUCAACAUUGCCACCUUAUGGCGGAAUGGCAGAACUUCAAAGUCAAGGUGGCUGUUGGCUCUGUUUUACCUCCUGAACCCGGCGCAACCUACCACUGCCGGCCGAUUCCAGAAGGAUAUGCUAGGGUGAUGGUGGAUGAAAUAACAGAGGGAUUUGAGGAGCUCCAGCUUGACCACCCUACCGGUGAAGGGGAGACUCGGCUGGGUUCUGCUCUGAAGACUCCAUGCCUAUGGCGGAAGGAGCUCAUCAAGCUUCCGAACUGGACGGCUCCGGCGAGUAAGGGCACUCCGCCUCCUCCUCCGCCUCCUCCUCCUGCGAGUGAUCAGGGCACUCAGCCUCCUUCUCCGGCGCGUGGCGGCACUCCGCCUCCUCCUCCGGCGAGUGAUCAGGGCACUCAGCCUCCUUCUCCGGCGCGUGGCGGCACUCCGCCUCCUUCUCCGCCUGCGCCGGCGCGCCAGAGCAGCCAGCCUCCUCCUUCUCCGCCUCAUCAGCAAGGGCGGAAGAGACCCGCCGCCGCUGCGGCUGCUCCGGCGCGUCGUAGUCCUUCUCCUCCGCCUCAUAAGCAAGGAAAGAAGACAGCCGCAGCCGCUCCGUCUGCUCUGCCGGCGUCUAGCAGUACAGCUGCCAGAGGCAGGAGGCAAUACAGAUUCGGUCCUUCUCUGAAGACUCCAGAGAAGUUACCAUACGAGAGGACCGAGGAGGAAACCAGGAAGAUCGUGCGAGCCGAAGUGACAAACUUCUUUGAAGGGGUGAAAGCAAAGAAACAUCCACCUCCGGAGGAGAAGGUAGAUCCGGUGAAAGCAAAGCGCACUCUGGCUGCCCUGACAAAACCACCAAAGUCUCCGCCGAGAGGCAACUAUGAGCGCAUUCUUGCAAAGACAUAUGCCGAAGCGGAGCGGUCGGGAAGUACUGUCAGUGAUCAAAGGUUAAAAGAACGAUGAGCUGGAAAAAAAAUUGCCCAGCUCGGCGAACAAGCGAACCAAUCGUGCCCCCCGCUCAAGGUGUCAAAAGACAUCGUCGCUAAUGAUCCGAGGAUGGUGCCCGGUUAUAGCAAUCUUGGAGAUUACCUGCCCGACGAUGUACAUUAUGAAAUCAUGGAGGUGGACGAACACAAAUACCAUUACGGGAAGCCUCUCGUCAAAGAUGAAAGAUCUCUAACAACGAUGAUGCGAAGAUUACAUGAUUGGUACAUGAAAACCUGCAGAGAGUCUGAUGGGAUGAGUACUUUGACGCUGAGAGUUAAACCAGAGCAUGACCUAGUUGGAAUUGAACUGCUGAAUGUUCCAUUUGAGGAUUUCUUCCAGUUUUACAAUCAAAAGGCCCUCGAUAAAACAACGAUCACUUGCUACUGUUUGUAAGUAGUACUACUUAUGUCAUUAAGUCUCUCUAUAUAGGUCAACUCUUUCAUUGCAUGUAUUUAUAAUUAUCCUCACUAUAUUAUGCAGAUUGAAGAUCGCCGAAUUGAAGAAAAGACAAAUCGGUGAUAUUGGGUUCAUUAACACAAAUCUCAUAGAUGCAUAUACGGUUGAAAAACAUCCCAAAGAAGCCGAGGCCAACUUGCUACAAUCGUUGGUAUUAAAUCAAAACAAAGAUAUAAUACUCUUUCCUUACAACUUCAAGUGAGUGUUACUGUCUUGUGCAUAUUCGGUUUCCCUUAUUAGUCCAGGUUAUGGUAAUGUAAUUGAUGACUUAUGCAUGCAUAGGCAGCUUCCACUAUAUUCUCCUAGAGAUUAAGCUUGAGCAGGGAGUAGUAAUCGUCUUAGACUCGAGACGAAAAGAUUCCCAGGACUAUGCGAACAUGACUCAAAUGCUCGAGAAGUAAGUUAAAUCGAUCAUUAUCCACCAUAUCAGCAACUUUGUUCAUUUCCUGAUAUCAAGUAAUUGUUUUCUUUGUCUGGCAGGGUUUGGAGAAAAUUCACCACAAAAGCUCCGGGACUGCCGAAGAAGCUGCAAUUUAAACACCCGAAAGUAAGUACUAUAGUAGCAUGUUCCGCGCAUCUCCUAGUGAUUCAAGCGCUAGUUUCAUCAAUACCAUUUAGCAUGCUUGCUUAUCAGUUUGAUUGACCUCUAUUUCUUGUAAAGUGGUUGUGGCAGGAACCCGGGAAUAAUUACUGUGGAUACUACGUUUGCGAGUCCAUCCGCUACACGACCUGUGAGCGGGGCUACUCUGAAGAACAAUAUGAAGUGCGUAAGCAAUAAUAUUCACAAUUUUAUUUUAUUACCAUCAUUUGUGUUGAGUUUCAUUUAUUCAUAUAUAUAUAUAUAUAUAUAUGUGUAUUUGUUAGAAAUAUGCCCUAGAGGCAAUAAUAAAUUGGUUAUUAUUAUAUUUCCUUGUUCAUGAUAAUCGUUUAUUAUCCAUGCUAAAAUUGUAUUGAUAGGAAACUCAGAUACAUGUGUGGAUACAUAGACAACACCAUGUCCCUAGUAAGACUCUAGUUGACUAGCUCGUUGAUCAAUAGAUGGUUACGGUUUCCUGACCAUGGACAUUGGAUGUCGUUGAUAACGGGAUCACAUCAUUAGGAGAAUGAUGUGAUGGACAAGACCCAAUCCUAAGCCUAGCACAAGAUCGUGUAGUUCGUUUGCUUAGAGCUUUUCUAAAUGUCAAGUAUCAUUUCCUUAGACCAUGAGAUUGUGCAACUCCCGGAUACCGUAGGAAUGCUUUGGGUGUACCAAACAUCACAACGUAACUGGGUGGCUAUAAAGGUGCACUACAGGUAUCUCCGAAAGUGUCUGUUGGGUUGGCACGAAUCGAGACUGGGAUUUGUCACUCUGUGUAAACGGAGAGGUAUCUCUGGGCCCACUCGGUAGGACAUCGUCAUAAUGUGCACAAUGUGACCAAGGAGUUGAUCACGGGAUGAUGUGUUACGGAACGAGUAAAGAGACUUGCCGGUAACGAGAUUGAACAAGGUAUCGGGAUACCGACGAUCGAAUCUCGGGCAAGUACCAUACCGGUAGACAAAGGGAAUUGUAUACGGGAUUGAUUGAAUCCCCGACAUCGUGGUUCAUCCGAUGAGAUCAUCGUGGAACAUGUGGGAGCCAACAUGGGUAUCCAGAUCCCGCUGUUGGUUAUUGGCGGGAGAACGUCUCGGUCAUGUCUGCAUGGUUCCCGAACCCGUAGGGUCUACACACUUAAGGUUCGAUGAUGCUAGGGUUAUAGGGAAUAGAUAUACGUGGUUACCGAAUGUUGUUCGGAGUCCCGGAUGAGAUCCCGGACAUCACGAGGAGUUCCGGAAUGGUCCGGAGGUAAAGAUUUAUAUAUCGGAAGUCCCGUUUUGGCCACCGGAAGAGUUUCGGGCGUCACCGGUAAUGUACCGGGACCACCGGAGGGUUCCGGGGGUCCACCGGGAGGGGCCACCAGCCCCGGAGGGCCCUAUGGGCUGUAUGUGGAGAGGGAACAGCCCCUUAGUGGGAUGGGCGCCUUCCCUCCCAGGGCCCAUGCGCCUGGGGGUUUGGGGUAACCCUAAGGGGAGGCGCCCCCCUUGCCUUGGGGGACAAGGCAAACCCCCUGGCUGCCGCCCCCUCCUCAGAUUGGAUCUGAGGGGGCCGGCCCCCCUCUCCCUUGCCCCUAUAUAUAUGUGGGGGGUGGGAGGGCAGCCGCACCAAAGUUCUGGCGCAGCCCUCCCCCUCUUCCAUGUCCUCCUCCUCUCCCGCGGUGCUUGGCGAAGCCCGGCCGGAUUGCCACGCUCCUCCAUCACCACCACGCCGUCGUGCUGCUGCUGGACGGAGUCUUCCCCAACCUCUCCCUCUCUCCUUGCUGGAUCAAGGCGUGGGAGACGUCACCGGGCUGCACGUGUGUUGAACACGGAGGCGCCGUGGUUCGGCGCUUAGAUCGGAAUCAACCGCGAUCUGAAUCGCUACGAGUACGACUCCUUCAUCCGCGUUCUUACAACGCUUCCGCAUCACGAUCUACAAGGGUAUGUAGAUGCACUCCCCUUCCCCUCGUUGCUAGAUUACUCCAUAGAUUGAUCUUGGUGAUGCGUAGAAAAUUUUGAAUUUCUACUACGUUCCCCAACAGUGGCAUCAUGAGCCAGGUCUAUGCGUAGUUUCUAUGCACGAGUAGAACACAAAGUAGUUGUGGGCGUCGAUUUUGUCAAUUUACUUGCUGUUACUAGUCUUAUCUUGAUUCGGCGGCAUCGUGGGAUGAAGCGGCCCGGACCGACCUUACACGUACACUUACGUGAGACAGGUUCCACCGACUGACAUGCACUAGUUGCAUAAGGUGGCUAGCGGGUGUCUGUCUCUCCCACUUUAGUCGGAUCGGAUUCGAUGAAAAGGUCCUUAUGAAGGGUAAAUAGAAAUUGGCAUAUCACGUUGUGGUUUUGCGUAGGCAAGAAACGUUCUUGCUAGAAUCCCAUAGUAGCCACGUAAAACAUGCAACAACAAUUAGAGGACGUCUAACUUGUUUUUGCAGGGUAUGCUAUGUGAUGUGAUAUGGUCAAAAGGAUGUGAUGAAUGAUAUAUGUGAUGUAUGCGAUUGAUCAUGGUCUUGUAAUAGGAAUCACGACUUGCAUGUCGAUGAGUAUGACAACCGGCAGGAGCCAUAGGAGUUGUCUUAAUUUAUUGUAUGACCUGCGUGUCAAUGAAAACGCCAUGUAAUUACUUUACUUUAUUGCUAACCGUUAGCCAUAGUAGUAGAAGUAAUAGUUGGCGAGACAACUUCAUGAAGACACGAUGAUGGAGAUCAUGAUGAUGGAGAUCAUGGUGUCAUGCCGGUGACGAAGGUGAUCAUGCCGCGCCUCGAAGAUGGAGAUCAAAGGCGCAAGAUGAUAUUGGCCAUAUCACGUCACUUUAUGAUUUGCAUGUGAUGUUUAUCAUGUUUACAUCUUAUUUGCUUAGAACGACGGUAGCAUAAAUAAGAUGAUCCCUCACUAAAAUUUCAAGAGACAUGUUCCCCCUAACUGUGCACCGUUGCGAAGGUUCGUUAUUUCGAAGCACCACGUGAUGAUCGGGUGUGAUAGAUUCUAACGUUCGAAUACAACGGGUGUUGACGAGCCUAGCAUGUACAGACAUGGCCUCGGAACACAUGCGAAACACUUAGGUUGACUUGACGAGCCUAGCAUGUACAGACAUGGCCUCGGAACACAAGAGAUCCAAAGGUCGAACAUGAGUCGUAUAGUAGAUGCGAUCAACAUGGAGAUGUUCACCGAUGAUGACUAGUCCGUCUCACGUGAUGAUCGGACACGGCCUAGUUUGACUCGGAUCAUGUAUCACUUAGAUGACUAGAGGGAUGUCUAUCUGAGUGGGAGUUCAUUUAAUAAUCAGAUGAACUCAAUUAUCAUGAACAUAGUCAAAAGGUCUUUGCAAAUUAUGUCAUAGCUUACGCUUUAGUUCUACUGUUUAAGAUAUGUUCCUAGAGAAAAUUUAGUUGAAAGUUGAUAGUGGCAAUUAUGCGGACUGGGUCCGUAAACUGAGGAUUGUCCUCAUUGCUGCACAGAAGGCUUAUGUCCUUAAUGCACCGCUCAGUGUGCUGAAUCUCAGCGUCGUCUGUAGAUGUUGCGGAACAUCUGACAUACACGUUUUGAUGACUACGUGAUAGUUCAGUGCGUAAUGCUAACGGUUUAGAAUUGUGGCACCAAAGACGGUUUUGAAACGUCACAGAACAUAUGAGAUGUUCCGAAGACUGAAAUUGGGAUUUCAGACUAGUGCCCACGUCAAGAGGUAUGAGACCUCUGACAAGUUUCUUAAGCCUGCAAACUAAGGGAGAAAAGCUCAAUCGUUGAGCAUGUGCUCAGAUUGUCUGAGUACGGCAAUCGCUUGAAUCAAGUGGGAGUUAAUCUUCCAGAUGAGAUAGUGAUGGUUCUCCAUAGUCACUGCCACCAAGCUAUUAGAGCUUCGUGAUGAACUAUAACAUAUCAGGGAUAGAUGAUGAUCCUUGAGCAACUCGCGAUGUUUGACACCGCGAAAGUAGAAAUCAAGAAGGAGCAUCAAUUGUUGAUGGUUAGUAAAACCACUAGUUUCUAGAAGGGCAAGGGCAAAAGGGAUACUUCAUGAAACAGCAAAUCAUUUGCUGCUCUAGUGAAGAAUCCCAAGGUUGAACCCAAACCCGAGACUAAGUGCUUCUGUAAUGAGGGGAACAGUCACUGAAGCAGAACUACCCUAGAUACUUGGUAGAUGAGAAGGCAAGCAAGGUCGACAGAAGUAUAUUGGAUAUACAUUAUAUGAAUGUGUACUUUACUAGUACUCCUAGCAGCACCAGGGUAUUAGAUACCGGUUCGGUUGCUAAGUGUUAGUAACUCGAAAUAAAAGCUGCGGAAUAAACGGAGACUAGCUAAAGGUGAGAUGACGAUAUGUGUUGGAAGUGUUUCCAAGGUUGAUGUGAUCAAGCAUCGCAUGCUCCCUCUACCAUCGAGAUUGGUGUUAAACCUAAAUAAUUGUUAUUUGGUGUUUGCGUUGAGCAUAAACAUGAUUGGAUUAUGUUUAUCGCAAUACGGUUAUUCAUUUAAGGAGAAUAAUUGUUACUCUGUUUAUUUGAAUAAUACCUUCAAUGGUCUUGCACCUAAAAUGAAUCUCGAUCGCAGUGAUACACAUGUUCGUGCCAAAAGAUAUAAAAUAGUGAUGAUAGUACCACAUACUUGUGGCACUGCCAUUUGAGUCAUAUUGGUAUACAACGCAUGAAGAAGCUCCAUGUAGAUGGAUCUUUGGACUCACUCGUUUUUGAAAAGAUUGAGACAUGCGAACCAUGUCUAUUGGUAUAUAUGCAUGAAGAAACUCCAUGCAGAUGGAUCGUUUGGACUCACUUGAUUUUGAAUCUCUUGAGACAUGCAAAUCAUACCACAUGGGCAAGAUGACUGAAAGGCCUCGCUUUCAGUAAGAUGGAACAAGAGAGCAACUUGUUGGAAGUAAUACAUUUUGAUGUGUGCAGUCCAAUGAGUGCUGAGGCACGCAGUGGAUAUCGAUAUGUUCUUACUUCACAGAUGGUUUGAGUAGAUGCUGAGAAUAUUUACUUGAUGAAACACAAGUCUGAAUUAUUGAAAGGUUCAAGUAAUUUUAGAGUGAAGUUGAAGAUCGCCGUGACAAGAGGAUAAAAUGUCUUUGAUAUGAUCAUAGAGAUGAGUAUCUGAGUUACGAGUUUGGCACACAAUUAAGAAAUUGUGGAAAUUGUUUCACGACUAAUACCGCUUGGAGCACCAUAGUGUGAUGGUGUGUCCGAACAUCAUAACUGCACCCUAUUGGAUAUGGUGCAUACCAUGAUGUCUCUUAUCGAAUUACAACUAUCGGUUAUGGGUUAGGCAUUAGAGACAACCGCAUUCACUUUAAAUAGGGCACCACGCAAUUCCAUUGAGACGACACCGUUUAGAGAAACCUAAGUUGUCGUUUCUUAAAAGUUUGGGGCUGCGACGCUUAUGUGAAAAAGUUUCAGGCUGAUAAGCUCGAACCCAAAGCGGAUAAAUGCAUCUUCAUAGAAUACCCAAAACAGUUGGGUAUACCUCCUAUUUCAGAUCCGGAAGCAAGGUGAUUGUUUCUAGAAACAGGUCCUUUCUCGAGGAAAAGUUUCUCUCGAAAGAAUUGAGUGGGAGGAUGGUGGAGACUUGAUGAGGUUAUUGAACCGUCACUUCAACUAGUGUGUAGCAGGGCACAGGAAGUUGUUCCUGUGGCACCUACACCAAUUGAAGUGGAAGCUUAUGAUAGUGAUCAUGAAACUUCGGAUCAAGUCACUACCAAACCUCGUAGGUCGACAAGGAUGCGUACUACUUCAGAGUGGUACGUAAUCCUGUCUUGGAAGUCAUGUUGCUAGACAUCAAUGAACCUACGAGCUAUGGAGAAGCGAUGGUGGGCCCGGAUUCCGAUGAAUGGCUCGAGGCCAUGAAAUCCGAGAGAGGAUCCAUGUAUAAAAGCAAAGUAUAGACUUUGGAAGAAAUACUUGAUGGUCGUAAGGCUGUUGGGUGCAGAUGGAUUUUAAAAGGAAGACAGACAAUGAUGGUAAGUGUCACCAUUAAGAAAGCUCGGCUUGUCGUUAAGAUGUUUUCCGACAAGUUCAAGGAGUUGACUGCGAUGAGACUUUCUCACUCGUAGCGAUGCUAAGAGUCUGUUGGAAUUAUAUUAGCAGUUACUGCAUUAUUUAUGAAAUCUUGCAGAUAGGAUAUCAAAACAUUGUUUGCUCGAUGAUUUUCUUGAGGAAAGGUUGUAUGUGAUACAACCAGAAGGUUUUUGUCGAUCCUGAAAGAUGCUAACAAGUAUGCAAUGCUCCAGCAAUCCUUCUAAGGACUGGAGUAAGCAUCUCGGAGUUGGAAUGUACGCUUUGAUGAGAUGAUCAAAGAUUUUGGGUUUAUACAAAGUUUAUGAGAAACUUGUAUUUCCAAAGAAGUGAGUGGGAGCACUAUAGAAUUUCUGAUGAGUAUAUGUUGUUGACAUAUUGUUGAUCAUAGAUGAUGUAGAAUUUCUGGAAAGCAUACAGGGUUAUUUGAAAGGUGUUUUUCAAUGGAAAACCUGGAUUAAGCUGCUUGAACAUUGAGCAUCAAGAUCUAUAAGGAUAGAUCAAAAACCGCUUAAUAGUACUUUCAAAUGAAUACAUACCGUGACAAGAUUUUGAAGGAGUUCAAAAUAGACCAGCAAAGAAGGAGUUCUUGGCUGUGUUACAAGGUGUGAGUAUUGAGUAAGACUCAAGACCUGACCACAGCAAAAGAGAGAGAAAGGACGAAGGUCGUCCCCUAUGCUUUAGACGUAGGCUCUACAGUAUGCUAUGUUGUGUACCGCACAUGAAGUGUGCCUUGCCAUGAGUUAGUCAAGGGGUACAAUAGUGAUCCGGGAAUGGAUCACAUGACAGUGGUCGAACUUAUCCUUAGUAUCUAGUGGACUAAGGAAAUUUUCUCGAUUAUGGAGGUGGAAAAGGAGUUCGUCGUAAAGGGUUACGUCGAUGCAAACUUUGACACUAAUCCGGAUGACUCUGAGUAGUAAACCGGAUUCGUAUAGUAGAGCAGUUAUUUGGAAUAGCUCCAAGUAGCGCGUGGUAGCUGCAUCUACAAGAUGACAUAGAUAUUCGUAAAGCACACAUGGAUCUGAAAGGUUCAUACCCGUGGACUAAUAACCUCUCUCACAAGCGAGAUAUGAACAAACCCCAUGGGUGUUGGAUUCAUUACAAUCACAUGGUGAUGUGAACUAGAUUAUUGACUCCGGUAAACUCUUGGGUAUUAAUCACAUGGCGAUGUGAACUAGAUUAUUGACUCUAGUGCAAGUGGGAGACUGUUAGAAAUAUGCCCUAGAGGCAAUAAUAAAUUGGUUAUUAUUAUAUUUCCUUGUUCAUGAUAAUCGUUUAUUAUCCAUGCUAAAAUUGUAUUGAUAGGAAACUCAGAUACAUGUGUGGAUACAUAGACAACACCAUGUCCCUAGUAAGCCUCUAGUUGACUAGCUCGUUGAUCAAUAGAUGGUUACGGUUUCCUGACCAUGGACAUUGGAUGUCGUUGAUAACGGGAUCACAUCAUUAGGAGAAUGAUGUGAUGGACAAGACCCAAUCCUAAGCCUAGCACAAGAUCGUGUAGUUCGUUUGCUUAGAGCUUUUCUAAAUGUCAAGUAUCAUUUCCUUAGACCAUGAGAUUGUGCAACUCCCGGAUACCGUAGGAAUGCUUUGGGUGUACCAAACGUCACAACGUAACUGGGUGGCUAUAAAGGUGCACUACAGGUAUCUCCGAAAGUGUCUGUUGGGUUGGCACGAAUCGAGACUGGGAUUUGUCACUCUGUGUAAACGGAGAGGUAUCUCUGGGCCCACUCGGUAGGACAUCGUCAUAAUGUGCACAAUGUGACCAAGGAGUUGAUCACGGGAUGAUGUGUUACGGAACGAGUAAAGAGACUUGCCGGUAACGAGAUUGAACAAGGUAUUGGGAUACCGACGAUCGAAUCUCGGGCAAGUACCAUACCGGUAGACAAAGGGAAUUGUAUACGGGAUUGAUUGAAUCCCCGACAUCAUGGUUCAUCCGAUGAGAUCAUCGUGGAACAUGUGGGAGCCAACAUGGGUAUCCAGAUCCCGCUGUUGGUUAUUGGCGGGAGAACGUCUCGGUCAUGUCUGCAUGGUUCCCGAACCCGUAGGGUCUACACACUUAAGGUUCGAUGAUGCUAGGGUUAUAGGGAAUAGAUAUACGUGGUUACCGAAUGUUGUUCGGAGUCCCGGAUGAGAUCCCGGACGUCACGAGGAGUUCCGGAAUGGUCCGGAGGUAAAGAUUUAUAUACGGGAAGUCCCGUUUUGGCCACCGGAAGAGUUUCGGGCGUCACCGGUAAUGUACCGGGACCACCGGAGGGUUCCGGGGGUCCACCGGGAGGGGCCACCAGCCCCGUAGGGCCCUAUGGGCUGUAUGUGGAGAGGGACCAGCCCCUUAGUGGGCUGAGCGCCUUCCCUCCCAGGGCCCAUGCGCCUGGGGGUUUGGGGGAACCCUAAGGGGAGGCGCCCCUUGCCUUGGGGGGCAAGGCAAACCCCCUGGCCGCCGCCCCCUCCUCAGAUUGGAUCUGAGGGGGCCGGCCCCCCUCUCCCUUCCCCUAUAUAUAUGUGGGGGGUGGGAGGGCAGCCGCACCAAAGUUCUGGCGCAGCCCUCCCCCUCUUCCAUGUCCUCCUCCUCUCCCGCGGUGCUUGGCGAAGCCCUGCAGGAUUGCCACGCUCCUCCAUCACCACCACGCCGUUGUGCUGCUGCUGGACGGAGUCUUCCCCAACCUAUCCCUCUCUCCUUGCUGGAUCAAGGCGUGGGAGACGUCACCGGGCUGCACGUGUGUUGAACACGGAGGCGCCGUGGUUCGGCGCUUAGAUCGGAAUCAACCGCGAUCUGAAUCGCUACGAGUACGACUCCUUCAUCGCGUUCUUGCAACGCUUCCGCAUCACGAUCUACAAGGGUAUGUAGAUGCACUCCCCUUCCCCUCAUUGCUAGAUUACUCCAUAGAUUGAUCUUGGUGAUGCGUAGAAAAUUUUGAAUUUCUGCUACGUUCCCCUACAGUAUUGACCCCCUUCUUCAAAUUAGAUGUUUCGGAAGCGGGAUGAACUCCUAGCACCAUAUCGUACGCGAGGAAUUCAAGAGGAAUUGGCGGCAUUCUUCCUUGACCACGUGAUCGCUGAAAACGGAGAAUACUAUGUGGACCCUGUGUUCUUACAAUUUAAUUAGGAGAUUGUAUUGUAAGAGAUAAUUAUUGUAUAUAUGUAGCCGGUAGUGUCGGAUAGAUAUACGAGAACUUGUUGUUCGACCAAUCUCUUGGAGAAGGAGAGGUGGUCGAUAUCACUUCUCUCUGUAUGCAUAUGUUCAUGACGAUCUUCUGUUUCCUUCAUUUGAUUACUAGCUAGCAUGUCUAGUCCUCUCCAUACGUAUAUAGUACGUAGCGUCGACCAAGCACGGAGAUAAGAGAGGACACUUCUCUCUAUUAAUUAGCUAGCUAACACAAUAUAUGAAACACCUAAAUUAACCCCCCAAAACCCCUAAACCACCCCCUUUCAAAAAACAAAAACCUCAGCUCCUGCCAGCUGCUGACGAGUGGAUGCCUAUUGGUCCCGGUUGGUGACACCAACCGGGACAAAAGGCCUUGCCUAUUAGUCCCGGUUGGUGGCACCAACCGGGACCAAAGGCCCCCCUGCCUGGGCUGGCAGCAGCGGCCACGUGGAGGACCUUCUGUCCCGGUUCGUGUAAGAACCGGGACUAAAGGGUUAGGGCUUUAGUAACGACCCUUUAGUCCCGGUUCGAAAAUCGGGACAAAAGGCCCUUACAAACCAGGGUAAAAGCCCCUUUUCCUACUAGUGCCACCUUGGAGUUGGUAUUGCCCCUCGGCCUCUUCAACGCCUCACCAUCUCCACCUCUGGCCAACGCGGCCGUCUUUUUGCUUCUCUUCCUUUGAAGUUCACGAUAUUGAUCCUUGAACUUAGGGCGAUUGUUGAUAAUCCUCCAACAAUGUGUAAGAGUGAAUGGCUUGUCAUUGUGCCAGACCUUGAAUGCUUCCAAAGAUUGAAAUACCUACACCACACGAUCAACAACAAAUGAACAUGCAAACAUAUAGAAGGUCGAAGUUGUUGGGGAUCGUUGCAGAAAUUAAAAAAAAUUCUACGCAUCACCAAGAUCAAUCUAUGGAGUCAUCUAGCAACGAGAGAGAGGAGUGCGUCUACAUACCCUUGUAGAUCGCGAGCGGAAGCGUUCAAGUGAACGGGGUUGAUGGAGUCGUACUCGUCGUGAUCCAAAUCACCGAUGACCGAGCGCCGAACGGACGGCACCUCCGCGUUCAACACACGUACGGUUGGGAAGACGUCUCCUCCUUCUUGAUCCAGCAAGGGGGAAGGAGAGGUUGAUGGAGAUCCAGCAGCACGACGGUGUGGUGGUGGAAGUAGCGGGGAUCUCGGCAGGGCUUCGCCAAGCUCAGCGAGAGGGAGAGGUGUCACGGGAGGGAGAGGGAGGCGCCAGGGGCUUGGGGUGCUGCUGCCCUUCCUCCCCCCUCUAUAUAUAGGGCCCCUGGGGGGCGCCGACCCUAGGAGAUCCCAUCUCCAAGGGGGGAGGCGGCCAGGGGGGGGGGGGACUUGCCCCCCAAGUCAAGUGGGGCGCCCCCCACCCCUAGGGUUUCCAACCCUAGGCGCAGGGGAGGCCCAAGGGGGGCGCACCAGCCCACCAGGGGCUGGUUCCCUUCCCCACUUCAGCCCAUGGGGCCCUCCGGGAUAGGUGGCCCCACCCGGUGGACCCCCGGGACCCUUCCGGUGGUCCAGGUACAAUACCGGUGACCCCCGAAACUUUCCCGGUGGCCGAAACUGGACUUCCUAUAUACAAUUCUUCACCUCCGGACCAUUCCGGAACUCCUCAUGACGUCCAGAAUCUCAUCUGAGACUCCGAACAACUUUCGGGUUACCGCAUACUAAUAUCUCUACAACCCUAGCGUCACCGAACCUUAAGUGUGUAGACCCUACGGGUUCGGGAGACAUGAAGACAUGACCGAGACGACUCUCCGGUCAAUAACCAACAGCGGGAUCUGGAUACCCAUGUUGGAUCCCACAUGUUCCACAUGAUCUCAUCGGAUGAACCACGGUGUCGAGGAUUCAAUCAAUCCCGUAUACAAUUCCCUUUGUCAAUCGGUACGUUACUUGCCCGAGAUUCGAUCGUCGGUAUCCCAAUACCUUGUUCAAUCCCGCUACCGGCAAGUCACUUUACUCGUACCGUAAUGCAUGAUCCCGUGACCAAACACUUGGUCACAUUGAGCUCAUUAUGAUGAUGCAUUACCGAGUGGGCCAAGAGAUACCUCUCCGUCAUACGGAGUGACAAAUCCCAGUCUCGAUUCGUGCCAACCCAACAGACACUUUCGGAGAUACCGUAGUGCACCUUUAUAGCCACCCAGUUAUGUUGUGACGUUUGGCACACCCAAAGCACUCCUAUGGUAUCCGGGAGUUGCACAAUCUCAUGGUCUAAGGAAAUGAUAUUUGACAUUUGGAAAAGCUCUAGCAAACGAACUACACGAUCUUGUGCUAUGCCUAGGAUUGGGUCUUGUCCAUCACAUCAUUCUCCUAAUGAUGUGAUCCCGUUAUCAAUGACAUCCAAUGUCCAUAGUCAGGAAACCAUGACUAUCUGUUGAUCAACGAGCUAGUCAACUAGAGGCUCACUAGGGACAUGUUGUGGUCUAUGUAUUCACACAUGUAUUAUGAUUUCCGGAUAACACAAUUAUAGCAUGAACAAUAGACAAUUAUCAUGAACAAGGAAAUAUAAUAAUAACCAUUUUAUUAUUGCCUCUAGGGCAUAUUUCCAACAGUCUCCCACUUGCACUAGAGUCAAUAAUGUAGUUACAUUGUGAUGAAUCGAACACCCAUAGAGUUCUAGUGUUGAUCAUGUUUGGCUCUAGGGAGAGGUUUAGUCAACGGAUCUGCUACAUUCAGGUCCGUAUGUACUUUACAAAUAUCUAUGUCUCCAUUUUGAACACUUUCACGAAUGGAGUUGAAGCGGCGGUUGAUAUGCCUGGUCUUCCUCUGAAACCUGGGCUCCUUGGCAAGGGCAAUAGCUCCAGUGUUGUCACAUAAGAGAGUCAUCGGGCCCGACGCAUUGGGAAUAACUCCUAGGUCGGUAAUGAACUCCUUCACCCAGAUUGCUUCUUGUGCUGCCUCUGAGGCCGCCAUGUAUUCCGCUUCACAUGUAGAUCCCGCCACAACGCUUUGCUUGCAACUGCACCAGCUUACUGCCCCACCAUUCAAAAUAUACACGUAUCCGGUUUGUGACUUAGAGUCAUCCAGAUCUGUGUCGAAGCUAGCAUCGACGUAACCCUUUACGAUGAGCUCUUCGUCACCUCCAUAAACGAGAAACAUAUCCUUAGUCCUCUUCAGGUACUUCAGGAUAUUCUUGACCGCUGUCCAGUGUUCCAUGCCGGGAUUACUUUGGUACCUUCCUACCAAGCUUACGGCAAGGUUUACAUCAGGUCUGGUACACAGCAUGGCAUACAUAAUAGACCCUAUGGCCGAGGCAUAGGGGAUGACACUCAUCUUUUCUCUAUCUUCUGCCGUGGUCGGGCAUUGAGCCAUGCUCAAUUGCACACCUUGCAAUACAGGCAAGAACCCCUUCUUGGGCUGAUCCAUAUUGAACUUCUUCAAUAUCUUGUCAAGGUACGUACUUUGUGAAAGACCAAUGAGGCGUCUUGAUCUAUCUCUAUAGAUCUUGAUGCCUAAUAUAUAAGCAGCUUCUCCAAGGUCCUUCAUUGAAAAACACUUGUUCAAGUAGGCCUUUAUGCUUCCCAAGAAUUCUAUAUCAUUUCCCAUCAACAGUAUGUCAUCCACAUAUAAUAUGAGAAAUGCUAUAGAGCUCCCACUCACUUUCUUGUAAACACAGGCUUCUCCAUAAGUCUGUGUAAACCCAAACGCUUUGAUCAUCUCAUCAAAUCGAAUGUUCCAACUCCGAGAUGCUUGCACCAGCCCAUAGAUGGAGCGCUGGAGCUUGCAUACCUUGUUAGCAUUCUUAGGGUCGACAAAACCUUCCGGCUACAUCAUAUACAAUUCUUCCUUAAGAAAGCCGUUAAGGAAUGCCAUUUGGACGUCCAUUUGCCAUAUCUCAUAAUCAUAGUAUGCGGCAAUUGCUACCAUGAUUCGGACGGACUUCAGCUUCGCUACGGGUGAGAAAGUCUCAUCGUAGUCAACCCCUUGAACUUGUCGAUAACCCUUAGCGACAAGUCGAGCCUUAUAGAUGGUCACAUUACCAUCCGCGUCUGUCUUCUUCUUAAAGAUCCAUUUAUUUUCUAUGGCUCGCCGAUCAUCGGGCAAGUCAGUCAAAGUCCAUACUUCGUUUUCAUGGAUGGAUCCUAUCUCGGAUUGCAUGGCUUCAAGCCAUUUGUUGGAAUCCGGGCCCGCCAUCGCUUCUUAAUAGUUCGAAGGUUCACCGUUGUCUAACAACAUGAUUUCCAUGACAGGGUUGCCGUACCACUCUGGUGUGGAAUGUGUCCUUGUGGACCUACGAAGUUCGGCAGUAACUUGAUCUGAAGCUUCAUGAUCAUCAUCAUUAACUUCCUCCCUAGUCGGUGCAGGCACCACAGGAACAUCUUCCCGCGCUGCGCUACUUUCCGGUUCGGAAGGGGUGACUAUCACCUCAUCAAGUUCCACUUUCCUCCCACUCACUUCUUUCGAGAGAAACUCUUUCUCCAGAAAGGACCCGUUCUUGGCAACAAAGAUCUUGCCUUCGGAUCUGAGGUAGAAGGUAUACCCAAUGGUUUCCUUAGGGUAUCCUAUGAAGACGCAUUUUUCCGACUUGGGUUCGAGCUUUUCAGGUUGAAGUUUCUUGACAUAAGCAUCGCAUCCCCAAACUUUUAGAAACGACAGCUUAGGUUUCUUCCCAAACCAUAAUUCAUACGGUGUCGUCUCAACGGAUUUCGAUGGAGCCCUAUUUAAAGUGAAUGCGGAAGUCUCUAAAGCAUAGCCCCAAAAUGAGAGCAGUAGAUCGGUAAGAGACAUCAUAGAUCGCAUCAUAUCCAAUAGAGUGCUAUUACAACGUUCGGACACACCAUUUCGCUGAGGUGUUCCAGGCGGCGUGAGUUGUGAAACUAUUCCACAUUUCCUUAAGUGUGUGCCAAAUUCGUGACUCAAAUAUUCCCCCCCCCACGAUCUGAUCGUAAGAAUUUUAUUUUCCUGUCACGUUGAUUCUCAACCUCACUCUGAAAUUCCUUGAACUUUUCAAAGGUCUCAGACUUGUGUUUCAUUAGGUAGACAUACCCAUAUCUACUCAAGUCAUCAGUGAGAGUGAGAACAUAACGAUAGCCACCGCGAGCCUCAACACUCAUUGGACCGCACACAUCAGUAUGUAUGAUUUCCAAUAAGUUGGUUGCUCGCUCCAUUGUUCCGGAGAACGGAGUCUUGGUCAUCUUACCCAUGAGGCAUGGUUCGCAUGUGUCAAAUGAUUCAUAAUCGAGAGACUCUAAAAGUCCAUCAGCAUGGAGCUUCUUCAUGCGCUUGACACCAAUGUGACCAAGGCGGCAGUGCCACAAGUAUGUGGGACUAUCGUUAUCAACUUUACAUCUUUUGGUAUUCACACUAUGAAUAUGUGUAACAUCACGUUCGAGAUUCAUUAAGAAUAAACCAUUGACCAGCGGGGCAUGACCAUAAAACAUAUCUCUCAUAUAAAUAGAACAACCAUUAUUCUCGGAUUUAAAUGAGUAGCCAUCUCGCAUUAAACGAGAUCCAGAUACAAUGUUCAUGCUCAAAGCUGGCACUAAAUAACAAUUAUUGAGGUUUAAAACUAAUCCCGUAGGUAAAUGUAGAGGUAGCGUGCCGAUGGCGAUCACAUCGACCUUGGAACCAUUCCCGACGCGCAUCGUCACCUCGUCCUUUGCCAGUCUCCGUUUAUUCCGCAGCUCCUGCUUUGAGUUACAAAUAUGAGCAACCGCACCGGUAUCAAAUACCCAGGAGCUACUACGAGUGCUGGUAAGGUACACAUCAAUAACAUGUAUAUCACAUAUACCUUUGGUGUUGCCGGCCUUCUUGUCCGCUAAGUACUUGGGGCAGUUCCGCUUCCAGUAACCACUUCCCUUGCAAUAAAAGCACUCAGUCUCAGGCUUGGGUCCAUUCUUUGGCUUCUUCCCGGCAACUGGCUUACCGGGCGCGGCAACUCCCUUGCCGUCCUUCUUGAAGUUCUUCUUACCCUUGCCUUUCUUGAACUUAGUGGUUUUAUUCACCAUCAACACUUGAUGUUCCUUUUUGAUCUCCACCACCGCUGAUUUCAGCAUUGAAUAUACCUCAGGAAUGGUCUUUUCCAUCCCCUGCAUAUUGAAGUUCAUCACAAAGCUCUUGUAGCUCGGUGGAAGCGACUGAAGGAUUCUGUCAAUGACCGCGUCAUCCGGGAGAUUAACUCCCAGCUGAGACAAGCGGUUGUGUAACCCAGACAUUUUGAGUAUGUGCUCACUGACAGAACUAUUUUCCUCCAUCUUACAACUCAUGACCUUGUCGGAGACUUCAUAUCUCUCGACCCGGGUGUGAGCUUGGAGAACCAUUUUCAGCUCUUCGAACAUCUCAUAUGCUCCGUGUUGCUCAAAAUGCUUUUGGAGCCCCGGUUCUAAGCUGUAAAGCAUGCCGCACUGAACGAGGGAGUAAUCAUCAGCACGCUGCUGCCAAGCGUUCAUAACGUCUUGGUUCUCUGGGAUGGGUGCUUCACCUAGCGGUGCUUCUAGGACAUAAUCUUUCUUGGCAGCUAUGAGGAUGAUCCUCAGGUUCCGGACCCAGUCCGUAUAGUUGCUGCCAUCAUCUUUCUGCUUGGUUUUCUCUAGGAACGCGUUGAAGUUGAGGGCAACAUUAGCGUGGGCCAUUUGAUCUACAAGACAUAUUGUAAAGAUUUUUAGACUAAGUUCAUGAUAAUUAAGUUCAUCUAAUCAAAUUGUUCAAUGAACUCCCACUCAGAUAGACAUCCCUCUAGUCAUCUAAGUGAAACAUGAUCCGAGUCAACUAGGCCAUGUCCGAUCAUCACGUGAGACGGACUAGUCAACAUCGGUGAACAUCUUCAUGUUGAUCGUAUCUUCUAUACGACUCAUGCUCGACCUUUUGGUCUUCCGUGUUCCGAGGCCAUGUAUGUACAUGCUAGGAUCGUCAAGUCAAUCUAAGUGUAUUGCGUGUGUAAAUCUGGCUUACACCCGUUGUAUUCGAACGUUAGAAUCUAUCACACCCGAUCAUCACGUGGUGCUUCGAAACAACGAACCUUCGCAACGGUGCACAGUUAGGGGGAACACUUUCUUGAAAUUAUUGCGAGGGAUCACCUUAUUUAAGCUACCGUCGUUCUAAGCAAAUAAGAUGUAAAACAUGAUAAACAUCACAUGCAAUCAAAUAGUGACAUGAUAUGGCCAAUAUCAUUUUGCUCCUUUUGAUCUCCAUCUUCGGGGCGCCAUGAUCAUCUUCGUCACCGGCAUGACACCAUGAUCUCCAUCAUCAUGAUCUCCAUCAUCGUGUCUUCAUGAAGUUGUCACGCCAACGAUUACUUCUACUUCUAUGGCUAACGUCUUUAGCAAUAAAGUAAAGUAAUUUACAUGGCGUUGUUCAAUGACACGCAGGUCAUACAAAAAUAAAGACAACUCCUAUCGCUCCUGCCGGUUGUCAUACUCAUCGACAUGCAAGUCGUGAUUCCUAUUACAAGAACAUGAUCAAUCUCAUACAUCACAUAUAUUUCAUUCAUCACAUCCUUUUGGCCAUAUCACAUCACAAGGCAUAUGCUGCAAAAACAAGUUAGACGUCCUCUAAUUGUUGUUGCAAGUUUUUACGUGGCUGCUAUAGGUUUCUUAGCAAGAACGUUUCUUACCUACGCCAAAACCACAACGUGAUAUGCCAAUUUCUAUUUACCCUUCAUAAGGACCCUUUUCAUCGAAUCAGUUCCGACUAAAGUGGGAGAGACAGACACCCGCUAGCCACCUUAUGCAACUAGUGCAUGUCAGUCGGUGGAACCUGUCUCACGUAAGCGUACGUGUAAGGUCGGUCCGGGCCGCUUCAUCCCACGAUGCCGCCGAAACAAGAUAAGACUAGUAGUGGCAAGAAAAUUGACAACAUCUACGCCCACAACAAGUUUGUGUUCUACUCGUGCAUAGAAACUACGCAUAGACCUAGCUCGUGAUGCCACUGUUGGGGAUCGUUGCAGAAAUUAAAUUUUUUUCUACGCAUCACCAAGAUCAAUCUAUGGAGUCAUCUAGCAACGAGAGAGAGGAGUGCGUCUACAUACCCUUGUAGAUCGCGAGCGGAAGCGUUCAAGUGAACGGGGUUGAUGGAGUCGUACUCGUCGUGAUCCGAAUCACCGAUGACCGAGCGCUGAACGGACGGCACCUCCGCGUUCAACACACGUACGGUUGGGAAGACGUCUCCUCCUUCUUGAUCCAGCAAGGGGGAAGGAGAGGUUGAUGGAGAUCCAGCAGCACGACGGUGUGGUGGUGGAAGUAGCGGGGAUCUCGGCAGGGCUUCGCCAAGCUCAGCGAGAGGGAGAGGUGUCACGGGAGGGAGAGGGAGGCGCCAGGGGCUUGGGGUGCUGCUGCCCUCCCUCCCCCCUCUAUAUAUAGGGCCCCUGGGGGGCGCCAGCCCUAGGAGAUCCCAUCUCCAAGGGGGGCGGCGGCCAAGGAGGGGGACUUGCCCCCCAAGUCAAGUGGGGCACCCCCCACCCCUAGGGUUUCCAACCCUAGGCGCAGGGGAGGCCCAAGGGGGGCGCACCAGCCCACCAGGGGCUGGUUCCCUUCCCCACUUCAGCCCAUGGCGCCCUCCGGGAUAGGUGGCCCCACCCGGUGGACCCCCAGGACCCUUCCGGUGGUCCCGGUACAAUACCGGUGACCCCCGAAACUUUCCCGGUGGCCGAAACUGGACUUCCUAUAUACAAUUCUUCACCUCCGGACCAUUCCGGAACUCCUCGUGACGUCCAGGAUCUCAUCCGGGACUCCGAACAACUUUCGGGUUACCGCAUACUAAUAUCUCUACAACCCUAGCGUCACCGAACCUUAAGUGUGUAGACCCUACGGGUUCGGGAGAUAUGCAGACAUGACCGAGACGACUCUCUGGUCAAUAACCAACAGCGGGAUCUGGAUACCCAUGUUGGCUCCCACAUGUUCCACGAUGAUCUCAUUGGAUGAACCACGAUGUCGAGGAUUCAAUCAAUCCCGUAUACAAUUCCCUUUGUCAAUCGGUACGUUACUUGCCCGAGAUUCGAUCGUCGGUAUCCCAAUACCUUGUUCAAUCUCGUUACCGGCAAGUCACUUUACUCGUACCGUAAUGCAUGAUCCCGUGACCAAACACUUGGUCACAUUGAGCUCAUUAUGAUGAUGCAUUACCGAGUGGGCCCAGAGAUACCUCUCUGUCAUACGGAGUGACAAAUCCCAGUCUCGAUUCGUGCCAACCCAACAGACACUUUCGGAGAUACCCGUAGUGCACCUUUAUAGCCACCCAGUUACGUUGUGACGUUUGGCACACCCAAAGCACUCCUAUGGUAUCCGGGAGUUGCACAAUCUCAUGGUCUAAGGAAAUGAUAUUUGACAUUUGGAAAAGCUCUAGCAAACGAACUACACGAUCUUGUGCUAUGCCUAGGAUUGGGUCUUGUCCAUCACAUCAUUUUCCUAAUGAUGUGAUCCCGUUAUCAAUGACAUCCAAUGUCCAUAGUCAGGAAACCAUGACUAUCUGUUGAUCAACGAGCUAGUCAACUAGAGGCUCACUAGGGACAUGUUGUGGUCUAUGUAUUCACACAUGUAUUACGAUUUCCGGAUAACACAAUUAUAGCAUGAACAAUAGACAAUUAUCAUGAACAAGGAAAUAUAAUAAUAACCAUUUUAUUAUUGCCUCUAGGGCAUAUUUCCAACAGAAGUGUCAUGGCCGUACCAACGAAAGAACUAGUAUGAGAAGAGCAUACCAUGUGCCCAAUGCCGAGACCACUCACGGGCCGUGCUUCAAUGCUCUCAAGUGUGGCACAAUACUUGUUGCAUUCUUGUUGGAUGAACAACCACCUCUUUUGAAUCGAGGUGAUGCCAGGGUCGCUCGUAAUUUGGUAGGGCUCAAACAACUUUCUUUCAUGGAAUAUUUUAUGGACUCUCGUCCAAAAACAAGGCCCUUUUGUUGCGCACCAGUCCUCGGAUCUUGACUAAUCUUCAUCCAACAUUGGCAAAUCAACUUGUCCUCAUCUUGUGAAUAUGAACCCGUGCGAAUGCUCUUCUUCCUCUUUUGUGCUUCCGCUUUUUGGGUGAGCUCGUCGAUGAACAAUGGCUCGCCCCCAAUAUCAAUAUCAAUGCCUUCUUCUUCAUCACCAUCACCUUCACAAUAUAUGUCAUCAUCUUCAUGCCACGAGUCACCAUGGUCAUGGGCCUCUUCAUCGGCCGCGUAUUUGGUGCGGCCAUCCUGACUUUGGGUCUCCUCGGGAUCGUAGGCACCGCCAUGUCCACCCUCAUAGAUCACAUCCUCCAUGAACUGGUUGUAGAAGGGGUCGUUGACCGUUGGUGUUGGUGUUGGCAUUUCGUCGAACAAGACGCGGGGCAAUGGCAUGGUGCCCGUAAACGGUGGUUGUGCUUGCUUUAAUUGCACCUCGAUGGCCGGCCGGCCGCCGCUGCUGGACCCCAGCGUGACAUUGAGGUCGAUGACGGCCGAGGGGCGCGGGAUGGACGGCGCGAUCACGCCAACGUCCGGCAACCCCGAAAAACGGGUCUGGCCAUCAUGGGGGAAAGCCGGGCAACAAAGGUGUGGUCCGCGACGUCAACGAGGGGCAGUGGUGAGGCCUGGCGACCGACGAGCCUAUGCUCGCCGGGCCGACGGCCGCCGCACCAGAGAAACCCGCCGGACGGCAAAGCCCAAGCAUGAGGAGGGCGUGCGCUUUGUUGACGAUGGCCUCCUUCUCGUCGACCUCGGCCUUGCGCCGCGCGGCCUCCACCGCAUCGCGCUCGGCGGUGAACUUGGUCGCGGCGUUCUUGCCCUUGACGGCGGCCCUCCGGUUCCUCCUCUUCGCCAAUUCCGCGUCCAUCUUUGCGAGCUCCUCUGGCGUGCAUUCCGACCGCGGCUUCCUUGGACCCUUUGCCGCCUUCUUCUUCACCUUUCCGGGCGGGUCGACGGCCAGGCCGCCGGAAUUCGGUGGGGCGUCGGCCAUGGACGGGGAAGGGUGGUGGGCGGGACGUGGAAGGGUUUGGGGGGGGAGGGAUGGCGCAAAAUGGGGCGCGGGGGUUUUGCUUUGUGCCACCGACGGGCGGGCCAGGGGAGGACAAGCGCGCGCGUCCCGCCCGCCCGUGCGCUGCCGUUUCACCCCAAAAGCAGCCCAAACUUGGGCCGGGUAUGGGUCGAAAGCGAACAUAAAACGGACAAAAGUCUAUUUGCGCCCGCGCACUGGUCCGUCUGGUUUGUUCGUUUUGCCCCAAACGAACGCACUCGGACAAGAUGGGAUCACGCGCUGGAGUUGGCCUGAGGACCUCGUCGACGAGGACUAUACGUGUACGGCCGGCAACCUAAUAAUCGGCCGGGCACAAGACGCGACAACUGUGCUUAGAGCAUGUCUAGUAGAGCCCUCAGACCCUUAAAUCUAAAACCAGUUUUAAGGGUUGAGAAUUGGUCAUUUUUGACACUUUUAAGGGUUAAAAAACAGGGGCAAAGACUAGAACCCUCAAACCCAACCCUUUCCGUUAUAAGGGUUGGGUUUGAGGGUUCUAGUCUUUGCCCCAACCCCAACCCUUAAAACUGUCAUUUGACAUAUCACAAUUUUCACUAGAAAAACACAAUCAACCUUCAAAAAAACACGGAAAUGAAGAUCAUUGAUGGAUGGUUUAAUAGUUUACAUCACACAAUCAUCAUCUUCCCCCUCUCAUCGGCACCAUCACCAAAAAGUUGCACCUGGCGCCAUCUCCUAGACCACUUCCAUGUCCAUCAAGCACCUCCAUUGUCGCCGGUGGUGGAGUCCUCCACACCGCCAUCGCCACCACCACUCAUCGGAGUGUCACCUCGAAGAGUAGAGGACGCACCACGGAAUAUCCUCUUCCUCUCCGCGAUGUCCUGCUUGUACUCCUUCCACCACAUCAAUUGGUCUUCAUCCAUGUCCUUCUUGGACAUCAUCAUGUGCUCCUUCUCUUCCACCAUGAGUUCUUUCCAUGCCUUUGCUUCUUUGACCUUGAUCAUCCUCUCCUCCAAGUCGGCCUUGCGCUUGGCAUCUUCACGCCUUGCUUCAACUUGUGCAAGCUUCACCUCUUUCUUCUUCUCGUUGAUAAGAAGCUUUGUCUCCAAUGUCUUCAUUGUCAAUGCCUCCGUUGACUUCAUCAUAUGUUCUAUCUUCUCCCUUAUGCUUAACGCCUCCCCUUCCAUGUUCUUCCUUAGCUUAUCCUUCUUGUUUCCAGCGGGCUUGUGCUCGUUCCUUCCCUCCUCUUCACUAUCAUCCAUCCUAAGCAUUGCUGACUUCUUGGGUGCGGUCUCUUGAUCCCUCAACUUCCACUUGUCAUAAGUUUGAAGAAUUUUCCAAACAUGUUUAAAUGGGAAUUCUUUGCCCUUGGAAGCGGCCAUCUCCUUGUACCUCAAGUCGGCAAUUGCCUCCUACAAACCCACCAAUAGCAUAGUAAACAUAUAUGUACUCACAUAACAAUAGCAUAAAAAACCAAAAUAAAUGUGAAAAACAUAUAUGUACUCACAUAGUCACUCUCCAUGGUUCCACUAGGCGGUGCAUCCUUCACUUGGUCCAUUGCCGCACUCCAACGAGCACAAUGGGGCUUCAUCAACUCCCACCGGCCUUGAAGCGACCGAUAACUACGAGGGAUGUACCCACCGGUCUUCGGCUUGAUCUUGCAAUAGACGUCCUCUAUGCGUUGCCAAUAGCGUUUACCGGUUUGAUCGGUACCGGUGCUUGCAUCCAACCCCACAUGUGCCCAAGCACGAACCAAGAGAAUAUCUUUGUCCUCGCUAUAGUUUGUCGAGCGCACGGUGGGUUUUGCAACGGCGGCGAACGCCUCCUCCUCUAUCUCGGUCACCUCCUCCUCAUCUUCCCCUUCCUCCUCCUCAUCACCCUCUUCCUGCAAGUCAUCACCAAACCCAAAGGGUUCGAGAGAAAGAGCCCCGAUGUCCACCUCCGCUUCUUCGAGAAGCCCCAUGAACGACGUUGGCGGGGCAGGCAUUCCGUCGAGCACCUCGUGCACGACGGGCGGAGGUGCGGGGGUCUGGGCGGGCGGGGCGGGCGUCGGCUUCUUCCUAGAGGUGGGCUUCUUCGCCUUCGGCGCCGCUGCCCCCUUCGGCCCAAGGGAGGGCUUCUUCCUCACCUUCGGCGCCGCUGCGGCCGGGGCGACGGAGGCGGCGGCCGGGGCGGGCUGGGGGAGGACGACGUGCUGGCCAGCACGCCGCCUCUUCGCGCCGACGGCCACCACCGACGGCACCUCCGGCACGGACGGAGGGAGCGAGGACGGGGUCGGCGCAGGCGUCGCCGAGGCCGAGGACGGGGGCGGGGCGGCGGGCAGAGGGAGGGAGGACGCGGGCGGGGCGGCCGGGGCGACGGAGGAGUCCGGCGGCGCCUCCAUGGCUCGCCGCGGGGGCGACGGGAUCGACGAGGCGUCCGACGGGAGGGAGCGUGCGAGGGGAAAUUUCCCUCCCGCGCAACGACUGGUGGAGUGCGGGUUGGAGGUGGGUUUCCCUCUCCAAUCCUCACUUUUACAGAUUGAGAGGGCAACCCCAGAUCUAAUCCAUAAAAAAAAUUAAGGGUUUAGGGGUUCUAUUAUUUGCCGUUUUUUCAUUUCAACGCGUAAAAACGGUUAUUUCUGUCUAUUUGAGAGUUUAAGGGCUCUACUCGACAUGCUCUUAGCAAGGCGCUCUUCAAGGACGGCACGGCGUGCCAGCAGUGCUGCCAAAGCUGCACUUCUUUCUACAGUAUUAUAGAUGCAUGGCAGGUUCAAAUUCUUUGUAUUCCCCUUGGAAAGAUCUGAACAUAUUGUUUCUCUGAAUUUAAUCGUGCUGCAGAACCAGCGGGAGAAGAUCACCGAGUCAUCCAAACACUGCAGUAAUUGAAGACGGCCAUGGAAUGCCUACAGAACAAACUAAAAAAACUAUAUCUGCUACUGAUUCUGUUCAGGGGAGAAGCAGAGAGUGGUGUUCGGGACUUCGAGCUCCUGUACUGCUGGUGAUAUAGAUGCUUUUGCACCCGGUGCUCUUUCGCUAUGUGUGCGUGAUCUGUGAUCAUGUAUCCACCAGCGUUUCUACUCGUGUAUGCACAGCUCACUCUUCAUCAAUCCCUAUGGAUCGGUAUAGCAAUCAUCGAAUCUAUAUUCUGAUUACUGAAUCACAUGAAAUUCUAGGGGACUCCACAUACGUAUUUCAUAUAUGUAUUUCAUACAUACGAAUAGAGACCAUUUCGACGAAAGUUCGAGUUUGCCAGGGGUACAAAUGAAUUGAUAAAACAUUCUUACAAAAAAAUUCUGCCACUUAUACUUUAUAUUAUGAUAUUCUAAUUAGAUUGAAUGGCAAAGAUUUCUCAUUUUAUCUCCUUUCUAUGAAUGUAAUAAAGUCGUAAAAUAAUAUACUAAAAAGUUUGACUUUACUUUGAUUUAGAAUAGCAUGCUUACUAAAUAAAUUGGACAAAAUCACCACAUUAAAGGUUAAGUUAGCAGAAAACACAAGUUUACAUUUAUUUUAUUUUUGGCACAAAACAACAUGUCUAUGGUAAUCUUUUUGCAAAUAAUACUAAUCGGCGGUUUUGACCCGGUUGACCGCGUUUAUAACAGAUGGCGCCCGCCGGUCAAGCUAACGUGGCACCGCUUAACACCUCGCAUGUAAGAGUAACAUUUGGGACGUUGUCCUCUUGUGUGGAGCCCUGUGGGGUCCACCUGUCAUUGAUAGAAAAAAGAAAAAAGUAUGUUGAGCCGGCGACCAAGCGACGAAGGAAGCCUCCGAUGUCGAGCCGUCGCCCCUGCCUGCGCUGGUCCAUGCCGGCUUCACCAUGGAGCGGGCGCAGGCACACUUCGACGCCGUCAUGACGAAGGAGCAUCCGUCGCCGCAGCCAUGUUCCGGCAGGCACAUGAGGAGCAUCACUACAACCUCGCCCUCCUCACGCAUUACUAGUCAACGAAGGGCCAGAUCUACGGCAAGUACGCGAGCAAGAAGGCCGUGUCAGCCAUGGCCACGGAGAACCCAAACUUCCUUGAGGAGCAGCCAGCACUCUAUGAGGUCAUGUGCAACGCUCGCGCGGCGACGACUGACGCGCAGAUGGCGCUGGAGGGCGCGGACGGGAACAUCGGUAGUUGUGCGCCAUUAUUGGCGCCGCUACGACCACGAUGUCGAUCCGUCCAUGUUCAGGCAGCGGACUCUAACGAGGAAGAGUAGGACAUGGGAGACGGUGGCGCCUCGUGUCCCAUGUGGGCCAGUUGGUGUCCCAUAUCUUCUCUUCCUCGCAGGCGACCGCAACCUCACUUUGCCGGCUCACGGCUGCGAGCAUGGACAUGAAGGGGAGCAGCAAAAUUUGGAGGACGGGCGUUGGCUGGAGAUUUAGACUAGGUUAGGGUCCGGACAUUUUUAAUGAAUAUGUCGAAAAUGUAAUGAAUGUGCUCCAAUUUAAAUGAAAUUUAUCGGAUUUGCAUGAAAGUCGUCUCGUCUAUUCAAAUACCGUUUGAAAUGUAUGUGGACACGGUUGGAUGGCCACAUAGGCAGAGCUACGCCAACAUCGAAUGGGCCGCGGCCCUCCCAUCUUUUUACAGUUUGUACACUUAAUUCUGUUACUUCCGGUGCUUAAAACACUAGCACACAAACUGUUUUCUACUUACUAAUUUACAAAAAAAAAAACUGUUUUCUACUAUUUGGCCCGGCCAGCCCGCCCAACAAUGGGUUUCAAGCUCGGCCACAAGUGUGCGCGCGCGUGGAAGGAAGGAAGGAAGAAAGAAAGAAACGGUGUAGGAGCGCGCGUUUGAGAAUUGGAACGCAUGGCGGCACGUUGGCCCGAUGCUCGCGCGGCGCGGCCAGGGAGGGACGCGCUACGCGGGCUGCUGCUUGAUUUGGCGCCCGGUGGUGCGCGGGAUGGAAUGAAUGAUGCACGCGUGAUUUGGCGCCCGGUGGAUCGAUGGAUCGUUCUAGCUAGGUGGAUGGAUCCGAUCGUGUCGUGUACAGCAACAACGAGCGGUGGGAGUGGAACGUGACGGCCGGCGGCAAACACGCGCGUACCACCUGUACUGCACGUCGUCAGCGCAUGCACCGCAGCGGAUCAUUGGCAUGGCACGGACCGAAGGUUCAGAGCGGCUCUACCAAAAACAGCUGAUCGGACCGGAUCCUAUGUGGUAGUGGAGACGACCGAGGAAGGGAGAAACAGGACAAUGGAAGGGGAGGGAAGGGACAUGUGUCUUGGCGGCAAGAAAGGCAACGGUGGGAGGGAGGGGGGCAGGAAGCCAGGAAUCGCCGGCCGUGGUGGGGCGGGGCGGGCGGGGACCCUCCAAACUCCACUUCACUCGCCAGCGCGGGCCAGCCGUCUCGGCCAGGCCAUUGGCAAUGCAUGCAUGCACCAGAUGAUCUCGUCCUCACCCGUGACCACCUGCUCCCUUCUCGGCCUUCCAUUGGCCAUGGGCAUUGCAUGCAUGCCGUUGCCGUGCAUCCCUUUCGCUCCUUCCCCACCAUCUUUUACCUUCCUUCCUUCCCUUGCUUUAUUCCAUUGGGAUUGGGGAACACGCAGACGCAGGCGACAGAGGAGGGCAGAAUCGAAUCGCGACGCAGGUCUGGGGCUGGGCUCCGGCGAUCUCCCUGUCGGGCCUGCAAAGCUGAUUAGAGGAUAUCCCAAUGCAUGCAUGGUGGCCCCAGAACCCACACGACACGCCCAUGACCGACCAGGGGAGGGGAGGGAGGGAGUGGGAUCAAGUGUGGCCAUGUGCAAAAGUAUGCCACCAAAGUUUUCACAGUGCUGCCACCUUUUGUUUUAUCAUCAAUCUUACCUUGCCGAUCCGUUCGGUGAUUUCUGUGCAAUGAUUUUUUUUUUCUUCCUUCGGAACACAACAUCUUAUCAAAUCUUGUUACAAACUUACUGUACUGUGUAUCCCCAUUGUAGUUUCAUAACAUGGAUCUCUACUGUCUUACGCCUGUGAAGCUUCCAUCCUGCAGCCACCACAAAGACAAGUUUGUGACAUGAAAUUCUAGUUACAAACUUCCAUCUUGAUGACCAUCUUACGGUUUGGAUCUCAACCGUCUACUGUUGCUACAAAACCCAAGGGAUCCAGUGAAACAACAUCUGUCCAGUACUUCAGUUACUCUGAAUCAUUGACGAAUAACUGCAGCCAAAAGACUAUGAGCUGACAGUUUGCUUCACGGAGGGAAAGCAGAGCAGAAAUGGUCUUUGCAACUCAUCAAACAGGCCUCGCAAGGGUUAUUAUAAAUAAACUCCUCUUAACGGACCGAAAACAUUUCAGUGUGGAUUCAUUCAGCUAGAGCAUCAUUUCGUAUUCAACGAUUUCUUCACACCCCGAAGGCCACCCCACAUGACAGUUGAUACAAUGAAGAGUAGCACCCCAGUGCCAAUGGCGUACUUCAGACCGAGGUUCAUGAGCAGGUUUACCAGCAACCCUGCAAGGACGACUCCCACGAGGUUCGCCGACAAGCCUGACCAGAACAGCAUGCCCAGGACGGACGCGAUGAUGGCGCCGGUCCAUGCUCCGGUGCCUGGGAACGGGACGGCAACGAACAGCAUCAGCCCGAGCCACUGGAACUCCUUGACAGGCGAAGCCUUACAUCGCGCCCGCUCGAAGAGGAGGUCCAUUAUCCGGGUCGCCCAAGCGCUUCUUUGCGAGUUUCUUCAGAUAGAGGAUGAUGAAUGGCACAGGCACCAUGUUCCUGGAGAAACAGAGAGUAGA